UUUUUUUUUGUGAAGCCUUAAUCUCAUAGGCGUACGUGGUCCCCUUUUUUCCAAAGCUGGAUAUUCUUUCCUAAAUUCCUUAGUUACAUCUAGAUGAUUACGUUUCCUAGAUUCCACUAAAAAAUGAUGUUGCACAGACGUGACAACAUGUAGGUCCAAUAAGUUGAUAAAUAUAUAUUAACAUGUUACGUAAAAACUUCUAAAUCUCAGCCAUUAAUUUUCAAAUCAAACGGUGCAAAUAAUAUUAACAUAUGUGGAUAAACGUAAUAGCUUGUUUGCCUCUUGUCUUAAGUAUAUAAUAAUAGAUAGAAGAUUCUCUUCUAUUUCACCCACAAAUUCUUUUGUUUUCCUUCAUCAGAUCCUAUUUGGUUCCAUCGUGGCAUGUUCCUGUGCAUUCUACUGCUCACCGUGAUCCCUAUUCCGGUAUUCCCCAUAGGAUUGAGAGAGUGCCAAGAAGUAUACUAGUGUCCUGCUCGAGUACGACGCUGAACUAGAUGCCGAUGUGCUUCGUGCUCGUGGAGACGUCACCAGAAUGGACAUCGCAACAUACAACAAAAAUAUAAAAAUUUACCAUUAAAAUUAUACAAAACCAAAGAUGACCAAUAUAUAUGAAAACUACUCCAAUUUAGUCAGAUCUUUAGCCUGAAACCAAUUACCAAUUUUUUUAGACAACCUCGCGAUGCUUUUUAUUAAGUCCUCACAAUGUUUACAGGGACGAGAGAAAGAUCUCCGGGUUGGCCCAACCACACACGGCGGCCGAUCCCGAGCGACAAAGCAUGCUUCGCUAGGUUGUGAGCUUCAAAAUUAGAGCUCCUAAAUUCAUGGCUAAACUUGCAAAAACCAAAAACAGAAGAGUGGCUGCAGCGUUGAAGGGCGUGUCCCGCGACCUAUCAAGAUGGAGUAAGGAUGUGGUGGGUGAUACGGAGAAGAAACCUAAAGGAGGCCAAGUGUGAGCUGGAGAAUUGUAGAAAGCAAGCUAUCACACUGGAGAAGGUUGCUGAGGAGGUGAGCUUACGGUGUUUGGUUGAUCAUUUGGAGGAAGACAUUGAUAUAAAGUGGAGGCAACGAGCUCAUGUUUGGUGGCUGAAGGAGGGGGAUAGGAACACAAAGUUUUUCUUUUGAUAUGCCUCGGCGAGAAGGAAGGCCGAUAGAAUCCGAAGGCUUAGGAGGGAGGUUCGAGUGGUGGUGGAGGAAGGAAUGGAUCUCACUAACUAUGUCAUGUCUUAUUUUCAGGACCUGUUCACCUCGAAUGGUAAUGGCCAAUAUGAUGAGCUUCUCUGGCCUGUUCCGGUGAAGGUAACAAGUGCUAUGAAUGAGAGCCUCACAGCUGCAUUCUCUGAUAUGGAAAUCAAAGCUGCCCUUGAUUAGAUAGGGGACCUGAAAGCACCAGGGCCAGAUGGUAUGCCCGCGGUGGUCUUCCAGAAAUAUUGCCAUUUGAUGGGCAGGAACAUCAUUGAGGAGGUGAGACAUGUCCUUGAGGGGGGUGAGAUGCCGGCUGGAUGGAAUGAUACCCAUGUUGUUCUAAUACCCAAGGUCAAAAAACCAUCAAGGAUAAAGGACCUCCGACCCAAAAGUUUGUGUAAUGUUCUGUAUAAGAUCAUCUCUAAGGUAAUGGUGAAUAGACUCAAGCUCAUACUGCUGCAGAUCAUCUCUGAUAAUUAGAGUGCGUUUGUACCUGGACGACUAAUAACUGACAAUAUCCUCCUGGCCUAUGAGAUCUCACAUUUCUUGAUGAAAAAACAAACUGGGAAGGAAGAGUUUGCGGCGGUCAAGGUGGACAUGAGCAAAGACUAUGAUCGGGUCGAGUGGGCCUUCCUGGAAGCAAUGUUGUAUAAACUUGGGUUCGUGAGGAGCUGGGUGAAGCUUGCAAUGAAGUGUGUAACUCGAUGAGGUAUAGCGUCAAAGUUAAUGGCGAGCUAUUCCAACAAUUUGCGCCUUCAAGAGGGCUCCGGCAGGGUGAUCCGAGCUCGCCCUAUCUCUUUGCAAUUUGUGCAGAGAGUUUGUUGGCUUUGCUGAAUGAGGCCCAGCAGUGAGGUAGAUUUGGAGGUAUACAUAUCUGUCCGGGAGCUCUGUCUAUCUCGCACCUAUUUUUUGCUAAUGACUCGGUGCUUCUCAUGAGAGUGCGGACGGAGGAAGCCUUGGAACUUCAACGCAUCCUACAGAUCUAUGAGAGAUGUUCGGGACAAUGUGUAAAUCAUGAGAAAUCUGUGGUGAUGUUCAGUAAAAACUGCUCCGAACAUACCAAAGGAAAUGUGAAGGGGGCCUUUGGGCAUUGAUAGUGAGGCGUACAAUGAUAAAUAUUUGGGACUCCCAGUGUAAAUUGGGCGUUCCAAGCGCAAGGCUUUUGCUUACCUGAAGGACCAGAUUUGGAACUACAUCCAGGGCUGGAAUGAGAGGACACUAUCUAGGCAACGCAAGGAAAUUCUUGUUAAGGGUGUUGCGUAGGUGGUUCCAACAUUUGCAAUGUCAGUGUUCUACCUCACCAAAACCUUUUGCGGAGAGCUUAGUGCUAUGAUUUCUAGGUACUGGUGGAGCCAGCGGGACAAGGAUAACAGAUUCAUUGGGUUGGCUAGCCAAUGCUAACAAGGUCGAAGGGUUGGGGGGACUUGGUUUCAGGGACAUCCAUGACUUUAACAUUGCUAUGUUGGCCCGGCAAGUGUGGCUUCUGAUAGAGCAGCCACACAGUUUGUGUGCGCAGCUCGUGAAGGCCAAGUACUACCCGGAUUGCUCCAUUCUGGAUGCGGCGCAGAGUUCAAACAUGUCCUAUGCAUGGCGCAGCAUCACAUACGGAAUUGACCUAGUUAAAUAAGGUAUGAUCUGGCGUGUGGGGGAUGGGCAUAAUAUUAACAUUUGGGAUGACCCAUGGAUACCCAGAGCUUGGUUUAGGCGAGUCAUCACUCCUCGUGGGGGUAAUCUUUUGACCAAAGUUUCUAAGCUCAUCGACCCAACUACUGGCAAGUGGGAUAUGGAAUUGGUCAAGGAUACGUUCUGGGAUGAGGAUGCCAAGUUGAUUCUUCAGAUGCCAUUAAGGGACGGGACAGUAGAUCUCUUGGCAUGGCACUUUGACCCACAAGGUGUGUUCUCGGUUAAGCAGACGUAUAAAUUGAAACGGGCACUGUCCGAGACCAGGUGUGCACAGGAGAAUGGUAUAUCCCAUGAUGCGGCGAAUUUAGAUGGAGGUGGGGAGGCGAAAUUUAAGAGACUAUGGAAAAUGCCAUGUCCUGGGAAGGUUCGGCAUUUCAUGUGGCGGCUUGCGCACAACACACUAGCCACUAAGGAUAUCCUAUGUCGAAGGGGAAUGGUUAUUGAGGAUCAUAAGUGCUUCUUGUGCAAUGCGAGGAAUGAGUCGGCCAAACACAUGUUUGUUGAGUGCCAUGAGGUAAAGCAUGUAUGGCGGGGUCUCAAUCUUGAGUAUGUCAGGCAGCAGCUUGCGGAGUGCGAUAGUGUUGACACCAACCUGGGCUGUUUGUGGCAACUACCUGAGAAAGACCGGAUGGUUAUCAUCGUCAUGUGGUGGCAGUGGUGGGCUCGACGGAGUAAGGUCCGGGAGGGAGACAAGCCGAUGGAGCACGUGCAGUUCGCCGUUAGGGCUGCAUGUACUGCCGGCGAGUACCAUGGGUGUUUCCGCAAAACGCUUACCCCGCCGGCAAGCGCGCCUCGCUGGACCCCUCCACCACAUGACAUGCUAAAGUUCAACGUUGAUGGAUCUUUUGUUGAGCUUGGUAUGAAGGGGGGGCUGGGGAGUGGCACUAGUAGAAAACAGGGGCUUUGGUUCGGCCAGAAAAGAGCAUUAAUCUCGGUUGCAUUACGAACCGGGACUAAUGUGAGCAUUAGUCCCGGUUCGAGCGGCUAGGGCACCAUACAGGCAUUACUCCCGAUUCAAAUGGGACCUUUAGUCCCGGUUAGUGCCAUGAACCGGGACUAAAGGGUGCGAUGCCCAUCAGUACCGGUUCGUGGCACGAACCGGUUCUAAAGGUCUAACCUUUAGUACCGGUCCGUGCCACGAACUGGUACUAAUGGGGGUUAGUACCUUUAGUACCGGUUNNNNNNNNNNNNNNNNNNNNNNNNNNNNNNNNNNNNNNNNNNNNNNNNNNNNNNNNNNNNNNNNNNNNNNNNNNNNNNNNNNNNNNNNNNNNNNNNNNNNNNNNNNNNNNNNNNNNNNNNNNNNNNNNNNNNNNNNNNNNNNNNNNNNNNNNNNNNNNNNNNNNNNNNNNNNNNNNNNNNNNNNNNNNNNNNNNNNNNNNNNNNNNNNNNNNNNNNNNNNNNNNNNNNNNNNNNNNNNNNNNNNNNNNNNNNNNNNNNNNNNNNNNNNNNNNNNNNNNNNNNNNNNNNNNNNNNNNNNNNNNNNNNNNNUAUUGCCUUUUUAGUUUUGUAAAAAGCAAAAGAAAAUGAUAAAAACUUCAAUUUGGACAUGUUUUGCAAAAAGUGUAGGGAAAAUGUAAAACAGAUAUAACUUUUGCAUACGAUGUCAGCUUGGGGGAGUUGAUACGUCUUCAUCGUAUCUAUUUUUCCAAACACUUUUGCCCUUUUUUGGACUCUAACUUGCAUGAUUUGAAUGGAACUAACCCGGACUGACGUUGUUUUCGGCAGAAUUGCCAUGGUGUUAUAUUUGUGUAGAAAUAAAAGUUCUCGGAAUGACCUGAAAAUCAACGGAGAAUAUUUUUGGAAUAUACAAAAAAUACUGGCGAAAGAAUCAAGUCCAUGGGGCCCACACCCUGUCCACGAGGGUGGGGGCGCACCCCCCUGCCUCGUGGGCCCCCUGGUGCUCCACCGACCUCAACUCCAACUCUAUAUAUUCACGUUCAGGGAGAAAAAAAUCAAGGAGAAGGAUUCAUCACGUUUUCGAUACGGAGCCGCCGCCAAGCCCUAAUCUCUCUCGGGAGGGCUGACCCGGAGUCUAUUCGGGGCUCCGAAGAGGGGAAUCUAUCGCCAUUGUCAUCAUCAACCUUCCUCCAUCACCAAUUUCAUGAUGCUCACCGCCGUGCGUGAGUAAUUCCAUCGUAGGCUUGCUGGACGGUGAUGGGUUGGAUGAGAUUUAUCAUGUAAUCGAGUUAGUUUUGUUAGGGUUUGAUCCCUAGUAUCCACUAUGUUCUGAGAUUGAUGUUGCUAUGACUUUGCUAUGCUUAAUGCUUGUCACUAGGGCCCGAGUGCCAUGAUUUCAAAUCUGAACCAAUUAUGUUUUGAUGAAUAUAUGUGAGUUCUUGAUCCUAUCUUGCCAGUCUAUAGUCACCUAUUAUGUGUUAUGAUCUGUUAACCCCGAAGUGACAAUAAUCGGGAUACUUACCGGUGAUGACCUUAGUUUGAGGAGUUCAUGUAUUCACUAAGUGCUAAUGUUGUGGUCUCGUACUCUAUUAAAAGGAGGCAUUAAUAUCUCUUAGUUUCCAAUAGGACCCCGCUGCCACAAGAGGGUAGGACAAAAGAUGACAUGCAAGUUCUUUUCCAUAAGCACGAAUGACUAUAUUCGGAAUACAUGCCUACAUUACAUUGAUGAACUGGAGCUAGUUCUGUGUCACCCUAUGUUAUAACUAUUGCAUGAGGAAUCGCAUCCGACAUAAUUAUCCAUCACUCAUCCAUUGCCUACGAGCUUUUCAUAUAUUGAUCUUUGCUUAUUUACUUUUCCGUUGCUACUGUUACAGUCACUAUAAAACCAAAACUAUUACUUUUGCUACCGUUACCUCUACUAUCAUACUACUUUGCUACUAAAUACUUUGCUGCAGAUAUUAAGUUUCCAGGUGUGGUUGAAUUGACAACUCAGCUGCUAAUACUUGAGAAUAUUCUUUGUCUCCCCUUGUGUCGAAUCAAUAAAUUUGGGUUGAAUACUCUACCCUCGAAAACUGUUGUGAUCCCCUGUACUUGUGGGUUAUCAAGACUAUUUUCUGGCGCCGUUGCCAAGGAGCAUAGCUCUAUUCUUUGAGUUACUUGGGAUUUAUAUCUGCUGAUCACUAUGAAGAACAUGAAAGAUAAAAGAACCAAGAUUUUUCCCUCAACUACGAGGCAAGGUAAGGAACUGCCAUCUUGCUCUGCACUUGAUUCACCUUCUGUUUUGAGUAAACUUGCGACACCUACUCCUUCUAUUCAUUCUGAUAUGUCGCAUGUUAUUGAUGACGCCACUUCUGCUUUGCAUGAUACUUAUGAUGAAACUACUUCUAUGCUUGAUAAUACUGUGCCACUAGGUGAAUUUCUUGAUGAACAACUUGCUAGGGUUAGAGAGAAUGAAAUUAUUGAAACUAAUAAUAUUGAUGAAAGUGAUGAUGAAGAUUCUCCCCCUAGAUAUGAAUUGUCUGUUGUGCCCGAGGGUUAUGUUAUGGACGAAGAAACUGCUAGAGACUUUUUAGCGUGCAAUGAUAGAUAUGAUCUUAAGAAAUUAUUAGUUAAGCUUAAAGAAAGUCUUUGAAUGCUAGAAUGAAAUAUGACCCUACUUUUGCUACGUCACCUAUCUUUAUUUACGAUAAGGAUUAUGAUUUCUCUAUCGAUCCUGAGUUAAUUACUUUGGUUGAAUCUGAUCCUUUUUAUGGCUAUGAAUCUGAAACUGUUGUGGCACAUCUUACUAAAUUAAAUGAUAUAGCCACCCUGUUCACUAAUGAUAAGAAAACUCGCUAUUACUUUAUCCUUAAGUUGUUUCCAUUCUCAUUAAAGGGUGAUGCUAAAACAUGGUUUAAUUCUCUUGAUCCUGGUUGUGUGAGUAGUCACCAGGAUAUGAUUUAUUACUUCUCUGCUAAAUAUUUCCCCGCUAUUAAGAAACAAGCUGCCUUAAGGGAAAUAUAUAAUUUUGUGCAAAUUGAAGAAGAGAGUCUCCAACAAGCUUGGGGGAGGCUUCUCCAAUUACUUAAUGCUUUUCCUGAUCAUCCUCUCAAGAAAAAUGAAAUACUUGAUAUCUUUUAUAAUGGACUGACUGAUGCUUCCAGAGACCACCUGGAUAGUUGUGUUGGUUGUGUUUUCAGGGAAAGAAUUUUUGAUCAAGAUGAAUUGCUAUUGAAUAAUAUGUUGUGUAAUGAAAAUGAUUGGACACUUCGUGAACCAACUCCUAAGCCAACUCCGAAGAAAAGGGGUAUUCUAUUUCUCAGUCAUGAAGAUAUGCAAGAGGCAAAGAAAUCUAUGAAAGAAAAAGGUAUUAAAGCUGAAGAUGUUAAGAAUUUACCGCAUAUUGAAGAAAUACAUGGUCUUGAUAACCCGACACAGGUAGUAAAGGUAAAUUCUCUCUAUAGAUUUGAUAAAUUUGAAAUCCCAUCUACUAAGUUUGCUAGCCAAUGCUUGGAUGAGUUUGAUAAUUUUAUGGUUAAACAAGAAGACUUCAAUGCUUAUGUUGGUAGACAAUUGAAACAUAAUGCUGAUAUGAUUGAACACUUGAGUGAUUAUAUGUCUAGAGUUAAAGGUGAACUUAAACUCAUUAGUAAACAUGCUUCUAUGGUUACCGCUCAAGUAGAACAAGUGCUUAAAGCUCAGAAUGAUUUGCUCAAUGUAUUAAAUAAUAAGAACAAUGAUAAUGUUGUUAGAGUUAUGACUAGAGGGGGUAAAAUGACUCAGGAACCUUUGUAUCCUGAGGGCCACCCUAAGAGAAUUGAGCAAGAUUCUCAGAGAACUAAUGUUGAUGCACCUAGUCCUUCUAAAAGGAAGAAAAAGAAUAAUGAUAGGACUUUGCAUGCUUCUAGUGAACCUGUUGUUGACACACCUGAGAAUCCCAAUGAUAUCUCUAUUUCUGAUGUUGAAACACAAUCUAGUAAUGAACAUGAACCUAGUGAUAAUGUUAAUGAUGAUGUUCAUGUUGAUGCUCAACCUAGCAAUAACAAUGAUGUGGAGAUUGAACCUGCUGUUGAUCUUGAUAACCCACAAUCAAAGAAUCAACGUUAUGAUAAGAGAGACUUCAUUGCUAGGAAGCACAGUAAAGAAAGAGAACCAUGGGUUCAGAAACCCAUGCCUUUUCCUCCUAAACCAUCCAAGAAAAAGGAUGAUGAGGAUUUUGAGCGCUUUGCUAAAAUGAUUAGACCUAUAUUUUUGCAUAUGCGUUUGAAUGAUAUGCUUAAAAUGAACCCUUAUGCUAAGUAUAUGAAAGGUAUUGUUACUAAUAAAAUAAAUAUACCGGAAGCUGAAAUUUCCACCAUGCUUGCUAAUUAUACUUUUAAGGGUGGAAUACCAAAGAAACUUGGAGAUCCAGGAGUACCAACUAUACCAUGCUCCAUUAAAAGAAACUAUGUUAAAACUGCUUUAUGUGAUAUUGGAGCCGGUAUUAGUGCUAUGCCUCUCUCUUUAUAUCGUAGACUUGAUUUGAAUAAGUUGACACCUACUGAAAUAUCUUUGCAAAUGGCUGAUAAAUCAACUGCUAUACAUAUUGGUAUUUGUGAGGAUGUGUCUGUUGUGGUUGCAAACAUUACUAUUUUAACAGACUUUGUUAUUCUUGAUAUUCCCGAGGAUGAUAGUAUGUCCAUUAUUCUUGGAAGACCCUUUUUGAAUACUGCAGGGGCUGUUAUUGGUUGCAACAAAGGCAGUGUCACUUUUCAUGUUAAUGGUAAAUAGCAUACGGUACACUUUCCGAGGAAACAACCUCAAGUCCACAGUAUCAACUCUAUUGGAAAAUUUUCAACGAUUACUUUUGGAGGUUUUGAAUUUCCGCUUCCUACUGUCAAGAAGAAAUAUGAUAUUCUUAUUGUUGGGGACGUGCAUAUCCCUGUUGAGGUAACCUAGUGUUAUUUGAAAAAUCUCUCCAGUUUCAUGCGAUUAGGAAUGAGUUUGUUAACAAGACUUGAUCAACCUUGUUAGUGGAUUCCUUUUGAUGAGCAUGAGCUGGAUGAAGUUAGAAAGCACAACUCUCUGUACCCUCCUUUUACUUUCUAUUAUUUAGUUUAAAUAAAGUAAAAUAUUUUUUGUCUGUUUUCUGAAUUAUCCUUGCAAUAAAAAAUACCCCAAACAUAAAAGUUCUCCAAAUGCCCUGAAAGUUUAAUAUGAUUAUUUCUGGAAUAUUUAAGAAUUAUUGGCACUGAGAACACACUAGGGGGACCCACCAUGUGCCCACGAGGGAGGAGGGCGCGCCCUACCCCCCUGGGCGUGCCCCCUGCCUCAUGCACCCCACGUGGGUCCCCUCCACUUAUUCUUGCACCCACACACUUCGUCUUCCUCCAAAAAAAAUCAUCCACCAGCUCAAACCCGAGUUCUAGCUCAUCUUGCUGCCAUUUUCAAUCUCCUUGCUCAAAGCUCCAUUCACCAAACUGCUUUGGGGGAUUGUUCUUCGGUAUGUGUCUCCUCCAAUGGUCCAAUUAGUUUUUGUUCUAGUGCUUUAUUUAUUGCAAUUUUUUGUUGCUUAGGUGACCCUGUUCUUGAGCUUGCAUGUCAAAUUUAUGUGGUCAAAAGUAGUUCUAAUGCAUGAUAUGGCCUCUAGGCACUUGUAGGAGUAGUUGAUAUCAAUCUUGUUGAGUUUGGUUCACUUUUUAUUUUUGAGUUACUAAAAAUUUCAGAAAUUUUCAGAAUAAGACGAAGAGAUUUUUGAGGGGCUCUUUGAGCCGAAGCUCGAAGGAUAAGCAAAGUGAAGAAAAAAAGAAACCCAAAUAUAAUCUCCCUCGCACUGCGGAGGCCUCACCGACUUCCUCCACGACUAGCGUGAAAAACAUGUACCUUGUUCUGCCGGAGGCCAUUCAUGCCUACCGGAGCCUGACAUCAGCUCCAGAGCCCGAGCCGGAGCCACCACUUGAUCCUCACCGUCAGUCUGUUUAUCAGCGGGAUCCGGAGGAGAUCGCCAACCAGUGGCACCCUGAGGAUCCUCCUCAGUAUACCGAAGAGGGCAGCUUUGAUCUGUGGCCAUAGACCAACUUAGGCCAAAAUCCUAAGCUUGGGGGAGUACGUAUCUCUCACCGACAUUACAUUCAUGUUCACACACUCAUGCCAGUUGUCGGUGCUCAUACUUUUUCAUUGCAUUAUCCAUGCUAGUUUAUUUUGUUUUUAAGCUUUCUUCUUGUGUGUUUGAAAAACCUUAAUAAAACCCAAAAAAAAUUAGUUGUAGCUUCUAGCUAGUUUACUUUCCAAGCUUGUAGUAGUAAUAAUUAAAAAGAAAACCCAAAAAGAUUUUUCGUUCUUCGUUUGCUUGUUGGGAGCUUUCCCGUGUAAAUAAUUUUAUUUCUUUCCUUUGGGGGUCGAGAGGAGAAGAUAAUAAUGAAAAUGUUGAGUGGCUCUCAUAUGCAUUAUUGUUGAUCUAACAAAGAGCCCAUAUUACCUUGUCUUCUCCCUUGAAUUGAAUGCUUGCAGAUUCCAGCUUAGUCCAAUGCACGUGCACUAUUAUUUUUUUAUCCAUGCUGUUUGGUUGUGCAAGUGAAAGGGAAUAAUGACGAUAUAUGAUGGACUGAUUGAGAUGAGAAAAGCUGGUAUGAACUCGACCUCUCUUGUUUUUGUAAAUAUGAUUAGUUCACCAUUCCUGAUUCAGCCUAUUAUGAAUGAAACAUGUUUGUAGUGACCAUUAGAGAUUAUAGUUGCUCAUUCCAUGCUUAAUUUGCUAGGAGUUUAUAAUGGUUUACCUUGCGUGCCAACAUGCUAUUAAAAUGCUUGUGAUGUGGUAUGAUAGGGUGGUAUCCUCCUUUGAACGAUUCGAGUGGCUUGACUUGGCACAUGUUCAUGCAUGUAGUUGAAACAAAAUCAACAUAGCCUCCACGAUAUUUAUGUUCAUGGUGAAUUAUAUCCUACUCAUGCUUGCAUUCAGUGUUGAUUAAUUUUAAUGCAUGUUCAUGACUGUUGUUGCUCUCUAGCUAGUCGCUUCCCAGUCUCUUUCUAGCGUUCACUUGUACUAAGCGGGAAUACUGCUUGUGCAACCACUUCCAUAAACCCCAAAAGUUAUUCCAUAUGAGUCCACCAUACCUUCCUAUAUGCGGUAUCUACCUGACGUUCCAAGUACAUUUGUAUGUGCCAAACUCUAAACCUUCAAAUGAAAUUCUGUUUUGUAUGAUCGAAUAGCUCAUGUAUCAACUAGGGUUGUCUGUAUCUUCCAUGCUAGGCGGGUUAUUCUCAAGAGGAGUGGACUCCGCUCCUCACUCAUGAGAAAAUGGCUGGUCGCCAGGAUGCCCAGUCCCAUGCUCAAACCAAAUCAAAAUAAUUGCAAACAAAACUCCCCCAGGAUUGUUGUUAGUUGGAGGCAUCCGUUGUUUCAGGCAAGCCAUGGAUUGAUACUUGUUGGUGGUGGGGGAGUAUAAACUUUACCAUUCUGGUUGGGAACCGCCUAUAAUGUGUGUAGCAUGGAAGAUAUCGAGAUCUCUCGGUUGUUAUGUUGACAAUGAAAGUAUACCGCUCAAAAUAUUAUUCUUCUCUAUUUCAAAACCGAGCUCUAGCACCUCUACAAAUCCCUGCUUCCCUCUGCGAAGGGCCUAUCUAUUUACUUAUAUGUUGAGUCAUCAUCCUCUUAUUAAAAAGCACCAGUUGGAGAGCACCGCUGUCAUUUGCCUGCAUUACUAUUAGUUUACAUUGAGUACGAAUGUGACUGGAUCUCUUUUACCAUGAAUUACAAUUUCCAAUCAGUCCUUUAGAGGUGCUAUGCAUUUAUGUUUUGCGGUCUCAGAAAGGGCUAGUGAGAUACCAUCUUGUUAUAUCAUAUUAUGAUUGUUUUGAGAAAGUGUUGUCAUCCGAGAUUUACUAUUAUUGAUCGCUAGUUGAUUAUGCCAUUGAUAUGAGUAAACAUGAGACCUAAAUGUUAUUGUGAAUAUGGUUAGUUCAUAAUCUUUGCUGAAAACUUGAAUGAUGGCUUUACAUAUUUACAACAACAAGGGCAAACAAAAUUUGUAAAAGUUUUUCUUUAUCACUUUCAGUUUAUCAACUGAACUGCUUGAGGACAAGAAAAGGUUUAAGCUUGGGGGAGUUGAUACGUCUCUAUCGUAUCUACUUUUCCAAACACUUUUGCCCUUGUUUUGGACUCUAACUUGCAUGAUUUGAAUGGGACUAACCCGGACUGACGUUGUUUUCAGCAGAAUUGCCAUGGUGUUAUUUUUGUGCAGAAAUAAAAGUUCUCGGAAUGACCUGAAAAUCAACGGAGAAUAUUUUUGGAAUAUAUAAAAAAUAUUGGCGAAAGAAUCAAGGCCAGGGGCCACACCCUGUCCACGAGAGUGGGGGGUGCCCCCCUGCCUCGUGGGCCCACUGGUGCUCCACCGACCUCAACUCCAACUCUUUAUAUUCACGUUCGGGGAGAAAAAAAUCAAGGAGAAGGAUUCAUCGCAUUUUAUGAUACGGAGCCGCCGCCAAGUCCUAAUCACUCUCGGGAGGGCUGAUCUGGAGUCCGCUCGGGGCUCCGAAGAGGGGAAUCUAUCGCCAUUGUCAUCAUCAACCUUCCUCCAUCACCAAUUUCAUGAUGCUCACCGCCGUGCGUGAGUAAUUCCAUCGUAGGCUUGCUGGACGGUGAUGGGUUGGAUGAGAUUUAUCAUGUAAUCGAGUUAGUUUUGUUAGGGUUUGAUCCCUAGUAUCCACUAUGUUCUGACAUUGAUGUUGCUACGACUUUGCUAUGCUUAAUGCUUGUCUGUAGGGCCCGAGUGCCAUGAUUUCAAAUCUGAACCUAUUAUGUUUUCAUGAAUAUAUGUGAGUUCUUGAUCCUAUCUUGCCAGUCUAUAGUCACCUAUUAUGUGUUAUGAUCUGUUAACCCCGAAGUGACAAUAAUCGGGAAACUUACCGGUGAUGACCGUAGUAUGAGUAGUUCAUGUAUUCACUAAGUGAUAAUGUUGUGGUCCGGUACUCUAUUAAAAGGAGGCCUUAAUAUCCCUUAGUUUCCAAUAAGACCCCACUGCCACAUGAGGGUAGGACAAAAGAUGCCAUGCGAGUUCUUUUCCAUAAGCAUGUAUGACUAUAUUCGGAAUACAUGCCUACAUUACAUUGAUGAACUAGAGCUAGUUCUAUGUCACCCUAUGUUAUAACUAUUGCAUGAGGAAUCGCAUCCGGCAUAAUUGUCCAUCACUGAUCCAUUGCCUACGAGCUUUUCAUAUAUUGAUCUUUGCUUAUUUACUUUUCCGUUGCUACUGUUACAAUCACUAUAAAACCAAAACUAUUACUUUUGCUACCCUUAUCGCUACUAUCAUACUACUUCGUACUAAAUACUUUGCUGCAGAUAUUAAGUAUCCAAGUGUGGUUGAUUUGACAACUCAGUUGCUAAUACUUAAUAAUAUUCUUUGGCUCCCCUUGUGUCGAAUCAAUAAAUUUGGGUUGAAUACUCUACCCUCGAAAAUUGUUGUGAUCCCCUAUACUUGUGGGUUAUCAUGGCCCGCGACCUAUCAAGAUGGAGUAAGGAUGUGCUGAGUGAUACGGAGAAGAAACCAAAGGAGGCCAAGCAUGAGUAGCAGAAUUGUAGAAAGCAAGCUAUCACACCGGAGAAGGUUGCUGAGGAGGUGAGAUUACGGUGUUUGGUUGAUCAUUUGGAGGAAGUCAUUGACAUAAAGUAGAGGCAAUGAGCUUCUGUCUGGUGGCUGAAGGAGGGGGAUAGGAACACAAAGUUUUUAUUUAGAUAUGCCUCGGUGAGAAGGAAGGCCAAUAGAAUCUGAAGGCUUAGGAGGGAGGAUGGAGUGGUGGUGGAGGAAGGAAGGGAUCUCACUAACUAUGUCAUAUCUUAUUUUCAGGACAUGUUCACCUCGAAUGGUAAUGGCCAAUAUGAUGAGCUUCUCCGGGUUGUUCCGAUGAAGGUAACGAGUGCUAUGAAUGAGAGCCUCACAGCUGCAUUCUCUGAUAUGGAAAUCAAAGCUGCCCUUGAUCAGAUAGGGGACCUGAAAGCACUGGGGCCGGAUGGUAUGCCCGUAGUGGUCUUCAAGAAAUAUUGCCAUUUGAUGGGCAGGAACAUCAUUGAGGAGGUGAGAAAUGUCCUCGAGGGGGUGAGAUACCGGCUGGAUGGAAUGAUACCCAUGUUGUGCUAAUACCCAUGGUCAAAAACCCCUCAAGGAUAAAGGACCUCUGACCCAUCGGUUUCUGUAAUGUCCUGUAUAAGAUCAUCUCUAAGGUAAUGGCGAAUCGACUCAAGAUCAUACUGCCGCAGAUCAUCUCUGAGAAUCAGAGUGCGUUUGUACCUGGACGACUGAUAACUGACAAUAUCCUCAUGGCCUGUGAGAUCUCACAUUUCUUGAUGAACAAACAAACUGCUAAGGAAGAGUUUGCGGCGGUCAAGGUGGACAUGAGCAAAGCCUAUGACUGGGUCGAGUGGGCCUUCCUGGAAGCAAUGAUGUAUAAACUUGGGUUCGCAAGAAGCUGGGCGAAGCUUGUAAUGAAGUGUGUAACCUCGGUGAGGUACAGCAUCAAAGUUAAUGGCGAGCUAUCCCAACAAUUUGCGCCUUCAAGAGGGCUCCGGCAGGGCGAUUCGAGCUCGCCCUAUCUCUUUGCAAUUUGUGUAGAGGGUUUGUCGGCUUUGCUGAAUGAGACCCAGCAGUGAGGUAGAUUUGGAUGUAUAUAGAUUUGUCUGGGAGCUCCAUCUAUCUCGCACCUGUUUUUUUGAUGACUCGAUGCUUCUCAUGAGAGCGCGGACGGAGGGAACCUUGGAACUUCAACGCAUCCUACAGGUCUAUGAGAGAUGUUCGGGACAAUGCGUAAAUGAUGAGAAAUCUGCGGUGAUCUUCAGUAAAAACUGCUCCGAACAGACCAAAGGAAAUGUGAAGGGGGCCUUGGGCAUUGAUAGUGAGGCGUGCAAUGAUAAAUAUUCGGGACUCGUAGUGUACAUUGGGCGUUCCAAGCGCAAGGCUUUUGCUUACCUAUAAAGGACCGGAUGUGGAACUACAUGCAGGGCCGGAAUGAGAGGACACUAUCUAGGCAAGGCAAGGAAAUUCUUGUUAAGGGUGUUGCGCAGGUGGUUCCAGCAUUUGCAAUGUUAGUGUUCUACCUCACCAAAACCUUUUGCAAAGAGAUUAGUGCUAUGAUUUCUAGGUACUGGUGGAGCCAGCAGGACAAAGAUAACAAGAUUCAUUGGGUUGGCUGGCCAAAGCUAACAUGGUCAAAAGGAAGGGGGGACUUGGUUUCAGAGACAUCCAUGACUUUAACAUCGCUAUGUUGGCCCGGCAAGUGUGGCUUCUAAUAGAGCAGCCAGACAGUUUGCGUGUGCAGCUCGUGAAGGCUAAGUACUACCCGGAUUGCUCCAUUCUGGAUGCGGGGCAGAGUUCAAACAUGUCCUAUGGAUGGCGCAGCAUCACAUAUGGCAUUGACCUAGUUAAAAAAGGUAUGAUCUGGUGUGUGGGGGAUGGGCAUAACAUUCACAUUUGGGAUGACCCAUGGAUACCCAGAGCUUGCUCUAGGCGAGUCAUCACUCCUCGUGGGGGUAAUCUUUUGACCAAAGUUUCUGAGCUCAUCGACCCAAGUACUGGCAAGUGGGAUAUGGAAUUGGUCAAUGAUAUGUUCUGGGUUGAGGAUGCCAAGUUGAUUCUUCAGAUGCCAUCAAGGGACAAGGCAGUAGAUUUCUUGGCAUGGCACUUUGACCCAAAAGGUGUGUUCUCGGUUAAGCAGGCAUAUAACUUGAAACGGGCAUUGUCCAAGACCAGGGGUGCACGGGCGGAUGCUAUAUCCCAUGAUGCGGGGAAUUUAGAUGGAGGUGGGGAGGCGAAAUGGAAGAGCUAUGGGAAAUGCCAUGUCCUGGGAAGGUUCGGCAUUUCAUGUGGCGGCUUACGCACAACACACUGGCCACUAAGGAUAUCCUAUGUCGAAGGGGAAUGGUUAUUGAGGAUCAUAAGUGUUGCUUGUGCAAUGCGAGGAACGAUUCGGCCAAACACCUGUUUGUUGAUUUCCAUGAGGUAAAGCAUGUAUGGCGGGGUGACAAUCUUGAGUAUGUCGGGCAACAGCUUGCGGAGUGCGAUAGUGUUGAAGACACCACCCUUGACUUUUUGUGGCAGGUACCUGAGAAAGACCGGAUGGUUAUCAUCGUCAUGUGGUGGCAGUGGUGGGCUCAACCGAAUAAGAUCUGGGGGGAGACAAGCCGAUGCAGCAUGUGCAGUUCGUCGUUAGGGCUGCAUGUACUGCCGGCGAGUACCAGGGGUGUUUCUGCAAAACGCCUACCCCACCGGCAAGCGCGCCUCGCUGGACCCCUCCACCACAUGUUGAUGGAGCUUUUGUUGAGGAUGGCAUGAGGGGGGCCUGGGGAGUGGUGGUACAGGAUAAUACAGGUGAGGUGGUGGUAGCAAGGGCUGGGCGACUUGAUCAUGCUGCGGAUGCAUUCAGCACUGAGCUGAGAGCAGUGGAGCAAGCGCUAGAUCUUGCAGCUGAACUGGGGGUCGUGCGGCUGACUAUUGAAAUGGAUGCCCUACUGCUUGAACAGGUCCUAAAUAGACAUGCUCCAGAUUGUUCUUGACAAGCAUAGGAGAUUAAAGACAUCAAGGUGUAGUCCCAGUUAUGGUUCUCUUCAUGUGUGUUUGCCCAUUGUAAGCGCGAGGCCAACAUGCCAGCGCACAAUAUGGCCAAGUUAGGCCUGGCUCUCCAAGUGGGAGAUGUUCUAGUUGCUGAUGAUGUAAUUCCAGCCAUUGUUGAUGAGUUUGUAAUGGGCGAUCUUGCCCAGUACAUUUCGUAAUAAAGAUAUUUUCUUGCCCUCAAAAAAUAAUUCACAUCUCAAUUUGCAAUGGUUAGUACAAUUCUCUUCUAUUUCACCCACAGAUUCUUUUGUUUUUCUUCAUCAGAUCCUAUUUGGUUCCAUCAUGGCAUGUUCUUGUGCAUUCUAGUGCUCACCUCGAUCCCUAUUCUGGUAUUCCCCACAGGAUUGAGAGAGUGCCAAUAAGUAUACUAGUGUCCUUCUCGAGUACGACACUAAACUAGAUGCCAAUGUGCUUCGUGCUCGUGGAGAUAUCACCAGGCUGGACAUCGCAAGAUACAACAAAAAUAUAAAAAUUUACCAUUAAAAUAAUACAAAACCAAAGAUGACCAAUAUAUAUGAAAACUACUCCAAUUUAGUCAGAUCUUCAGCCCGAAACCAAUUACCAAUUUAUUUUAGACAACCUCGUGAAGCUUUUUAUUAAGUCGUCAAAAUGUUUACAGGGACGAAAGGAAGAUCUCCGGGUUGGCCCAACCACACACGGCGGCCGAUCCCGAGCGAAAAAGCAUGCUUCUCUAGGUUGUGAGCUUCAAAAUUAGAGCUCCUAAAUUCAUUGCUAAACUUGCAAAAAUCAAAAACACAAGAGUGGUUGCGGUGUUGAAGGGCGUGGCUCGCGACCUAUCAAGAUGGAGUAAGGAUGUGGUGGGUGAUACGAAGAAGAAACUAAAGGAGGCCAAGCGUGAGUUGGAGAAUUGUAGAAAGCAAGCUAUCACACCGAUGAAGGUUGCUGAGGAGGUGACAUUACGGUGUUUGGCUGAUCAUUUGGAGGAAGUCAUUGAUAUAAGUGGAGGCAACGAGCUCACAUUUUGUGGCUGAAGGAGGGGGGUAGGAACACAAAGUUUUUCUUUAGAUAUGCCUCGGCAAGAAGGAAGGCCAAUAGAAUCCGAAGGCUUGAGAGGGAGGAUGGAGUGGUGGUGGAGGAACGAAGGGAUCUCACUAACUAUGUCAUAUCUUAUUUUCAUGACAUGUUCACCUCGAAUGGUAAUGGACAAUAUGAUGAGCUUCUCCGGGCUGUUCCGGUGAAGGUAACGAGUGCUAUGAAUGAGAGCCUCGCAGCUGCAUUCUCUGAUAUAGAAAUCAAAGCUGCCCUUGAUCAGAUAGGGGACCUGAAAGCACUGGGGCCGGAUGGUAUGCCCGCGGUGGUCUUCAAGAAAUAUUGCCAUUUGAUGGGCAGGAACAUCACUGAGGAGGUUAGAAAUGUCCUCGAGGGGGGUGAGAUGUCGGCUGUAUGGAAUGAUACCCAUGUUAUGCUAAUACCCAAGGUCAAAAACCCCUCAAGGAUAAAGGACCUCCGACCCAUCAGUUUGUGUAAUGUUCUGUAUAAGAUCAUCUCUAAGGUAAUGGCGAAUCGACUCAAGCUCAUACUGCCAAAGGAAAUGUGAAGGGGGCCUUGGGCAUUGAUAGUGAUUUGUACAAUGAUAAAUAUUUGGGACUCCCAAUGUAGAUUGGGCGUUCCAAGUGCAAGACUUUUGCUUACCUAAAGGACCGGAUUUGGAACUACAUGCAGGGCUGGAAUGAGAGGAAACUAUCUAGGCAAGGCAAGGAAAUUCUUGUUAAGGUUGUUGCGCAGGCGGUUCCAACAUUUGCAAUGUAAGUGUUCUACCUCACCAAAACCUUCUGCGAAGAGCUUAGUGCUAUGAUUGCUUCGUACUAGUGGAGCCAGCGGGACAAGGAUAACAAGAUUCAUUGGGUUGGCUGGCAAAAGCUAACAAGGUCAAAGGGAAGGGGGGACUUGGUUUCAGAGACAUCCAUGACUUUAACAUUGCUAUGUUGGCCCUGCAAGUGGGGCUUCUGAUAGAGCAGCCAGACAGUUUGUUUGCGCAGCUCGUGAAGGCCAAGUACUACCCGGAUUGCUCCAUUCUGGAUGCAGGGCAGAGUCCAAACAUGUCCUAUGCAUGGCGCAGCAUCACAUACGGCAUUGACCUAGUUAAACAAGGUAUGAUCUGGCGUGUGGGGGAUGGGCAUAACAUUCACAUGUGGGAUGACCCAUGGAUACCAAGAGCUUGGUCUAGGCGAGUCAUCACUCCUCGUGGGGGUAAUCUUUUGACCAAAGUUUCUAAGCUCAUCGACCCAACUACUGGCAAGUGGGAUAUGGAAUUGGUCAAUGAUACGCUCUGGGAUGAGGAUGCCAAGUUGAUUCUUCAGAUUCCAUUAAGGGACGGGGCAAUAGAUUUCUUGGCAUGGCACUUUGACCCAAAAGGUGUGUUCUCAUUUAAGCAGGCGUAUAAAUUGAAAUGGGCACUGUCCGAGACCAGGGGUGCACAGGCGAAUGGUAUAUCCCAUGAUGCGGGGAAUUUAGAUGGAGAUGGGGAGGCGAAAUGGAAGAGACUAUGGAAUGCCAUGUCCUGGGAAGGUUUAGCAUUUCAUGUGGCGGCUUGCGCACAACACACUGGCUACUAUGGAUAUCCUAUGUCGAAGGGGAAUGGUUAUUGAGGAUCAUAAGUGCUUCUUGUGCAAUGCGAGGAACGAGUCGGCCAAACACCUGUUUGUUGAGUGCCUUGAGGUAAAGCAUGCAUGGCGGGGUCUCAAUCUUGAGUAUGUCAGGCAGCAGCUUGCGGAGUGUGAUACUGUUGAUACCACCCUGGACUGUUUGUGGCAGCUACCUGAGAAAGACCGGAUGGUUAUCAUCGUCAUGUGGUGGCACUGGUGGGCUCAACGGAAUAAGGUCCGGGAGGGAGACAAGCCGAUGGAGCAUGUGCAGUUCGCUGUUAGGGCUGCAUGUACUGCCGAUGAGUACCAAGGUUGUUUCUGCAAAACACCUACCCUGCCGGCAAGCGCGCCUCACUGGACCCCUCCACCACAGGACAUGCUAAAGUUCAAUGUUUAUGGAGCUUUUGUUGAGGAUGCCAUGCAGGGGGGCUGGGGAGUGGUGGUACGGCAUAAUACAAGUGUGUUGGUGGCAGCACGGGCUGGGCGACUUGAUCAUGUUGCGGAUCCAUUCACCACUGAGCUGAGAGCAGUGGAGCAAGCGCUAGAUCUUCCGGCCGAACUGGGGGUCGUGCGGCUGACUAUUGAAAUGUACGCCCUGUAGCUUGAACAGGCCCUAAACAGACAUGCUCCAGAUUGUUCGCGACAAGCACGGGCGAUUGAAGACAUCAAGGUGUAGUCCCGGUUAUGGUUCUCUUCAUGUGUUUUUGCCCAUUGUAAGCGCGAGGCCAACAUGCCAGUGCACCAUAUGGCCAAGUUAGGCCUGGCUCUCCAAGUGGGAGUUGUUCUAGUUGCUGAUGAUGUAAUUCCAGCCAUUGUUGCUGAGUUUGUAAUGUGCGAUCUUGCCCAGUACGUUUCGUAAUAAAGCUAUUUUCUUGCCCUCAAAAAACAAUUCACAUCUCAAUUUGCAAUGGUUAGUACAAUUCUCUUCUAUUUCACCCACAGAUUCUUUUGUUUUCCUUCAUCAGAUCCUAUUUGGUUCCAUCAUGGCAUGUUCCUGUGCAUUCUAGUGCUCAGCGUGAUCCCUAUUCCGGUAUUUCCCAUAGGAUUGAGAGAGUGCCAAGAAGUAUACUAGUGUUCUGCUCGACUAUGACACUGAACUAGAUGCCGAUGUGCUUCGUGCUCGUGGAGACAUCACCGGGCUGGACAUCACAACAUACAACAAAAAUAUAAAAAUUUACCAUUAAAAUAAUACAAAACCAAAGAUGACCAAUAUAUAUGAAAACUACUCCAAUUUAGUUAGAUCUCCUGAAACCAAUUACCAAUUUUUUUAGACAACCUCGCGAAGCUUUUUAUUAAUUCGUCACAAUGUUUACAAGGACGAACAGAAGAUCUCUGGGUUGGCCCAACCACACACGGCGGCCGAUCCCGAGCGGCAAAGCGUGCUUCGCUAGGUUGUGAGCUUCAAAAUUAGAGCUCCUAAAUUCAUGGCUAAACUUGCAAAAAUCAAAAACUAAAGAGUGACUGGGGCAUUGAAGGGUGUGGCCCGCGACCUAUCAAGAUGGAGUAAGGAUGUUGUCAGUGUCAAAACCGGCGGAUCUCGGGUAGGGGGUCCCGAACUGUGCGUCUAGGCCGGAUGGUAACAGGAGGCAGGGAACACAGUGUUUUACCCAGGUUUGGACCCUCUUGAUGGAGGUAAAACCCUAUGUCCUGCUUGAUUAAUAUUGAUGAUAUGGGUAGUACAAGAGUAGAUCUACCACGAGAUCAGAGAGGCUAAACCCUAGAAGCUAGCCUAUGGUUUGAUUGUAUGUUGUAGUUGUUGUCCUACGGACUAAAACCCUCCGAUUUAUAUAGACACCGGAGAGGGCUAGGGUUACACAAGGUCGGUUACAAAGGAGGAGAUAUCCAUAUCCGUAUUGCCUAGCUUGCCUUCCACGCCAAGUAGAGUCCCAUCCGGACACGGGACGAAGUCUUCAAUCUUGUAUCUUCAUAGUCCAACAGUCCAGCCAAAGGUUAUAGUCCGGCUAUCCGGACACCCCCUAAUCCAGGACUCCCUCAGUAGCCCCUGAACUAGGCUUUCAAUGACCAUGAGUCCGGCGCGCAGUGUUGUCUUCGGCAUUGCAAGGCGGGUUCCUCCUCCGGAUACACCACAGAAGAAUUUCAAAUAUAUGGAUAGUAUCCGACCCUACAAAACAAGUUCCACAUACCAUCGUAGAGAUAAUAAUAUUUCCACAAAUCUUUAAUCUGCUGACACGUUUUGGCAACAUGACAUUACGUCACGGCCCGGUGAUUAUUUGAACUGUUUCCUUUAACUAGCCCCGCACAUAACGCGAGGCAGUUUUUUGACACGUCUUGUCAAAGCAGAGAUCGUGUCCCCUGAUUACGGGAUUCUCAUCAAUACGGGUGUGCGUAACCCAACCACGCCAUCAAUUACGGCGCUUGGGGGACAAGCGAGUUUUACCAGGCUAGUGGGGACGCUUAGUUUCGGCCUCCCAUAUAAAGGGAUAAGGAUUCACCUUUUCAUCCACGCCUUCUUGCUCCUUUGCUUAUCCGUUUUCGCGCACUCGAGCUCCAGCGCCCAAGUCCGCAUUCCCCACCUCUACCUUCUCCAGACAUGUCCGAAGCGGGAGACAAGUGGAUGGUCUCCUCCGUUACGGAGGGAGACAUCAAGAAGCUGAGGAGAGCCGGAUACCUGCCCGACGACAUCGCGCACCGGCUCCCAGAUGAGGGGCAGCUCAUCCCCACCCCCAGGCCCCAUGAGAGGGUGGUGUUCCUCAACCAUUUCCUCCGCGGACUGGGAUUUCCUCUCCACCCAUUGUCCGGGGGCUUAUGUUCUACUAUGGCCUGGAUUUCCACGAUCUGGCCCCGAACUUCAUCCUCAACAUCUCGGCGUUUAUCCUCGUGUGCGAGGCCUUCCUCCGCAUCAAGCCCCACUUCGGCUUAUGGCUGAAGACUUUCAAUGUCAAUACGAAGGUAGUGGGCGGCUGCCAGGCGGAGUGCGGAGGCGCCAUGGUGGGCAAGAUGCCCAACGUCACAUGGCUUGAGGGCUCCUUUGUGGAGACAAUAAAGGGGUGGCAAUCGGGGUGGUUCUAUAUCACCGAGCCGCGUGACCCUACAUGGGUAGCGGCCCCCGAGUUCCGAUCUGGCUUCCCCACACGGCUCACCACCUGGCAAGAGAAGGGCCUGUCCUGGGGUAAUCCGGGAGAGCUGACCGGACUCCAAACAUGCAUUCAAAGCAUGGUGAACAAGAAGCUCAAACUUGUCAACAUAGUCCAAGUUAUGCUCAUCCUCCGGAUCCUCCCGUGCCAACAAUGGGCCUUCAACUUGUGGGAGUUUGACCCGGCGCAGCACCGAACUCUGAACAAGCUCUUCGACACAACUCACGAAGAUGCCUGGAGGGUGCUGUUCAAGAGCGCUGAGGUCCCCCCCUCCUACUACUGAGGAUCGCGGAUUCAGCGCAAAGCGCCAAGCCAGCGUGGUAAGCUGCCUUUACCUCUUACAGGAUAGAUGUUUUUCAUAGCUUGGCUCCAUGCGGGAUCUAAACUCCCGUAUCUUUGACAGAAUUGGCAGGAGACGGCCGGACAGAUCGACUAUCCGGCUCCUUUACCCGAAGGCCCAGCAAACGCUCUUCUGACGAGGAUGCUGACUCCGGCUCCUUACACAGUGCCGGAGAAGACCAAGAAGGCCAAGGGAACCCGAAAGAGUUCUCGACGCCAGGCAUCACCGGACUUACCGUCCGAGGACUCUACGGCGCAAUCCUCCCCCGAAGACGAGGAGGACGCUCCCCCUCCAUACGGGGGAGACAAGAAAAGGAAGGCCGCCCCAACUGGGGAGGCCGGAGGGUCCAAGAAAGGGCGGACCCUCCCUACGGACUACUCCACCACCGCCGCCGACAGCGAAGACAAGUGGAUGCCCAAGGCCAAGCCCCUGGGAAGUCGUAAGUAUUCGGAUACCAGAGUAAGUCAUAGUAUUCCUUUGCCGCACUGCUUUCCCUAACGCCAAGAUAUGAUUAUGCAGGCUGCCACGAACCAGUAUCGAUGUAUCAUCGGACGGCUCCCUAGACUCGUCGGACAUGGAUAGCGAUCCAGUCCCGACCUCCACCUCCCCUCAUCCUGCUGAUGACACCGAGGUGCCAUCUCAAGAGGCACCGGGUCGAGGGGAGACAGCCCCGGAGGCGCCUCAAGGCGACCUUCCGGACUCCGGGAGCCGAGGCGACAGGGCCCCUGAGAGCUCCGAGUUCGGCCCUCAGCCGAACACCGCGCCGGAACCUCCAGUGGUUCCAGGCUUGGGUAGGCGGCCUCCUUCUAAGAGGGGCGAGAUGCCGGCACCGGUGACCUCUGUCCAUCCAGAGGCGACGGAUAAUCUACUAGAAGAGCUUCGCACCGCUUCCAUCGACGAGGAGCACCGCACUAUUAUGAGUGCGGUGAUCCAGAAGGUUCUGUCCGCUAAGAGCGGAUUGACUGAAGCCUGUGCCAGCCUUCUAACAGGCUUUGAGGUAAGUGUUUUAAAGUAUAGGAAAAAUAUUACCGCAUAGACAGUAGCCCCUGAUGCACUGUUCGGUGUUCACAAAGAAAAUCCGAAUAGAGGAUCAAACAAUAUCGCAGGAGUCUAAUAGAAGUAUGUCAAUAUGCAUAUGCAGGCUUCGCUGCUGGCGUCCGCCGCACUGACUGCGGAGGUCGCCGUACUGAAGCAGGACCUUAAAGGGUCCCAGGACGAGCUCGGCCUUUUCAAGAGGCAGCUCGAGGAGAAUAAAGGUAAGUAGCACCUAGUCUAUGUAUAUGUAUAAAAAUAAAUGCGAUUGCAAAAUGACAGGAGUAUCAUGAAUUUGCAAGGGGCCGCAACCGAAGUGGCGACCCUAAAGCAAGCGCUAUCCGAGGCCAAAGAUAAAGCGGACAAGGAGCUCACCGAGCGAGAGAAGCACGAGGCUCGGGUGGGCGAGGUGCAGCAAGAGCUCCAGGCUCUCGUGGCGAAGCACGAGGCGUUGGAGCUUGACUCAAAGACACGAGAGUCUGAGCUUGUAGCGGCCCUCGAGAGUGCAAAAAGUGCCAAGGCCGAGGCCCAAAAGGCCCUCCAGGAGAUCGACGCAAUGAAGAAGAUGGCGGCGGGUAAGGCUUUCUAUCUGAAAAUCAAGCAUGUACGAGUAAAUUACCGAUUACUUACUCGGAUCCGGAGCUCUCCAGGAGCAUUCGUAGAUUUGCCCCGCAGCGUGUCCGAUGCCGCACAAUUUUACCAGGCCGAGGAUGGAAGCUCAACGGAGAAGUUGUUCUGGUCUCAGUAUACUGAGGCCGAACACUCAGUGCCAAUGAGCGACCAGCUGAACCAGAUGGUCGAGCUACAUAAGGCGGCCGAACAGGCCAUGAAGGGCUUUAUAGUCCGGUUGUGGCCAGGCGACGCCCUUCCGAACAGCUUCUUCGGCCUGGUGAGGCGGCUUGUGGAUGCCUGCCCGCGGCUGGAGGUCAUCAAGCGAUCCGUCUGCAUUGAAGGUGCACGCCGGGCUUUCGUCCGUGUGAAAUUGGAGUGGGUCAAGCUAGACGCCGUCAAGCUGAUCAAGGAAGGGCCGCCGGAGGGCAAGGAGCACUGCCACCCCGAGAUGUACUAUGAGGGUGUUCUGCCGAGUGCCCGUCUCAUAGCGGAUGAGUGUACAAAAGAUGUAAUAUUUGAGUAAAACUCGCUCGUGUGAUCCUGUAUUUAUGAAAACUUGUUUCAUACGCGCUAUGCAACGCUUGUUUGAAUUUAAAAUAUUACCUUCUGUUUGGCCGUUUAUCCAAUCUGAGAGAUGGCUAGUCCUCGGCUUCUGCCCCCAUGCCACUAGUGAUGGGGUGUUCGGGAUAAACCUGAGCACUCUUGUUCCCAUGUUUGGGUCCUUCGAGGGAGGUGCUCAGCACAACAAACAAGGCAACCAGACUAAUAAUGCUUUAUCACUCUCACUUAGCCAUAGAAUUCUAUAAUUUUAAAUUUCGGCGAAGCCCCUGGUAUUCGGAAGGCCGAAUUCGGGGCGCGAUACACGCCUUUAAGCCGGACAGGGCCGGCCCCUCGUCCUAAGCGGCAUAAGUCUUUAGGGACUCGAAAACCUCGCCGAACAGCGACCAGUCUCUCGCCUUAUCAUGACAGUCAGUUUUAGCUUUCUCUACUGAGGUGCUAAGCCCGGCAGAACCGGGGCACAAUCGCAGUAGUUCUCCUAGCGCUACCUUAGCCGAUAGAGCGGAACGUAAGGUACCAAAACAUAGGAUCCAGGCAAACCCAACAUUUGACCAAAGACAUGAUUCGGAGCUGAUGCAUGUAAUGCUAUAAGUUCGGGGUGCCGCACUUGUGAAAGUGUUCGGACUUUUCACACCAUAUUGUGGGGUACGUAAGCCCCUGGUGUAUUGGCCGUACCAAAGUGUACGGUUGCAAGGCGUCGUUAAUGAACACAUAUAUGUAAAACAAGAAUGCAAUAAUAGGCGCAGUGCUAUGCAUUGUUUAUUCAAAAAGGUGCGUUAAAGCAUAGUGAUACAGAUAGUGCGAUAAGCAAAGAGUAGGACUGUGUCCCUUCCAGUGCCAGGCUGAGGAAUAGUACUAAAUCAAAUAUUUCACUCGUUACUGUAAUCCACCUGGGAAUUCCGUGGUGCGACGUAGCUUUCUGCCUCCUUGGUCGCUGCAUCAUGUGUUCGGGAAUAGUGCUGCCGGACAGGGUUUCCGGAGAUUAAAGUCCUGAAAAAGAGAAAAAUAACAAAGCUGGGAGCCCCUAGUGUGGUUUAAGCCGCGUCCUGGGGCGUGCCGCAGUUUUGCCCCCCUUCCCCACCUGCGCCCAUGGUAUUUUCAAUGCAUAAUUAUGUACGUGUGGCACGGAUUUCACCGUUUGGCUGGGACUGGGGUGGGGGCCGCAUUGCUACGCGAGCUCAGAUCGCACCAAACGGUCUAUUUGCUGAUUGCUCCGAGCGCGCUUGACGGUUUCCGGGUUUGGAAAGGUCGAACUGGUUAAUUGCCUUGAGAGGCUGCUUUGUGCUUCUGCUGCGAGGGCCACGGUGUGCUCCUCUGUUUAGAGAGAGCGCUCUGUGUUUCCAUUGAUGGUAAUAACUCCGUGAGGUCCUGGCAUCUUGAGCUUGAGGUAUGCAUAAUGCGGUACCGCAUUGAAUCUAGCAAAUGUGGUUCGCCCGAGCAAUGCAUGAUAACCACUGCGGAACGGGACUAUAUCGAAGAUUAACUCUUCGCUUCGGAAGUUAUCCGGGGAUCCGAAGACCACUUCCAGUGUAAUUGAGCCUGUGCAAUGGGCCUCUACACCUGGAAUGACGCCUUUCAAGGUCGUUUUUCUGGGUUUGAUCCUUGAGGAGUCUAUACCCAUUUUGCGCACUGUGUCCUAAUAAAGCAGGUUCAGGCUGCUGCCGCCAUCCAUGAGGACUCGAGUGAGGUGAAAUCCGUUAAUGAUUGGGUCUAGGACCAGUGCGGCGAAUCCACCAUGACAGCUAUGUUCGGGAACGUAGUAAUUUCAAAAAAAUUCCUAGACACAUGCAAGAUCAUGGUGAUGCAUAGCAACGAGAGGGGAGAGUGUUGUCUAUGUACCCUCGUAGACCGACAACGGAAGCGUUAUGACAACGCGGUUGAUGUAGUCAUACGUCUUCACGGCCCGACCGAUCAAGCACCGAAACUACGGCACCUCCGAGUUCUAGCACAUGUUCAGUUCGAUGACGAUCCCCGGACUCUGAUCCAGCAAAGUAUCGGGGAAGAGUUCUAUCAGCACGACGCCGUGGUGACGAUCUUGAUGUUCUACUGUCGCAGGGCUUCGCCUAAGCACCGCUACAAUAUUAUCGAGGAUUAUGGUGGAGGGGGGCACCGCACACGGCUAAGAGAACGAUCAUGAAGAUCAACUUCUGUGUCUAGAGGUGCCCCCCUGCCCCCGUAUAUAAAGGAGCAAGGGGGGAGGAGGCCGGUCCUAGGAGAGGCGCGCCAGGGGAGUAGGAUUCCUACUCCUAGUUGGAGUAGGUUUCCUCCUUUCCUAGUCCAACUAGGAGAAGGGGGGAAAGGGGGAAAGAGGGGAAGGAAGGGAGAGAGGGGCCGCGCCCCAAACCCCUUGUCCAAUUCGGACUGGGCUUGGGAGGGGCGCACGCCACCUCCUGGUCCUUCCCACUAAGGCCCAUUAAGGCCCAUUGCUUCUUCCUCGUAUUCCCGUAACUCCCCGGUACCUCCGAAAAUACCCGAAUCACUCGGAACCUUUCCGAUGUCCAAAUAUAGUCGUCCAAUAUAUCGAUCUUUACGUCUCGACCAUUUCGAGACUCCUCGUCAUGUCCCCGAUCUCAUCCGGGACUCCGAACUCCUUCGGUACAUCAAAACUUGUAAACUCAUAAUAUAACUAUCAUCGAAACCUUAAGCGUGCAGACCCUACGAGUUCGAGAACAAUGUAGACAUGACCGAGACAUGUCUCCGGUCAAUAACCAAUAGCGGAACCUGGAUGCUCAUAUUGGCUCCCACAUAUUCUAUGAAGAUCUUUAUCGGUCAGACCGCAUAACAACAUACGGUGUUCCCUUUGUCAUCGGUAUGUUACUUGCCCGAGAUUCGAUCGUCGGUAUCUCAAUACCUAGUUCAAUCUCGUUACCGGCAAGUCUCUUUACUCGUUUCGUAAUACAUCAUCUCGCAACUAACUCAUUAGUUGCAAUGCUUGCAAGGCUUAUGUGAUGUGCAUUACCGAGAGGGCCCAGAGAUACCUCUGCGAUAAUCGGAGUGACAAAUCCUAAUCUCGAAAUACGCCAACCCAACAUGUACCUUUGGAGACACCUGUAGAGCUCCUUUAUAAUCACCCAGUUACAUUGUGACGUUUGGUAGCACACAAAGUGUUCCUCCGGCAAACAGGAGUUGCAUAAUCUCAUAGUCAUAGGAACAUGUAUAAGUCAUGAAGAAAGCAAUAGCAACAUAUUAAACGAUCGGGUGCUAAGCUAAUGGAAUGGGUCAUGUCAAUCACAUCAUUCUUCUAAUGAUGUGAUCCAGUUAAUCAAAUAACAACUCUUUUGUUCAUGGUUAGGAAACAUAACCAUCUUCGAUUAACGAGCUAGUCAAGUAGAGGCAUACUAGUGACACUCUGUUUGUCUAUGUAUUCACACAUGUAUCAUGUUUCCGGUUAAUACAAUUCUAGCAUGGAUAAUAAACAUUUAUCAUGAUAUAAGGAAAUAAAUAAUAACUUUAUUAUUGCCUCUAGGGCAUAUUUCCUUCAGGAUACUAGUGGGGUGGUCCCUGCGAUCGAAGGUGAUCGGACAGGAGGACCAUGGGUUGAACUUUGGGGCGACUGGCUCCAACGCAUAUACGUCCCUGAGCACACGCUUCUGUUCCCGUUUGGGGAUGUGCGUUGCAUAUAUCAUGUUCACCGUCCGCACUUGUGGGGGGAACCUCUUCUAUCCUCUUGUAUUCCACUGCCGGGUCUCCUCCUCGUCAUCGCUAUGUGGCCCCUUAUUUUUGUUUUCGGCAAUUAACUUGCCGGCCUGCUUGAAUACCCAACAAUCCCUAUUGGUGUGGUUGGCUGGCUUGUCGGGGAUGCCGUGUAUUUGACACGAGCGAUCGAGUAUGCGGUCCAAACUGGAUGGGCCCGGCGUACUUUGUUUAAAUGGCUUUUUUCGCUGACCAGGUUUAGAGCCUUUGAAUCCAGCAUUGACUGCCGUAUCUUCAGGAUUAUCGUUGUUAAUGCGGCGCUUAUGUUUGUUGCGACGCGACCUGCUAUUGCCAUCCUUGGUAUCCGAAGUACCAUGGUUCUUUGAUAUGUUAUUACUGCGGGCCAGCCAGCUGUCUUCUCCCGCACAAAAGCGGGUCAUGAGUGUCGUGAGGGCUGCCAUAGAUUUCGGCUUUUCCUGACCAAGGUGCCGGGCUAGCCACUCGUCACGGAUGUUGUGUUUGAAAGCCUCUAAGGCCUCUGCGUCCGGACAGUCCACGAUUUGAUUUUUCUUUGUAAGGAACCGAGUCCAGAAUUGUCUGGCUGACUCUUCUGGCUGCUGAAUUAUGUGGCUCAAGUCAUCGGCAUCUGGCGGUCGCACAUAAGUUCCCUGAAAGUUGUCGAGGAAUGCGGCUUCCAGAUCUUCCCAACAGCUAAUGGAAUUUGCUGGCAAGCUGUUAAGCCAAUGCCGUGCUGGUCCUUUAAGCUUUAGUGGGAGGUAUUUGAUGGCGUGUAAGUCAUCGCCGCGGGCCAUGUGGAUGUGGAGGAGGAAAUCGUCGAUCCAUACCGCAGGAUCUGUAGUGUCGUCGUAUGAUUCAAUAUUUACAGGUUUGAAACCUUCUGGGAUUUGAUGAUCCACUACUUCGUCUGUGAAGCAUAGAGGGUGUGCGGCGCCUCUGUAUUGGGCUAUACCGCGACGCAGCUCAAAUGGGUCUUGCCCGCUGUGUUCAGCCCGGCCGGAUUUAUUUUUACUGUAUCCGGCAUGGCGUUUAUCGUCUCGCAUAGUGGCGCGCCCUCGUGAUCCGUAGAUCGAUCUUGCAUGCUUUGCUUUGUCCUCCUAUACGUCUCGCAGGUCUGGCGUGUUUCCCCAUGCUUUUUUAUUUGAAUGGCAUCGGGGUGCGGGCUGAGCUUUUGGCUGGAAUGCCUCUCUAUCACGGCCACGAGGUGGCCGAUCAGCCGCAUCAUACGCCUCUUCCUCCAACCGGGGUAGCAACCUGCACUUUGGGUAACUCUUGGAGGGGCGCUCGAGUUUAUAUUCCUCGACAGCGAGGACUUCAGUCCAUCUGUCAGCUAGCAGAUCUUGAUCAGCUUGAAGCUGCUACUGCUUUUUCUUCAGGCUAUUUGCCGUGGCCAUAAGCCGGCGCUUGAAGCGCUCUUGUUCUACGGGAUCCUCUGGCACAGCGAAUUCGUCAUCGCCGAGGCUUGCCUCGUCUUCGGAGGGGAGCAUGUAAUUAUCAUCCUCCUCCUCUCCGUCUGUCGCUCUCUCAGGAGGGAUGACUCCUCCAUCCUCCUGCUCUAAAUCUUGCUGGAGGGGAUUAUUGUUGUCUUCGGCACUAUCCGGAGUGUUAUUAUCUCCUGUGCUGGUAUCACCACUUUUGCUUUGGCGGGACUUAGAGCGGCGCCGCUGACGUCGGCGCUUGGGUUGCUUCUUGGAGGGGUCAUCCUCCAUUAUCUCGUCGCCAUUGCCUUCUUUGGGUGUAUCCACCAUGUAUAUAUCGUAUGAUGAGGUGGCUUUCCAGUGCCCUAUAGGUGCUGGUUCAUGUUCGUAUCCUACAUUGUCGUCCAUACCGUCGAUGUCUUCAGAGUCGAAGUCGAGCAUGUCGGUUAAAUCAUCGACAGUGGCUACGAAGUGGGUGGUGGGUGGGCGUCGAAUUUCUUUGUCGUCCGCAUCCCAAUCCUGUUGGCCAUAGUCCAGCCAGGGCUCUCCUGACAAAGAGAGAGACCUUAGUGAAUUCAGAAUGUCGCCGAAGGGCGAGUGCUGAAAGAUAUCCGCGGCGGUGAAUUCCAUGAUCGGCGCCCAAUCAGAUUCGAUUGGCAGGGGUGCGGAAGGUUCGGAGUCCGGAAAAGAGUCCGGCACCUUGGAGUCACGGGCUUCGCAGAGGAUGAGGCUGGUGUUCGGCUCGAUCGCCGUUGAGACCGCAGCCCCUGAGGCGAUGUCUAGCCACCCGUCCUCGAUCGGUGCAGUUGGCUCCGAGCUAAGGGUCGGAGGUGAUGCGGGCGCGGCCUCCAAGGCACUGUUUGGUGGCAGAGCUAGGUCAUACCCAUCGUGACAGUGCGGCACGCUCGGUUGUGGCUCGAAUCCGUCGAAGAUCAAGUCUCCGCGGAUGUCAACCAUGUAGUUCAAACUUCCAGAUCUGACCUGAUGGCCAGGGCGUAGCUUUCAAUCUGCUCCAGAUGGCCAAGCGAAUUGGCCCGCAGUGCAAAGCCGCCGAACACGAAGAUCUGUCCGGGGAGAAAGGUCUCACCCUGGACCGCGUUGUUGAUGAUCAGAGGAGCCAUCGGGCCUAAAAGUGACGACACAGAGGAACUCUCAAUGACAGCACCAAUGUCGGUGUCAAAACCGGCGGAUCUCAGGUAGGGGGUCCCGAACUGUGCGUCUAGGCCGGAUGGUAACAGGAGGCAGGGAACACGAUGUUUUACCCAGGUUCGGGCCCUCUUGAUGGAGGUAAAACCCUACGUCCUGCUUGAUUAAUAUUGAUGAUAUGGGUAGUACAAGAGUAGAUCUACCACGAGAUCAGAGAGGCUAAACCCUAGAAGCUAGCCUAUGGUUUGAUUGUAUGUUGUAGUUGUUGUCCUGCGGACUAAAACCCUCCGGUUUAUAUAGACACCGGAGAGGGCAAGGGUUACACAAGGUUGGUAAGAAAUGAGGAGAUAUCCAUAUCCGUAUUGCCUAGCUUGCCUUCCACGCCAAGUAGAGUCCCAUCCGGACAUGGGACGAAGUCUUCAAUCUUGUAUCUUCAUAGUCCAACAGCCCGGCCAAAGGUUAUAGUCCGGCUAUCUGGACACCCCCUAAUCCAGGACUCCCUCAGAUGUGGUGGGUGAUACGGAGAAGAAACUAAAGGAGGCCAAGUGUGAGUUGGAGAAUUGUAGAAAGCAAGCUAUCACACCGGAGAAGGUUGCUGAGGAGGUGAGAUUACGGUGUUUGGUUGAUCAUUUGGAGGAAGUCAUUGAUAUAAAGUGGAGGCAACGAGCUCACGUUUGGUGGCUAAAGGAGGGGGAUAGGAACACAAAGUUUUUCUUUAGAUAUGCCUCGGCGAGAAGGAAGGCCAAUAGAAUCCGAAGGCUUAGGAGGGAGGAUGGAGUGGUGGUGGAGGAACGAAGGGAUCUCACUAACUAUGUCAUAUCUUAUUUUCAGGACCUGUUCACCUCGAAUGGUAAUGGCCAAUAUGAUGAGCUUCUCCGGGCUGUUCCGGUGAAGGUAACGAGUGCUAUGAAUGAGAGCCUCACAGCUGCAUUCUCUGAUAUGGAAAUCAAAGCUGCCCUUGAUCAGAUAGGGGACCUAAAAGCAUCAGGGCCAGAUGGUAUGCCCGCGGUAGUCUUAUAGAAAUAAUGCCAUUUGAUGGGCAGGAACAUCAUUGAGGAGGUGAGACAUGUCCUCGAGGGGGGUGAGAUGUUGGCUGGAUGGAAUGAUACCCAUGUUGUGCUAAUACCCAAGGUCAAAAAACCCUAAAGGAUAAAGGACCUCCGACACAUCAGUUUGUGUAGUGUUCUGUAUAAGAUCAUCUCUAAGGUAAUGGCGAAUCGAAUCAAGCUCAUACUGUCGCAGAUCAUCUCUGACAAUCAGAGUGCGUUUGUACCUGGACGACUGAUAACUGACAAUAUACUCAUGGCCUAUGAGAUCUCACAUUUCUUGAUGAACAAACAAACUGCUAAGGAAGAGUUUGCGGCGGUCAAGGUGGACAUGAGCAAAGCCUAUGAUCGGGUCGAGUGGGCCUUCCUGGAAGCAAUGAUGUAUAAACUUGGGUUCGCGAGCAGCUUGCUGAAGCUUGUAAUGAAGUGUGUAACCUCGGUGAGGUACAGCAUCAAAGUUAAUGGCGAGCUAUCCCAACAAUUUGCGCCUUCAGGAGGGCUCCAGCAGGGCGAUCCGAGCUCUCCCUAUCUCUUUGCAAUUUGUGGAGGGUUUUGUCGGCUUUGCUGAAUGAGGCCCAGUAGUGAGGUAGAUUUGGAGGUAUACAGAUUUGUCCGGGAGCUCCGUCUAUCUCACACCUAUUUUUUGUUGAUGACUCGGUGCUUCUCAUGAGAGCACGAAUGGAGGAAGCCUUGGAACUUCAACGCACCCUACAGGUCUAUGAGAGAUGUUCGGGACAUUGUGUAAAUCAUGAGAAAUCUGCGGUGAUGUUUAGUAAAAACUGCUCCGAACAGACCAAAGGAAAUGUGAAGGGGGCCUUGGGCAUUGAUAGUGAUGCGUACAAUGAUAAAUAUUUGGGACUCCCAAUGUACAUUGGGCAUUCCAAGUGCAAGGCUUUUUCUUACCUAAAGGACCGGAUUUGGAACUACAUGCAGGGCUGGAAUGAGAGGAAACUAUCUAGGCAAGGCAAGGAAAUUCUUGUUAAGGUUGUUGUGCAGGCGGUUCCAACAUUUGCAAUGUAAGUGUUCUACCUCACCAAAACCUUCUGCGAAGAGCUUAGUGCUAUGAUUGCUAGGUACUGGUGGAGCCAGCAGGACAAGGAUAACAAGAUUCAUUGGGUUGGCUGGCCAAAGCUAACAAGGUCAAAGGGAAGGGGGGACUUGGUUUCAGAGACAUCCAUGACUUUAACAUUGCUAUGUUGGCCCGGCAAGUGUGGCUUCUGAUAGAGUAGGCAGACAGUUUGUGUGCGUAGCUCGUGAAGGCCAAGUACUACCCGGAUUGCUCCAUUCUGGAUGCGGGGCAGAGUUCAAACAUGUCCUAUGCAUGGCGCAGCAUCACAUACGGCACUGACCUAGUUAAACAAGGUAUGAUUGAUACGUCUCCAAUGUAUCUAUAAUUUUUUAUUGUUCCAUGCUAUUAUAUUAUCUGUUUUGGAUGUUAUUGGCUUAUUUAUACACUUUUAUAUUAUUUUUGGGACUAACCUACUAGCCCAAGGCCCAGUGCAAAUUGUUGUUUUUUGCCUAUUUCAAUGUUUCGCAGAAAAGGAAUAUCAAACUGAAUCCAAACGGAAUAAAACCUUUGGGAGAGUUAUUUUGGAACAAACAUGAUCCAGGGGACUUGAAGUGGACGUCAAGAAACCAACAAGGAGGCCACGAGGCAGGGGCGCUCCUACCCCCCCCCCCCCUUGGGCGCGCCCUACACCCUUGUGAGCCCCUUGUGGCUCCACCGACCUACUUCUUCCUCCUAUAUAUAUCCAUAUACCCCGAAAACAUCCAGGAGAACCACGAAACCCUAUUUCCACCGUCGCAACCAUUUGUACCCAAGAGAUCCCAUCUUGGGGCCUUUUCCGGAGCUCCGCAGGAGGGGGAAUCGAUCAUGGAGGGCUUGUACAUCAACACCAUAGCCUCUCUAAUGAUGUCUGAGUAGUUUACCUCAGACCUUCGGGUCCAUAGUUAUUAGCUAGAUGGCUUCUUCUCUCUCUUUGGAUCUCAAUACAAUGUUCUCCUUGAUCUUCUUGGAAAUCUAUUUGAUGUAACUCUUUUUGCGGUGUGUUUGUCGAGAUCCGAUGAAUUGUGGGUUUAUGAUCAAGUUUAUCUAUGAAAAUAUUUGAUUCUUCUCUGAAAUUUUUUAUGUAUGAUUGGUUAUCUUUGCAAGUCUCUUCGAAUUAUCAGUUUGGUUUGGCCUACUAGAUUGAUAUUUCUUGCAAUGAGAGAAGUGCUUAGCUUUGGGUUCAAUCUUGCGGUGUCCUUUCCCAGUGAAAGCAGGGGCAGCAAGGCACGUAUUGUAUUGUUGCCAUCGAGGAUAAAAAGAUGGGGUUUAUAUCAUAUUGCUUGAGUUUAUCCCUCUACAUCAUGUCAUCUUGCCUAAUGUGUUACUCUGUUCUUAUGAACUUAAUACUCUAGAUGCAUGCUGGAUAGCGGUCGAUGUGUGGAGUAAUAGUAGUAGAUGCAGAAUCGUUUUGGUCUACCUGUCACGGACGUGAUGCCUAUAUACAUGAUCAUGCCUAGAUAUUCUCAUAAUUAUGCACUUUUCUAUCAAUUGCUCGACAGUAAUUUGUUCACCCACCGUAAUACUUAUGCUAUCUUGAGAGGAGACACUAGUGAAACCUAUGGCCCCUGGGUCUAUCUUUUAUCAUAUAACUUUCCAAUCUAUUUUAUUUUGCAAUCUUUGUUUUCCUAUCUAUAUCAUAAAAAUACCAAAAAUAUUUAUCUUAUUAUUAUUAUCUCUAUCAGAUCUCAGUCUCGUAAGUGACCAUGAAGGGAUUGACAACCCCUUUAUCGCGUUGGUUGCGAAGUUCUUAUUUGUUUGUGUAGGUAUGAGGGACUUGCGUGUAGUCUCCUACUGGAUUGAUACAUUGGUUCUCAAAAUCUGAGGGAAAUACUUACGCUACUUUGCUGCAUCACCCUUUCCUCUUCAAGGGAAAACCAACGCAGUGCUCAAGAGGUAACAAUCAUCUGGCUUGUAGGGGGUGGGCAUAACAUUCACAUUUGGGAUGACCCAUGGAUACCAGAGCUUGGUCUAGGCGAGUCAUCACUCCUCGUGGGGGUAAUCUUUUGACCAAAGUUUCUGAGCUCAUCGAUCCAACUACUGGCAAGUGGGAUAUGGAAUUGGUCAAUGAUAUGUUCUGGGAUGAGGAUGCCAAGUUGAUUCUUUAGAUGCCAUUAAGGGACGGGGCAGUAGAUUUCUUGGCAUGGCACUUUGACCCAAAAGGUGUGUUCUCGAUUAAGCAGGUGUAUAAAUUGAAACGGGCACUAUCCGAGACCAGGGGUGCACAGGCGAAUGGUAUAUCCCAUGAUGCGGGGAAUUUAGAUGGAGGUGGGGAGGUGAGAUGGAAGAGACUAUGGAAAAUGCCAUGUCCUGGGAAGGUUGGGCAUUUCAUGUGGCAGCUUGCGCACAACACACUGGCCACUAAGGAUAUCCUAUGUCGAAGGGGAAUGGUUAUUGAGGAUCAUAAGUGCUUCUUGUGCAAUGCGAGAAACGAGUCGGCCAAACACCUGUUUGUUGAGUGCCAUGAGGUAAAGCAUUUAUGGCGGGGUCUCAAUCUUGAGUAUGUCAGGCAGCAGCUUGCGGAAUGUGAUUGUGUUGACACCACCCUGGACUGUUUGUGGCAGCUACCUGAGAAAGACUGGAUGGUUAUCAUCGUCAUGUGGUGGUAGUGGUGGGCUCAACGGAAUAAGGUCCGGGAGGGAGACAAGCCGAUAGAGCACGUGUAGUUUGCCGUUAGGGCUGCAUGUACUGCCGGCGAGUACCAGGGGUGUUUUUGUAAAACGCCUACCCCGCCGGCAAGCGCGCCUCGCUGGACCCCUCCACCACAGGACAUGCUAAAGUUCAAUGUUGAUGGAGCUUUUGCUGAGGAUGGCAUGCAUGGGGGCUGGGGAGUGGUGGUACGGGAUAAUACAGGUGAGGUGGUGGCAGCACCGGUUGGGCGACUUGAUCGUGCUGCGGAUGCAUUCAGCACUGAGCUGAGAGCAGUGGAGCAAGCGCUAGAUCUUGCGGCCGAACUGGGGGUCGUGCGGCUGACUAUUGAAAUGGACGCCCUGCUGCUUGAACAGGCCCUAAACAGACGUGCUCCAGAUUGUUCGCGACAAGCACAGGCGAUUUAAGACAUCAAGGUGCAGUCCCGGUUAUGGUUCUCUUCAUGUGUAUUUGCCCAUUGUAAGCGCGAGGCCAAUAUGCCAGCGCACCAUAUGGCCAAGUUAGGCCUGGCUCUCCAAGUGGGAGAUGUUCUAGUUGCUGAUGAUGUAAUUCCAGCCAUUGUUGUUGAGUUUGUAAUGGGCGAUCGUGCCCAGUACGUUUCGUAAUAAAGCUAUUUGCUUGCCCUAAAAAAACAAUUCACAUCUUAAUUUGCAAUGGUUAGUACAAUUCUCUUUUAUUUCACCCACAGAUUCUUUUGUUUUUCUUCAUCAGAUCCUAUUUGGUUCCAUCGUGGCAUGUUCCUGUGCAUUCUAGUGCUCACCGUGAUCCAUAUUCCGGUAUUCCCCAUAGGAUUGAGAGAGUGCCAAGAAGUAUACUAGUGUCCUACUCGAGUACGACACUGAACUAGAUACUGAUGUGCUUCGUGCUCGUCGAGACAUCACCGGGCUGGACAUCGCAACAUACAACAAAAAUAUAAAAAUUUACCAUUAAAAUAAUACAAAACCAAAGAUGACCAAUAUAUAUGAAAACUACUCCAAUUUAGUCAAAUCUUAAGCCCGAAACCAAUUACCAAUUUUUGAAGCCACUCUAUCUGCCCAACACAUAUCAGAUAUGAUCGGCCCAAGCAAUGCAACCGGGCACCCCAAUUGGGCCAAGCCGAAAAUAGUGAUUCUCAUAUUAUUAUUUUUCUGCGCCUGCUUCGUACGUGCAUGUGUAAACGUGCAGCGCAGCACGUUUUGUUCUCUUUCUCUACCGUUUUUAAUUCUUCAUCUUCUUCUGUUUAUUUUCCUUUUUUCAAGAAUACUCUCUAAAUUAACAAAGAAUGUGUGAAUACUUUCUUCAAAUCAUCUAAACCUUUUCUUUAAUGCAUGAACACUUUUCAAAACAACCAUUAACGGACUUUUUUUAAACACAUUGUGACAACUUUUAGUACGCCAUAAUCCUCUUUUGUAUUACGCGGUAAACAGACAUUUGAUAAAUGUUUCUUGCAUAUUUUAAAAAUAUUCACCAUUUAUUUGGAAAAUGCUCGUUGCAUAUUUCAAUAAUGUUUUCCAUGUAUUUAUAAAAUGUACAUGAAGUAUUUUUUUUAAAUGUGAACCACAUAUUCAAAGCAUGUUCUUCCUAUAUUCCAAAAAUCUUUGUCACGUAUUCAAAAGACUAUUCACAACAUAUUAGAAGAAGUCCUCAUUGCGUAUUUAAAAAAAAUUUGUUGUGUUUUUAAGAAUUGUUCACCGUGUGUUCAAAAAAAUAUUCACCACGUAUUUAAUUAAAUUUCACCGUAUAUUGCAAAAAGUUUCUUGAUGUAUUUAUUAAAUAUUUCAUCGUGUAUUUUAUAAAUGGUCAUCGCAUAUUUAUUAUUCACUACAUAUUCAAAAAUGUUCAUCACGUACUUAGAAAGACGUCCACCCAAUAUGGACAAAUGUCCAUCACGUCAUUCAAAAGUAUUCCUCUAUUCAAAAAUCUUUUAAUAUCUUUUAAAUAAUUAUGUAUCCUAAAUAAUAUUCAGAAAAGGAAAUGGAUCCAAAAAAUAGUACAAAGGGAAAAAGAAAAAAGAAAACAGAUAAAUGGAAAGACGAGAAUAAAACAUAAAACUAAACUGGAAAACCAGAAAAAACGGAAAAGAUAUAAUCAAACCAAAAGAAGAAACAAAAAACAAAAUAUGCAAUACACAAUACAGGGGAAAGAAAAAGAAAAAUUGUAAGUUUGUCCCGGAGCCCAACAUCCGGCCAGGAUUGGGCCUCACUUUAUCGCCCAUGGCCCUGCCCAAAGCCCAGGAAAAGCCCAAUGAAACAUGUUUUUUGAGGUAUAUUAACAAAUAUAGGCAUAGUAUAGUUUAUAUAGCACCAAAAUUAGCUGUUUUAUUAAUUUUAAAUGAGAAAACAGCCAUUUUCCUGGGCUACGAACUAGGCCGAGCGAGGCCCAUGCGUGCGAAAUUUGGGUCGGGCAUUGUACAGCCCGGUCUGAACCCAGCUCAUCCCGGAGAAUGCCCAACUUUAUCUGAAAACAAGUGUUCAGAAUGUCCGCCCAUGCGCGACAUGAGCCCUGCAUGCGUGAAGGAACACGGGCCCAUGUUGUGAUGUUCACUUCAUAUUUUUUGUUUUUCUUUGUUCCUCUACCUUUAGAAAUUCUCCACUGAUAUUUUUGGGAAACUACUUUUAGUAUCUAUAUUUAAAAGUAGUUCGUCGCAUAUUAUGGUGUAUUUCAACAUAGUUCAUCGCAUAUUAGAAAAUAUAUUGAUCGCAUAUUUCACAAGAUAUACAUCAUGUAUUCCAAAAUAUUCACCUCAUAUUCUAAAAUGUAUAUCUUUGCAUAUCUCAAAAUUGUUCAUCACAUAUAAUUUUUUGUCACAAUGUACUUAAAAAAUAUUCUUGUGUAUUUUAAUAGUAUUCACCAUUUAUUUGGAAAAUGUUAACUGUAUAUUUCAAAAUGUUUCUAAUGUAAAAUAAUGUACAUCAUGCAUUUAAAAAAUGUGCACCACAUAUCCAAAACAUUUACUUUCUGUAUUUGAAAAUGGUCAUCGUGUAUCCAAAAACUAUUCAAUAUAUAUUUGGAUAAACGUUUCUCCUGUAUAAAACUAUUCCAACGUGUUCGAAAAAAGUGCUUCGUGUAUUUAAUAAAAAUUCACCACAUAUUGAAAAACGUUUCAACAUGUAUUUUGUAAAUGGUCAUCACUUGUUUUAAAAUUAUUUACCACAUAUUCGAAAAAUGUCCAUCAUGUACUUAGAACAAUGCCCACCCCAUAUGAAAACAAGUGUGCAUCACGUUAUUCAAAAGUAUUCUUAUAUUAAAUAAAUAUUGUAUCCUUUCCUAAAUAAUUAUUUAUCGUAAACAGUAUUCAGAAAAGGAAAUGGAAGCCAAAAUAGUGUUUAGUAAAAAAGACAAAACAAAAGAGAUAAAUGGAAAGAAGGGAAUAAAAGAUAAACCUAAAUUAGAAAACCAGACAAAUGAAAAGUGAAAAGGUCAAAGAAUAAAUAAAAAGGUAAAAACACAGAAAGGAAAACUGAAAACAAAACAAGAAAAGAAACAAAAAAACUGCACAAAGAAAUAAAGCAGAAAAAAACUGCGUUAAUAGGCCUGGUCCGUGGGUGGAACGACGGGCGCGGUCACUCGUUGUACAUCGCAGUAAGUGAGAUAUAGCUUUUUUGUGUUAAAUCGACAGGUUGAGCGACGAUGUAUCCCCAUAAACUUUAGCCCGAUCACGCAUACGAAUCUUAACCCCUAGAUUUAGUAAAAUUUAUAGCCCAAGAAGAUAAUGUACUUGUUGCCAAUCGUGACCCAGGCAAGUAUAAGUUCAAGCCAAUUAGAGCAUCUCCAACAGCCGCGCUAAACAAACGCCGCACCGUAAAUUUGACCAUCUUAGCGUGCGCGCAACCCGGCGGGUGGCUCCAGCGGGUGCGCAAUAACCGCGCGUGUGGUAUAAAGAGUUAGGCGCGCGGUCGGAUUCGCUAUCUCGCGUGGUGUAUUUGGGGCACCCGCUUCCGCGCGCGGCACACUCGAGUGCUCGCGCCGCACUCUCUCCUCUCCGCCUCCUACGCCCCGCGCGCGCCCGCGCCGGCGAACUGCACCCAUGGACGCACGCGCCAGCACCCCGCUCACCCCAUCCUAUAGCCGCGACCCCUCCACCGCUGCCGCCGCCGCCGCAAACCCUAGCGCGGGUGGCGUUGGCCUCGCCUCCGCCGAAGCUCCUCCGACCAUCGGCCUCGCGCGCGGCCUCUUCAUGCCGUCGCGGAUGACCUUGGCGGCGGGUGGCGGCGCGCCGGCGCCGGCCCGAACCGCCGCCCUCUCCUCGAAGCUCCCCAAUGCGGCGCGGCCAAAGAAGGGCAAGACAUCGGCGAAGAAGAACAAGGCGGCGGACGGCUCCGGCACCUCGAAGGCAAGGAGGAAGAAGCUUGCAGGGCGUGCGACGGGCGCGGCGGCUACCGAAGCACCGGCGAGCUCACUCGUUGAGCCGGCGGCCGACGCGCACAACAUGUUCGACGAAAUGCCCCCAAGGUAGAAUUUUUUUUCCAACUUUUCUUUUCUUGUUAUUUUUUCAAUGCAUUCAUAUAGAUAGCUUAUUUGCAUUGUUCAAAAAACUUUGUAGUCUCAAUGAUGAUGCAUACAUGUCAACUAUGGGUGUUGGCUCCAACAAUUCGCAUUGGUCUCAAACCAAUGACAUACAUUUCGAAGACCAUGAGUUCGAGGUGGACGAGGAGGAUGAGGGCAUUGUCGACGUGCUGAAAGGAAGAGCGGGCAAUUACACCAACGCCGAUGACAUCUUACUAUGCAAUACUUGGUUGCAAGUGUCGAGGGAUCCAUCCGUUGGAGGUGAUCAAAGUAGAGAUGCUUUAUUGGGGGCGGAUGAAAGAACACUUUGAUGUUCACAACGUGAGUGGAAUUGACCGCUCCAAGAGAUCACUUCGGUCCCGAUGGUCGACAAUCAACUUGGACUGUCAAAGAUGGGCGGCCUGUCAAAAGGUGGUUGACAAGUUGAACCCAAGUGGCACAAAUGAGGACGAUAGAGUAAGUGGCAUUCCAUACAUGUUCAUCAUACUUGUUGUUGGUGUUCGAAGUGCUAACUUGCUUUGUUUUCAUGUAGUACAACAUUGCACAAAACUUGUUCAAAGAAGAGGAGAGGAAAACCAAGAAGGGGAAGAUCAAGAAAGGAAGGGUCUUUACCUUGCCUCAUUGCUAUAACGUGUUGAAGGAUGAUGAGAAAUGGAAGAAGCGUAAAGAUUUGGAUGAUUUGCUUUUGAGCAACAAACGCAAGCGAACAAUUGAGUUGGAUGAUGAGGAGGAGAAUGAUGCAUCAAGUGAUGACGGCAAGAGAAGCCCCACACCCAACUCAGUUUCAUACUCAAAGCCAAAAUGACCGGAUGGAUGCAAGAAAGACAAAACAGAAAAGAAAAAGAGGAAAGGAGAUGAUGAGCUCAAAAAUGCUAUGGAAGCUAUUGUAAAGGCAAGAAAAUAAGCCAACGAGGUGAGAAAAAUGGUAAGGAACCAAGAUGCCGCGGCCGAGGAGAGGAGGUUGGCGGACGAGGAGAGGAAGGUGGCGGCCGAGGAGAGGAAGGUGGCUUUGGAGGAGAGGAAGGUGAGAAAUGAGGAGUGAACAAGACUGUUGGAAUGGGAGAAGCACUUGUUCUUCUUGGACACAUCUAACCUCAAUGAGGCGCAAAAGGAGUAUGUCAAUCUUGCCAGUGAAGAAGUCUUAAUUCAAAAAAGAGCCAUGAUUCGUGCAAUAGGUGGCGGUGGCCUUGGCGCCAUGGGUGGCAUGGGUNNNNNNNNNNNNNNNNNNNNNNNNNNNNNNNNNNNNNNNNNNNNNNNNNNNNNNNNNNNNNNNNNNNNNNNNNNNNNNNNNNNNNNNNNNNNNNNNNNNNNNNNNNNNNNNNNNNNNNNNNNNNNNNNNNNNNNNNNNNNNNNNNNNNNNNNNNNNNNNNNNNNNNNNNNNNNNNNNNNNNNNNNNNNNNNNNNNNNNNNNNNNNNNNNNNNNNNNNNNNNNNNNNNNNNNNNNNNNNNNNNNNNNNNNNNNNNNNNNNNNNNNNNNNNNNNNNNNNNNNNNNNNNNNNNNNNNNNNNNNNNNNNNNNNNNNNNNGGCAUGGGUGCACCUCCGGCCGUCAUGGGCGGAAUGUCUUUUGAUGUGCCUCCUCACACACAUUCCCAUGAAGAUACCGUUGAAGAUCUUGUCAACACCGUCGGAGCUUCACGUGAUGCGGUGCGCGAUGAGGAGAGAGAGAAAGAUUCAUCUUCGGAGGCAGAAGAAUCGUCUUCCGAAGAUGAGGACGAAGAUGAGAACGAGGAUUGAUGUGUCUUUCAUUUGUGUGUUGAACUUGGUUUGCAUUUUAAACUUGGUUGGAUGAACUUGUGGGCAUGAUUUUAAACUCGUGGUAUGAACUUUUAUUCAUCAACUUGUUUGUGUGAAAUUUUAUAUGUCAUGUUCAUUGCAUUUUGAAUGUUUCAAAUUUAUUUUGUGUUCAAAUGCCAUAUAUGCAAUGCCCCGGCGAGUCGCGCGCGCUACAUUUUUUGCAAGUUGCUGAAGCGACGCGUGCGCCCUGCAUUUUAGCGCGGCUGUUGGAGCCAGCACUGGUGGCCACGCAAAACCAGACGAACGGCGCACGGCAAACUAAUUUUUAGCGCGCGGCGCGAAGCGCGGCUGUUGGAGAUGCUCUUAGGCAACUAGAGACAGCCAUCCCUCGUUGUAUUGAAAAGGGAGGCAGCUCAAGAUCAUCAUUUCAUUUUUCAAAAAAGAUAACCAUUUACCGUUAAAAAGUACAAAACCAAAGAGGGCCAAACAUAAAUACUGAUCAACCCGUUGUAUUGAAAAUAAAACGAGUUACAUGUUUUUCUAACUCAUCAAUUUCCUCUUUCUCCGACUCACAUAUCACAGUGAGUUUCAUGCGCCCACCAAUAAACCCCGUCAGAAAAAGCUCGGGUUAUGGAAUUUGGUGUGAAUGCCCAAUCCAUUAUGCAUCCAUCGAAUCUAUGAAUUUGGUGUGAAUUUGGUGUGAAUUUGGUGUGUAGUCAUGUACUUGAUCGGAUAUGUAAACACACCUUGCACCGAUCGUGCAUCCAUCGAAUCUAUGAAUUCUGGACAAACUCCAUUGAACUACGUAGUAAUUAAUAGAGUAGUGAAAAUUUGGCUCCUCUAUCUGUGCUAUACAUGGUAAAAUUUCACCAUUCCUUUUGUCUAGUUGUGUCAUAUACUAUUGAGUUUCAUAUGCCAACCAGUAGACUCCAUUUCUGUUGCCAGAUUCAGUGACCGCUACAUAAUCUGCUGGCUCAUGUAUUUUACCUCUGAAUUUUGAGAUGGCUCCAUGGAUUAAUGGACUAGUGAUUAGUAGUACGAGUAAUAAUUUUUGGUUGUAGCUAGAAGUUGAGGACGCUGCUGGCGUAGUAGGGAGACAAGCAGAGGCCCUCCAUCCAGGGGCUCCUCAGCUGCGUCAGGAACGGGUCCUGCAUCCACUCCAGCCCAGCGCCGCCCUUGGCCGUCUCCAGCUGCGGCAGCCGCAUCGCCGGCGGCCUCGCCACCGCCACGGCCUCCUCCUUCUUCACCCCGUGGUGGCCAUGGUGCUGCACGACGGCGUUGACGGCCUCGUUGGCGACCUCCGACGCGGAGGAGACGUCGGGCGAGCCGGCGCUGCAGUGGGAGGCCGUGGUGGUGGGCGGGGAGGAGCGCGUGCGCGCGAGCUCCUCCAUGGCGACCCGCUGCUCCAGCUCCUUGAGCGACACGGCCUUGCGGUACACCUUGCAGAGCACCACGUCCUGCUGCUCGCCGGCGCCGGCUCCGGCGAGGUCGGGCAGGCGGUACUCGUUCAUGACCCAGUCUGUCUUGGUGCCCCGGGGCGCGCGGCCCUGGUAGUAGACGAGCGUCUUCUUGAGCCCGACGAGGCGCUUGGGAUCGGCGGCGCAGCGCACGGCGCGGUCGGACCCCGUGGCCUUCCAGAACCCGCGCUCCGUGGUGCGGCUCGGGCGCCCGCCCCCGGCAACGCCGGACGCGUGCUUCCGGGCGCCGUCGCGGGGCACGAAGAAGUACCACUCGCGCUCGCUGGCGAUGGCGGCCAGGCCCGGGAGGUCCCAGGGGUCGUGCCGGUACAGGUGCACCGUGGGGAUGAUGUCGAACGGCGCCCUGAGCUGCUGCUGCUUGUUGUUUCGGGUGACGUGGUGCUUGAGGUAGAACUCCAGCAGCUCCUCCUCCGUGGGGUGGAAGCGGAACCCCGGCAGCUCCAGCGACGGCGCCGCCGCUGCUCCUCGCCGCUCCAUCUCGAUCAGAUCAGCUAGCUAGCUUGAGUAGAUUCCAGACUGGUAAGCGGUGGUGUUGGUUGUUGGAUGAAUGUGUUGGGAGAGCAGAGGAUGCUUGCCGCAUAUAUAGUCCGGCGGCGAAGCUCAAGUUGAUGAUGUAUAAGGCUUUACAAAAGGGAUUAAUUAAGAAAGGAAAUUGGUAGGAAGUUAUGUUCGUGUGUAGUGGUUCCCUGUUAAAAUCCACUAAGUUGUACUACAUCAUGAAGUUUCCCCUUGGCCAAUCCAAGUUAGUGGGAGAAUCAUGAUUGGUCAACCACUAGAGAGUAAUCAGCAGAGUAAAUUUUGACUUUGAAUCAGAAAUUUGCGGUAUUUUUAUUUUCGAACAUUGCGCAACAUUUUAGCUUCAUAAGAAAAACUGACCACAAAAAGGCUAAUGCAUGGCAAGUUGUCAUAGAAAUAUAGCAAAGAUUGGGCUCAAUGUCAAUUUUCAUUCCAUGCAAAGUAGAUCAUAGGAAUUGAAUUUUUUUUUAUCCUAGUACAAAUCAAACAAGGUCUAUGUAUAGAAAUAGAUCUAAAGAAUGUAAUCCUCCAAUAUUCUUAUUUUAUUCACAUUCACCCUUGAUGGUGAGGAUUUUCAUUUUGAGAAACACACCACAAACGUAUAAAUCCACAUACACGCACGCACAGUCACCCAAUAAACACACGCAUGUACACUCUCUCAUGUGAGCACCUAGAGACUGAGCUAGCAGGCCCGCCACAAAUGUCAUCAAAAAGCCUGGAAUAAAUUUAGGAAAAUGCGACCACUCGUGUCAAGUCCAGGACCUAAACCCAGGUAUGCACAUUCCACCAAAAGGAACCUAGGCAUCUCAGUUUGCUUAAUGGUGAUGAUUAAAAGGAUAAAUAGAAAGGAAACUAAGUAGAAGGUAUAGGUUGUGUUUUGCGUAGUGCUCCCCUGUUGAUGCCCUCUAUGCUAGCCUUUCAGGUGGAUUAUGGCAUUAUGCCAAAAAAGAAGGGGGUAGUCCUGUUCUUUUAACCAGUUCUUUUUGUCUAUUUUCCUCCGGCUAGACAACCUGUGUUUCUGUGUGUUUGUGACUUAUUUUUAUACUGUAAUAAUGAAACAAGUUUCGCAGCCCCCCUGACAGCAACCAUCAUAAGUUUGUGAUUAAUUAUGGAAAAUAGGUAUGUGUACGGAGCAGCAUCAUUUAACAGGGUUUUGCAGGAGCCGCCUUGACAGCUCAAGGUCGUGGAAGAAUCUAGAAAUCAAUCAAGCGUUGCAGAAUACUUAAAUUUGCCUGCUAUGUUUGUAAUAAUUAAAUAAUAGACAGUUUUGCUAAAGCACAUCUAAGUCAUAUGUCAUUGAUCUUAUAUUGAGAUUCGUGUGAAUAUAUUUUUUUCUCUUUUUUUUUCUCUUUUAUACUUGAUUCACUCAUUUAGAUGUGCAAUAACUAUAGCUCAUCUAGAUGUGCCCUAGACACACCCUUCGUAGAGUCACCAUUCCAAAUAAAAAUCAGGUGAGUGUGUGAUUGGAUAAUUAGAAGAUUUAGCGCAGCUAACCCGAUUGGGCUAACGUCGCUCUCAAGAGGCAUGAGGGGCCACUUGCAAAAUACUUAUAUAGGAGUAGUAUAUUCUGAGAAGCCACUCUUGACCGUAGGUCAAUCCUUUCGCAGCCAUACUUCCUUUAUGAAAAGGAUGCGGCUAAGCAAAGAUAAAUAAGCAGAGAUCCAUCCAUGCGUUCAAAUCCAGAUGAUUGGUCCAGCAGGCAAAGUGAGCAGUGAAGGUGAAGCAUUGCCUCGGUCGUAGGUAAGCUCCACUGACACUGACGCAUUUUGAAACGGUAAAAAGGUACUCCCUCCGUUUCGAAUUACUUGUCUUAGAUUUGUCUAGAUGCGGAGGUAUCUAGCACUAAAUAGAUCGUCAUGGUUCACAGCCUCAGCAAUGGAGUGCUGGAGUAGGCACAAAAAAGCUCACCAAGAUUUUCAGCAGGUCGUUGGUGCGUGCAUGUCCACCAGCGGCGAGCGGCCGUGACUUUCCACAGCAAAUUCCAAAAGGGGGUGACACACCGCACCACAUAUCCCCAAAUAUCCUUUUCCGUCCGUCCCUCCGGCCGUCGGUGUCGCUGAACGCAGAAAACCGUGUCGAAUUGUUCCAAAGCCUUGAACUUCUUUCCUCCUCUUUUUCCCCUGUGUUGACGAGCAGGAAAUUCAAGGUGGAAAAUCAUUACACAAAGACUAAUACUAAAACAAAAUAAAAUAACAUAAAUUAUACCGUAAUAAUAAUGGUUUUGAUGAAAGUGGUUCCACCUUUUUAGGUGCAUCGCAUUUGCAUUUGGCUUUGGGCAACUAUCCCUGGCCAAAUGUAGUGCUCCAUGUUGGUUGACACCAUAUAGAGGAAAAAAGGGUAAAGGAAGUUGCCUUCGACUUCAACGUCGUCUUGUGCCUCUUCGCAGGAAGCAACCUUGGAACCCUCCCAGAAAACGGCUCGAAAAGAAAUUCUCUCCUACAAAAAGUGAAGCGAUUAGGCUGCUGAAAUGCACAUUAUAUUUUGUGCUGCAGAAUAAAACAUGUAGGGACUAGUGUGUGUGUUUCACUGUCACAACCCACAGCCAUAGACUGGAGACUGGACUGCCUGCUGCUGAAAAUCAAGAAAGGGACGCCAUGCAGCAGCAUGCACACCAGCAAGCACCCAUCCGUCCAUCCAAUCCACGUCGCGUAGAAUCUAGACCGUUUCUCCUGCCAUCCGGCCCAGGCCGCUGUCGAUCUCAUCUCGGCCGGUCAAGUCCAUGCCUGUGUCGCCUCUGUUCAUGCCAAAAACGCAGUGCAGCCACUCACCUGGCACCACGGGCGCAAAAGGAGCAGAGGAAGAAGAUGGCCAUGGCAGCUUGCGGUACUUUGAAACGGUCCAAGUCUUGGGCGAUGCGCACUUCUCAUGCCCACCGUGGCCUCGAUGGUCAGUGCCGUGAGCGAUGAUGACGACAAUGGUCGCCUUUUGGUUGUGGAGGAUCCAACACCUGGAACAAGUUAGUGAUGGGUUUCUUUCAACCGGAGAAUUUUGGGACAUGAUAAGAUGGCUUACCUUUGUGUGCCACCAUGACGCCUUGUCUCAGGAAAGGAAACAAGGACUGAAGCUUCCCCAGCACUGCAGUUAUUAGCACAAAAAGAUAUGUACAAUCUAGGCUUUCUUGGCCCUGCAGUUAUUAGCAAAAGAAGAUACAAUCCAGGCUUAUAGCAAUAUGCAUCAAUUAUCAUGUAACUAUGUAAGGCAAAAAGAAAUUGCAAACAGACAACUGUUUUUAUUCUGGGCUGAAAGCCCGAAACUUCCUUUAUGACAGAGGACUCGGGAUGGCGCAUAUUUGGCACAUAUAGCCGGACUCGACCCGCACCAUCACCUCUUAUUUACCUUUCUAUAUAGUAGGUAACCUCAGCAAAGUCCAAGCCAGAAUCUCAAGUCUGCACAGUUUGACAGUAUUGCUACUACUAGCAAUAGCAGGAAUAUUACAAGGACGUCGGUACACGGUUCUGAUCAAGCGUUGAUAUGGUGCUUAUUUGUUAUCUUUGUCAGGUGACCCGAAGACAAAGUUAAUUCCCUUCUUGCUGGAGUCACCUCCUGUAGACGCCUUUUUGGAACCAGAAGUCGCCUCACCAUCUGCUGCGUCUUUGACACGAGUGGCUUCAACAUCGAUGUACCCAGGAGCAGCUUUGCCCCAAGAAGCAGCUCCUUCAUCCUUAGGCUUUUCCGCUUUUUCCUCGACGCGAUAGUAAGCCUGGCAAGAGAGCAUUUUGUGAGGUUGUGCUGCGGUUUUUUGUUGCUGUUAAUUAUUUAUUACUAAACCCUCUCAGUAAUUAGCAUUACCACACAAGUGCGGGGUGGAGACAGGACUUUGAAUGAAUUAGGGCGGUUGUUGAAGUUUGUUUCAGGUACUCCUGGUACUCCUUCAGGUGACGUGAAGUGAUCGUUGUCAUGGGCCACCUGCGAUGCAGCACAGAUCAACACUGCAAAUAAGAUUAUCUGAUGCAACCUUGAUGGCCCCUUCUAUAGAAGAAUAUAGGUGUGCAAAACAGAUCUUGAACAAUAUUAACAUUGCUUACUCUUCCAUGUCCACCAAACAUCAGAGCAUCGGAGUCCAGAGCUACCUUGUACUUCCCAGGCAAAUCACAUCCGACUUUGUAACUGCGUAUUUUUAAAGUGGAAACGAUUAAGCACAUUAUACAUUAUAAGCAGAAGAAAUAUUGAAAGGCAAAGCUUGCACAAGAGAUCAGUUACCCAUCAUAAGUUUUACUGGGAUGAAAAUUGAAGACGAAGACCAGAUCUCCACGUUCAAAUACAAUAAUCUGGAAAGGAAGUUGGAUUGAGUCCAUAGGCCAUUUUGAGACAACAAUUGUUCAUAUCAAAAAGAUACGGUUUCAACUUGUUUGGUAACAUAAAACGCACAAGUCAGAGUUGCUAUUCUUAAGAGUAGGAGUGAAUCAAAUGAUGCAACAACUGCCCUGACUAAACAUUGUAUAGUUAACUACCUUCUUUUCCUCAUUCAUGUCGCUGACAAUCUGCUUUGAUGACGAUAGGAAGGAAAACUUGUCGUCGAGCGCAUUCAUUGCUUGAUCAAAUGCGUUCAUGUACUGCUCAAAUUAUAUAUGUUAGGCGAGAAAUACAAAAUGCUUGAAUGCAGAAAAGCUGGAUAAAAUAUGAGAAAAUUCGUGAAAGGCUAUUAUUAUUUAUCAUAUGCAGAGAAAAAUAACUUCCUGUUAACAAAAGAACACAGCCUUCAAAUAAAAUUUGGGAAAAUGCAACGUCAAUUUCUAUAUGGAUAAUGUAUGUACUGCAUAUCAAUAAUGUGUAAGAAUCAAUAAAAUUAGUAGGUUAACACAGGCAAGAUUUGGUCAUCGUACUGACCAACAACUAGUAGAUCAGCAAUUUAGUUUAGUUUGAAAGGCUUAAUAUGAAAUGUUAGAAGGGAGAAUUUAUCCCAACACAGAAGUUGGAACACAGUGUAAAUAAGCUACAGUCAGAGAUGAAGGAACUAAGUGAGGUCAAGAUCCCAAGAGAGCUACCAGACCAGAAACUGUAAGAAUGUACAUAGGCAUUACCUUGUAUCGUAGGUGAUCAAUGUCUGAGAGGCUCCACUGGCGUCUGCAUUUAUCAUAACUCCAGUUGUUGCCUUCUCUUGGAAAGUCAAUCCAUUCUGGGUGGCCAAACUAAAAGGAAAUUGCACCAUCAGUACGAGUUAGAAAACAGAUAUAAAACAUGAGUAGGUUAAGAAAGACAUGCCAACAUCUCUAUCAUGUUUGCAUCAUUUACGGAGAAACAUUGGUAUAAAAUAAAAUCUUUUAAACAGGGAAUAUUCAUAAGUGUGUGAUGUCGGCAUAUAUGUAACUGGAAUAAGAGGAUCCAACAAUAGACUGCCACGCUAAAAAACAACAAUGAUUAGAAUAAAGAUUAACUACCGGCACAGCUAAAUCAUAUGUGAUAACAUGGAAAUAGCUGGGGAGUACUUGGCUAUCUUAGAAAACAGACGUUUAAACUUUUCGCCCUGCCCAAAGGAUUUUUUUAAGGAAUCCUGAAACAUAUUGAUCAGAAAUAAGUUUUGACAGAUAACCAGAUAUUACCUCAUUACCCAUAAAAUUCAAGUAGCCAUCACCUCCAAGGGCCAUGGUGAUGAAGUGAAUCAUCUGAAAUAUUUGUAACAAAAUAAGCCCAAUGUACCAAAAGGGACUGGAAUACAUUGUCUUCAAAGGCUAAGCAGAACUCUGAGUAACAACCAACAUUACAAUACUCGCCUGGAACUAGAACAUCAAAUUCAGGAAUACUUAAAACGAAUCAAACCUUUUGAAGUGCAAUUCCACGAUCAAUUGUAGGUGAAGCAGGCUGCAAGUCUGACAUGCCAGUAUACAUUUCCUUGUCCAUCAAGAGAAAUGCCAUAGUCUUGUCGCCAACAAUAGACUGAAAAUUUGCGUGAAAAAUAACUGCUUAGUUGUUUCAAUAGACGAACACAAAGUCAACAAUAUAUAACUGCAGAUCUUCGGACAUUCUUACAUAGUUCAUAAUAGCUGGUUAGUGGGUACUAUCACUAGUUAUCAGAAUAUAACUAACCUAAUUCGAACUUGUGAAGUAACUAAAAGUCACCAAGCGAAGUGUUUAUUCUCAAAUUUGUCUACCAGGCAAAGAAAGUGUCUCACCUUUGAACUGUAUGUUCUUAGUCCAGAGCCCCAUAAAAAAAGAACACAUACUCAUGCACAGCGACAAAGGAGGGAAAACAUACCUGAUCGUGGCUCUCAGCAUAUGCAAUGCACUUUUCCGUAUAUCUCCUGUUGGUCAGAGUAUGUGCUAUUGCACUCAUUGACCAUUCAAGGUCAUCUUUGUUCUUCAAGUAGUCAAUCCAUCUAUCAGGAAUAGCCAUAGCAAGGCGAUAGUCAAACCCUACUCCACCUUCAUCAACUGACCGACAAAGCACUGGCAUGCCUGAAACAUCUUCUGCAACAACAGUUGCUUCUGGCAAGAUUUUGUGCAUUAAAUGGUUCGCAAGCAUCAUGUAAACAACUGCAUCUACAUCGGUAUCCAAACCAAAAUAUUCCUUGUAAUUUCCAGCGAAUGACAUAUUGAUACCAUGGUGAUUAUAUAGCAUGGAUGUUACUCCAUCAAAUCGGAAGCCGUCAAACAUGAAUUCGUCCAUCCAAUAUCUCAGAUUAGAAAGAAGAUACCGUAAGACCUCCCAAUUGGCAUAGUUGAACAGGCGACUAUCCCACAGUUUAUGAUAACCCCUUUCUCCUGUAUGGAAAUAGGACUCCUGUGUGUUUUGUCCAACAUCAUAGCCAUUUAGACCAUCUGUCAUAUUACUGCUCGCAUGGCUAUGGACAACAUCCAUCAGAACACGCAACCCUAAGCUAUGUGCCUUGUCAACAAGAUAUUUGAGGUCCUCUGGUGUUCCUGAUCUGCUGCUAACUGCGAAGAAAUUCGUCACAUGGUAUCCAAAAGAAGCAUAAUAUGAAUGUUCCAUGAUUGCCAUCAGCUGAACUGUGUUGUAGUUGUUUGCCUUUAUGCGCGGUAACACAUUGUCUGCAAAUUCUCUGUAUGUGCUUACUUCAGGCUUUUCACCACUCAUCCCCACAUGAGCCUCGUAAAUACGUGGAGCGUCAGGCUUUCGAGGCCGAGGAUGCUUAAACACAUACCUGCAAAACGAGCAAUGAAAGUAUCAUGUCUCCACAUUAAUUUAAGUUAAUUGUGUGGAUUUUACUUAGAUUUCUUGCUCUCAAGCCAGUAAAAGUAGACCUUUCACCAGUUGGUGGAUCCCAGUGAACACCGUCAUAUGGAGCUCCAAAUUUAGAGGCAUCAAAAGUUGCAUAACGAAUCCAUGCAGGAACCCGAUCGACCCAUAGUCCAUCUCCACGGUGAAAUCGAAAUUUAACCUUGGAAUUAUGGGGGAUGGCAGGUUUCCCAUUGACAUGGGAAAUCCUGAUUGACCAAACACCAAAAUUAUCCUUUGUCAUCCUGUGCCCAGAGCCAUUCCAGUUGUUGAAGUCACCAAUAAGUUGUGCAUCCCUACAUCCAUAAAGCAAAGACUUGCAAGUAAAUGCCUGAAUCAGCUAAAGAUAGUUAGAAGCAAGUAUUGCCAUAAAAGAAAUGAAUACCAACAAACUAUGACCACAAUCAGAAAAGGGAAAAACAUAUUUCAUAUUUUCUUUCUAGCACAUCAUGAUCUACCUGUCAUGCUUAACUUAACAGCAGAGGUCAUGCCGUGAAUGAAAACUUGAAACAGCUAUCUACUCUUUACUAGCCACAACCAGAAAAGACAAGACAUCUUCACUGGAAAAAAAAAUGGAAAAUACUCAAACUCUUAAGACAGUUUCAUCAGCACUUCAUAGGUUAACCAAUGACCAUUACAAUCAGCUGUGUGACAUCAUUAGAACUUACUUUGCUGCAGGGGCCCAUUCCCGGUACACAGUUGCGUCAUUUUCUGUGUUGAUCCCAAACUUCAAGUAGCCUACAAAACAGAGUUACAUUAUGCCCUUUUGUGCUGCGGACGCCACGAAACGAGUAGUAUUGUUUCGAACGCAUGAACGAAAGCUGACCUUUAGAGAACUCUUCAAGGCCCCCCUCGUAUUUCUCGAUCGAAUGUUUCUGUUCAAGAUACUUUUUCAUCCUGUAACUGAAGUGGUCCUUGAAGCCGGCGAACUUGGGAUCCAGAUCGUAUAUCGGAAGGUCGCCGAAGCCAUCUUCAGCUGUUGCCAUGGUGUAGUCUCUUGGCGCAGACACGGGAACAGAGAACUUGCUCUUGGCCUUCCAAAAAUGAACGACAGUUAGAGCGAGCGGCAGAUUUACAACAACUAAAGAAGUAAUGGAGAUACAGCACAUGAACAUUUGCCUAUAUCAAUUAAAUAUAUUUGUCACAAUGCAGCAACUAAUUUGGUUGAUAUAUUCAUCACAGAUUAUUGGUUGAUAGAUUCAGCAAAGAUUAUACGCAUUUGGGUUGUGCAGAAAGUAAUACGGUUGAGAUACCGCAGGAGGGGAUAUUGUGCGUACGGAUCGCGUAAAGGCAGAGAAAUUCAAUCGAAAUCGCAUCCACUUGUUCCUCAGUGGACGGCGUCAGGUGGACGAAUCCCAGCCUCAGGUUUAUUAGUAGUAUAUAUACUACAGUAUUUCCAAUAACCAGCGUGGAUCAGAUUCAGUUUGCCCGGCGACAACAGGGGAUCAGGGUCGCAAAUCUGGGUAGACAGGGGAGAGGGCUCACCUUCCGCGGCCACGACCAGCGAAGCGAAGACGGCGCGGGCACCGCGCUCAGCCGCACAUUGCCGCCGCCCUGCGCGCGCGCGGCAUCGCAUCAGGGAACCUCCGGCUGGCAGAACGGAGGCCGGAAACGAAAGAAAAGAAAAGAAAUGAAGAUCCCGAGUGACUCACCGAGAUCCCCGGUCCGGGCCGGUCAGCAGCGGGACGGGAGGGGCGCGGCGGGAGAGAGGGCGAGGGCGAGGGCGAGGAGGAGGCGGUGAGGCAGAGCAUCUUCGUCGAUGGCGGCGGACGGGGAUCCCAUUGUCCGCGGGGCCCGUGGCCCGGCGCGCUUUAUAGCGGCCGGAGGGAGGAGGAGGAGGAGUGUGGCGCCGGAGACGCAACGGAAAGCCGUGAUUUUUUCCGGUCCGUGGCCGCUUUGGACAGGGGAGGAGAACAGUGGAGUGGAAGCAACGAGAGGGAGGGAGGGGGAAACGGGGGCGAGGGAGAAGCGGAUCUGUGGGCCCGGGCGGGCCGGGGUCGUGCGCCGCUGGGCCGGACGGAAGCCAUGGGCCCUCACGUGUCUCGCCACUUUCAGCCUUCGUCACUUCUUUUUUCCAGCCUUCGUCGUCGGUUUUGCCAAAAAGUGUAAGAUGUUUUUUUUUGCUCUAAAAAGGAACAUCCCAAUCGCUAAAAAGGCAUUGCUUUCACAAAAGAAACUAUGGAAGGACUGCUUUUUCUAAAGAAGGAAAACUAUAGUAUUCGCAAAAAAAAGGAAGGAAAACUAUAUAAAAAUAUCACUCCUUGCAUUGUCCGGCAAAAAUAAUUACUUUUUGCGAAGACUAGAAGGACAUGUGAGACGCCUAUGGUAUGGUAUGGCUGGUUGGAGCUUGUCGGCGUGGGAAAACCAAACGAGAUUUUGUAGGGCCUGCCUAUUCGCUAGGUCGCUGGAAAAAAAAUGGUGUACAAUGUUUCGCCGGCUACUGCUCUUCUUUCUCCCUUAGUUCUUCUACCCUCUCCCUACUUUGCUAACGUGUUGUCUCACGCAUCUCGCAACCCCCUCACUUCUCUCGUGUCAACCGCAAUGUCCCCGUCUACGGCGAGGUCUCUCUAGGGGCGCCAUGCUCGUCCCCAUCUCAGCCUCGGAGCUUCACGCUACCUGACUCUCUUUCUUUGAGUUGGAAACCGGAUAACAUUACUUUUGUUUUGAGGCAACCGCCAAAAUAGCAGACGUGGUUUCAUAUGGUACAAGAUUAUAGCAUGUGGUUGGGCUAGAUCGGAGUUUUAUCAUAUACCUUCCUCAAAAAAAAUAAGAUCGGGCGUUCAAAAUUUGAAGUGGUUGCAUUGGUCGUAUCUAUAUAUUCAGAACUAUAUCCCAUAUUGGUAUGUUUCGAUUAAAUUAUUUUACCGUGUAAACAUACUUCUCACGUUAGUGUUUACACUUUCUAUGUUUGUGUGUGCAUUUCCAUAUUAGUACUAGGAAAGGAUGAAAUUCGAAGAAAACAAGAAAAAAAAGGGGGAAUGAAAAAAGGAUAUAUAAAUCUGGAACAACCAAGAGAGAGAGAGAGAGAGAGAGAGAGAAAACCAAUAGUCCAACUACCAUCGCUCCCGCGAAUCAACCAAUGGUUGGAUGGUUAGAAGGACUGUGGUCUCCCUAGCUCACCAGGGUUCAAGUCCCCGUGCUCGCCUUUAGUGCUCACAGGGAUACGGUGUGCGUAUGUGCAUUCAUAGAUGUGAGUGUAUGCGUGUGUAUAUGAGUGCUUGCAUAUGUACUAUGUUAAAAAAAACUACAUGGGACAACCCUGCACGACAAGUGGAAGACGCAAAAAGCGGCCUUAGAGCAACUCUAGUAGAGUCAUCAUAUUUCCGGUCACCAUAGCUGUGGCGAUUGUGCACAACCACGUAGUCUCUAUAUGCGCCUCCAUAUUUGUAGUUUUAUUUGUUCCUUUUUUCAUUUGCUUCAAAUUUGUAUGUUAAGUUUAAGGUACAUUUAGUUGAACCAAACCAGCUCAAACCAUCAUCAAACAUGAUAACCUUAUAUUACUGGCCAAAAGCUGUUGUAUUACAUUUUUUGCGACUUCAAAUGUCGUUGAGUGACAUUUUUGGGAUGUCGCUAUUCGACAUUCCUAUGUUCUACUAUUUGUUGUACUAUUGCCUCCGACGUCCUCUAGCCCCCCUCCUCCGAGAGAUUGUUGAGGAAGAGGUGGAGGCAAGCUCCCGCGACUCCUUCUCAUCGAUGGUUGCAGGGCAGAACUCCCGACUGAUGCGCUCCUGGUUGCGCUCUUCGAGGGUGGAGAGCCGCAUCAGGACGUCGAUCGGGUCGUCGACCUCCGACUAGUGGGGAGAUAGGCCAGCAGUGUCGAUGGGGACGACCUUGUUGACGGGUAUGAUGGCGCCUGAGGCACCAUAUCAACGUUGCACGCCGCCAUGGGAGCCGAUAAGUCAGCCACGAGAGAAGGAAGCGCCACACACGCCAUUGUGGGAGGAGGGAUCGCCUACUGCCAUUGGGGGGAGGGCGCACCGCCGGUGCACUACAAUUGGAUGUGAUGGCAUUGUGGCGAAGAGGGGAGGACAUGACUAGGAGGAGACAAUGAGGAAGGAGGAGACGACAGCUAGGGUUUCAAUGAUGCCAUCGAGCUUUUGUAGUCGGGGGUGAUGCCAUGUGACGGCCAUCUGAACUACUUCCUCAUGAUUCUGAGGGGAGUGGGUGCACCACUAAUGGGAGGGUGCUUAGCCGUCGUGUCGCCCCACUCUCUGGUGAUUAUCUGAUCGUUGUAGAGCAUGUACAUGUGGCGCUCUGUGUAAUAUCCCGUCAGCGGCGCAAGGAGGAAGAAGCUAAGACUUCCCUUAUGCGCUUGUGGUUGGAUAUGGAGUGAGCGCCAAACGAGGCAUCCAUAGCCUCCAUAUUGGGAGGCUAUAUAAAAGCUUAUUUGUGGAGCAUAUGCCGACUCUGCUAAAGUGCCAUUUCGGGCCAAAAGUGCCAUGUGUGCAUUAUGGCGAUUGGGCCGAUAUAGCAACUUUUCUAGAGUUGCUCUUACUAGCCUUAGCUUAACCUUGUGUGGAAUUACCUUCCCCGAGUCAUUACAAAAGACAAGAAGGAUAGACACAAUAUUUUGCAACACAGAGAUACAUGGUUUAUAGAAUAAACAUGAGAGAGUGCAUGGUCAUGCAUGAUGACAUCUUUUGUUUGUAAAUCUAUGUUUGAUUAACUUUUAGCUUAAAUGGAAGUAAUUCUUUACGAUUGCAGUAAAAAAAUCAUUUUUAAGUUAAUGUUGUGAGAAUAUAUCUUCCUAUCAGCCCCACAUAGUCCUAUAUGGCAUAUAUGAGGCAAAUUGUCAAAGUCAAGUCAAGUAAACUAAAGUCCAAGCAACGAAUCAUGGUUAAUAAGUCCAAGAAGAAAUCAGGUAAGAGGAAAAAAAUCAUAGGAUGAAGAACUAAUAGAAAUAAACUUGUUAGGUGGUGGGGAGGGGUAAAUAUUUGGGCUAGUCCACCAUGUAUCAUGCACCACCCUCCCUCUCCUCCCCACUCUAACAUGUACUAUGUUGAAUACCAACAACCUUUAUGCCCCCCCCCCACCACCACCACAAAUUGGUAUUUAAGCAUUCACUCUCACUUGAAUAAAAUGCAAGAAAAUAGACAUCCAGGGAAUCCAAUGAAAAGCUUAGAGAAAGGACUCGAAUUUGAGAGACCUAGAAGGGUAGGUGCUGAGGACAUGGGAAGCGAAGGUUCGAAGCAACAUUUGUUAAGUGGGUCUAGCCAUUAGUUGAAUCACUUCACUCUUCAGGAGAAGGGAAGUCUCAAGGAGGCAUUUCCUUAAUCAUACCUACUUGCUAGCUAAGGCGCUUCUGUUGGAAAUAUGCCCUAGAGGCAAUAAUAAAUUAGUUAUUAUUAUAUUUCCUUGUUCAUGAUAAUCGUUUAUUAUCCAUGCUAGAAUUGUAUUGAUAGGAAACUCAGAUACAUGUGUGGAUACAUAGACAACACCAUGUCCCUAGUAAGCCUCUAGUUGACUAGCUCGUUGAUCAAUUGAUGGUUACGGUUUCCUGACCAUGGACAUUGGAUGUCAUUGAUAACGGGAUCACAUCAUUAGGAGAAUGAUGUGAUGGACAAGACCCAAUCCUAAGCCUAGCACAAAGAUCGUGUAGUUCGUAUGCUAAAGCUUUUCUAAUGUCAAGUAUCAUUUCCUUAGACCAUGAGAUUGUGCAACUCCCGGAUACCGUAGGAAUACUUUGGGUGUGCCAAACAUCACAACGUAACUGGGUGGCUAUAAAGGUACACUACAGGUAUCUCCGAAAGUGUCUGUUGGGUUGGCACGAAUCGAGACUGGGAUUUGUCACUCCGUGUGACGGAGAGGUAUCUCUGGGCCCACUCGGUAGGACAUCAUCAUAAUGUGCACAAUGUGAUCAAGGAGUUGAUCACGGGAUGAUGUGUUACGGAACGAGUAAAAGAGACUUGCCGGUAACGAGAUUGAACAAGGUAUCGGGAUACCGACGAUCGAAUCUCGGGCAAGUACAAUACCGAUAGACAAAUGGAAUUGUAUACGGGAUUGAUCGAAUCCUCGACAUCGUGGUUCAUCCGAUGAGAUCAUCGUGGAACAUGUGGGAACCAACAUGGGUAUCCAGAUCCUGCUGUUGGUUAUUGACCGGAGAAUGUCUCGGUCAUGUCUGCAUGGUUCCCGAACCCGUAGGGUCUACACACUUAACGUUCGAUGACGCUAGGGUUAUAAAGGAAGUUUGUAUGUGGUUACCGAAUGUUGUUCGGAGUCCCGGAUGAGAUCCCGGACGUCAAGAGGAGUUCCGGAAUGGUCCGGAGGUAAAGAUUUAUAUAUGAGAAGUCCUGUUUUGGUCACCGUAAAAGUUUCGGGUUUUUUCAGUAACGUACCGGGACCACCGGGAGGGUCCCAGAGGUCCACCAAGUGGGGCCACCAGCCCCGGAGGCUUGCAUGGGCCAAGAGUGGUAAGGGACCAGCCCCUGAGUGGGUUGGUGCGCCUCCCACAAGGCCCAGGGCGCAGCUAGGAGGAGAAGGGGGAAACCCUAGGCUCAGAUGGGCCUAAGGGCCACCCUAGGGGGCGCCCCCCCUCUCCCCCUCUUGGCCGCCCCCCCUUUCCCAUCUAGGGCUGCCCCCCCCCCCCAGGGGUGGGAACCCUAGAGGGGGCGCACCCUCCUCCCCUCCUCCUAUAAAUAGUGAGGCCUAGGGGCUGCCCAUAACGCGAUUUGAUCUCUCCUUGUUGGUGCAUCCCUCCCUCUCUUUCUCCUCAUAUCUCGCGGUGCUUGGCGAAGCCCUGCUGGAUCACCAUGCUCCUCCACCACCACCACGCCGUUGUGCUGCUGCUGGAUGGAGUCUUCCUCAACCUCUCCCUCUCUCCUUGCUGGAUCAAGGCAUGGGAGACGUCACCGGGCUGUACGUGUGUUGAAUGCGGAGGUGCCGUCCGUUCGGCACUAGGAUCUCCGGUGAUUUGGAUCACGACGAGUACGACUCCUUCAACCCCGUUCUCUUGAACGCUUCCGCUUAGCGAUCUACAAGGGUAUGUAGAUGCACUCUCCUUCCCCUCGUUGCUGGUUUCUCCAUAGAUAGAUCUUGGUGACACGUAGGAAAAUUUUGAAUUUCUGCUACGUUCCCCAUCAGCUUCUCCUUUCGGCUCUUCUAACAUAGGAGUACUUUAUACUCAAAGAAGGCAUGACCGGGCGUAUUUAACAAUUGUCGAUGUGUCAACUCUGUCUGGUAUAUGAUAUCCUUCACAUAAUUUCGCGUACAUUCUCUUCCUCUCGAUAAAUUUACAUCAUGAGUACUACCAUAGGAUCUACCCCUAAUAAUUUGUUGUCGCCAUGAUGACAACAAAUCUUGUGAUUUUAUUUUGGAAUCAGGCCGUUCAUUUGGGAUAGGUGACUUUAGUCGAAUUGUAUCCUUAAGUAUUAUCUUUAUCUUGAAGAAUCAUAUUUCCUUUUUUAGCGAAUAAUAAUAUAGAACCAAACAACAUGUGCAAAUUAUCUCUAUUUAUUCAUGCAAUUCACUGGUUUGGUAGCUCAUUUGAGUAUGGACGCUCACAUGUUAGGGCAACAAGGGUAUUCACCUAGAGACCUCUCACCUAUAUAUGAGGCCUAAUCAAUUGUACAUGGUUACAUUGCCCCUACCAAGCAAUGUAGCUAUUACAUUCGAUGAGUUUUCGAAACAUCUUGUCAAAUACAUGAAUAAUGGUAAGUUAGGUUAGUUUCUAUUGGUUAGUGGUCAAGUGGUGUUUUGAGUUUACUUUCACAAAAGACAUGUUACACUCGCCAUAUGGAAAUUAAACCAUGUAAAAAUACAAGAAUUAUCCAUUCAAAUGAACACACAAACAAUGCCAAGUAAGAAAGGCUACAUGCCGGAAUCUAAAGACAUACCCGUUGUGGACAACUCAUACAUCUGAAACUAGGAUUUUGUUCUAUUAGCAUGUAUUGUAUUACUAGUUAGACCUGUGUACUGUAGAAACAUCUAACAAGAUAUUUAUAGACAUUACCAAAGGUGCACACACACGCAGACACACAUACAACCUAUUGUACUAAAUCUAUGUGACACAAGCUAUUUCAUAUGUGAAUUUGCCAUUCUUUCAUGGUUUAUUUUAUUAAUAGGUCGGAUUCAAGUUCACGGAAUGACCUAGCAUAAAAUUUUAAAAAAAUAGCACAAUUUCAUAAUAAAAUAGAGUUCUACAUUAAUAUUUAUAUAUUUAUAAUUAUAGAAUUUGAGUUUUAUAUCCAUAAAAUUCCGAGCUUAAAACAUUCUUAAUGCUAUUAUGUGGUAACCUUUGUUAUAUAUAUAGUUCAAUGAUUGUUCCAAUUAUAUGAAAAAUGUAUUGGUUAAAAAGCUAGCAUAGAUAUAAUGGUGGUGACUUAUAACGAAGUAAAGAAAAAUAUUAUAAAUAGGCAAGAGCCCAUUGUGAAUGAUAUAUUCUCUCAAUGUAAUUUCCGUUCUAAAGGGUAAAUAAUUCAAAAUUCAUGAAUUUAGUAGCUUUUGAAUAAUCUUUUGGUUUUGAAGAAGUAUGAUACUUGAGUAGAGUCAACCCCUAAGCAAAUGGAUGAUAGUUAUGCCGCAAUUAUGUCUUUUUGCGGGAAAAUUUUCAUAUUGUGAUUUUUUAUAUUUGAUUUUAAUAGAACUUGAGGAUUUAACUGUUAUCUUAUUUGGAGAAGCACAUUAAACCAUAAAGAUUAUGUAUACAAAAUAAACAUCAACCAUUUGUAAGUCUCGAUUUAUUCUCUAAUUUCUUAUAUCCCAACCUAGUUCCGCUAAGGUUCUGAUCUUGCUGACCUCAAGCAGGGGCAGAUCUAUCAUGGAGCAUGGGUGUACAUAUAUACACCCUAUUCUUUGCAAAAAAAAUAACAUAUAUAGGUGUACAUACAUAUAUGACAGAAAUAUCAGCCUAAAGGCCUAAUAAACCCAGUUUAGUAGCAGCCCACUAGCCCGCAAAAGGCAGCAAAUCAGCUACUUUACUGUCCAUGCAUGCACACAUGAGGCUCACGUAGCCAGAAGCCAGCUUUGCCUCAAAAGAAAAAGUCAUCCAGCCAGCUAAAGUGUCACUUAUUACGGAUAUACGUAGAGAUGAGGUGUUUACAUUGGUCAAGCUGUUCAAAAUGGUCCUAAUAUUACCAGUAGCAAUAGCGAGUGUUGAGAAAAGAUUCUCUCAUCAUUGACAUUUGUGAAGAACAAUCUACAUGACAAUUUAUAUUUCAUAUUUCUAUUACAAUUAACCAAUUGGAUUCUCUAUUAGGGAGCAAAAAAUAUUUUGAACACCCAAUGUUGAACUCCUAGGUCCACCACUGACCUCAAGGGUUUCAUAACUAUUAGAUUAACCUAAAACAAUCAUCUCGAUCAUUUUUUUUCUUCUGAAAUCAAGUAGAUCAUAGUAUAUAUUUAAUUUAUCUUCUUUAGGAAAUUGACAAGUUAGACCGUCAAAAACUAAUCAGGAGAAAAAAUAUUUUGAAAUCUAUUGGAAAUAUAGCAUUAAAAUAUGUUAUAGGAGUGCACAUUAUCUCGUAAAAUGAAGAAAUGAUGGCAUUGAUAUUGGUGCAAUUGACUAUGACAAAUAUGUAGUUAAGAAGCACAAAUCAGUCUUGACAAGGAAAAAGUUGCAUUUGAGAAUGACAAAGAUGCAGUCACCCAAGUCUGCAUGUGUCAAAUGUAUCAUCUCAAUUGCAUCACGUGUCUCGACUAUAUCAUGUGCUUAUUGCACCACGUGUUUACUGAUCUUGCAUGUUUACUAUAUCUCACAUGUUUGGAGCACUUUAUUUGUUUAUUGUAUAAUGUUUACUAGUUAAGGAAGUACUAAACAUUUACUAGGGAGUCAUACUUGUAAACAGAGACAAACAUUUGCAACUCAAUAUAUGUGAAGUACAUGCACCACAAUGAGAUUGAACAUCUAGAUACCAAGGACUCCGAUGAGCAUAACUUACUUCCAAGCUUUCGAUUCACCCUGCCAUUUUAUGAUUUUAUCGUGAUGGGUGUUUUAUUUUUCUACAGGCAUACAUCACAUCUAGACCAGCCUAAUCAUGGACCUUUCUUGUAGUAGUUAAUUUAAGGCAACCAACAACUGGUAGAGAGAAGUUACGAUGAAUAGGACACGAUAUACUAGUCUGCAAGUUGGCCAACCUGAGCCUUGCGAAAGAUAGCAAGAAAACAAGUCGAAGGAGAAGAAGAAAAAUGAAGAAUAUGAAAACAUUAGUGAUUGUUUCCUUUUUUAUUUGGGAAUAAGACAACCAAAUAAAAUGACGGCCUGAUGAAAACAUCGUCGAGAGAUAAUGUUGUUGUGUGGGUUCUCUAGACAAUUGUUUUGGCAGUGGAGCUCAAGUGCUUUCUUUAUUUUGAAAAGAAACACAAAAAAUAAAUAUGUACAUGUGUCAUAAUUAAUAACUAUCAUGUAGAUAUGAGAACACUAUGGAUGGAUGAGCAAAAUUUAGCGGAACGGGAGAAGCAUUAUCACCGAGCUUAGAGGAAGAAACAAAGCAUGGUGACCCAAAAUUUUAAAUUUAAAUAUCAUCUUCAUUGCUUGCUAUUUUGCAUCACCAUAUUUGUCGUGUUUGUGCAGGCGGCUUUCGAAAAAAAAUCAUAAUAUCUAGCAGGUGGCUUGCAGUGCAUUCUAGUACAAAUACUUUGGAUCUUUUAACUUAUAAUUUUUUUUGAAUAUUUCUAAAAUUAAAGAGCUUACUGGAGCUUGGCUGCUAAAAUUUCAUGCUCGUGCAUUCCGGCAUAAUACGAAGAAACUAAAAAACACCAAAAAAUGCAGUCAUCUACUACAUGUGAUUGCACUCAAGAACAGAAAAGGCUAAAAUGUUGGUGGCUUGGUUAUUUGCAACACAACACCAUAGCCGACUGAUGUCCCAGGGUAAAAGAGGGGAUUUAUUCGAGAGAAAACUCACAAGAGGAGAGAUGAUCGGGAUGGGGGUGUUGUGCCACAUUGACGGUCCAGGAGAGCCCGUGCGUAUCUAACAAUUUGUCACUUAAGAGUUGUUUAUUGGGAUCCACUAGCUUGUGCAGCAAAAAAGAACACUAAAGUGUACUUUUUCCUACAACUGUUUUUUUGUUCAUGUGGGUGAUGCUGUUUGUAGUGCAAAGUGGUUGCCAUCUGUUCAGAGCUUUUGGUGACUCGUGAUGGUGGAGAGAAAGAACUAGCUGCUCGUGUCGUCUUCCGUCUAAAGCUUCUAAACAACUGGAGAUGAAACAAAACGGGCAGAAGAUUGCCCAUGCCAUGCCACUUUACAGCUUGCAAAGUGUGGAUGCAUUCUCAUGGCACAAACAAGCAACAAAAAUGGUACCUCAUCGUUUAAACAUCUACUGAUUCUUUUAUAGCAUGGCUUUGUUAUUUUAGCUACAUAAAGACAAUCCAAAUAAAGGAAGGAGGCAAGGUAGGUGCGCUCUGCCUCCUGAGGAGGUAGGGCUGCUGUUGAGGAGGGCAAUGGCGCCUUGCUAGAACCGGCGCCAAGGUCAUCCAGACUACGCGUAGCGCAGGACAGUCGACAAGACUAGUUGCAGCAAUAUAUAUGGAUAAUGACUUUGUGAAAACGAUUAGGUUUGAACACUUCCUGAGAGAGAGGCUAGUGUAAAGGCGGAACUGUAUGUGUUGUUUAUUUAUCAAUGUCAGUAGACCGUGCAAGACCAUAUAAUGGCAUAAAGAUAUGUCCCUUUGACAUAAGCAGAUAUUAUCACACGAGUUCUAUGCACAAGAACUACACAUCUAGGUGCAAAGGAACCAGAUCAUCGGAGAUUAAGAAUUGACAUGUUAAAAACAUAUCCUAGUAAUCCAGAGGUACGAUGGCCCAAAACCCGAAAAGUGGGAAACACAAAAGGAAAGAGAGUAAAACUUUAACAAAAAAGGAGAAAAAGAUCAAUGCGCAGUGCAUAAUCAUUGUCUUGAAUUGCCCUGCAUAAGUUUUACUAUGAUGAAACCGAAGAUGGAUACCAAAUCUCCAUGUUCAAAUAUAAUAACCGUGAAACUUGGAUUAAAUGCAUAGGCCAUUUUGACACAACAAGUAUUCAUAUGAAAUGGAUACGGUUUCACCUUUCUUAGUCACAUUAAAUGCACAAGCAAGUUAGAGGUUCUAUUUUAAAGAGUAUAAGAGUGAAACAAAUGAUUCAAACGAGUCCCUUCACUGAAGAUUGUAUAGUUAAAUACCUUUUCUUCCUCAUUCAUGUCGCUGGCAGUCUGCUUUGAUGAUGAUAGGAAGGAACAUUUCUCGUCGAGUGUGUUCGUUGCUUGAUCAAAUGCAUUAAUGUACUGUUCAAAUUUAUAUAUUAGGUGAAAAUCAAAUAAAAUGUUGUAUUGCUAACCAUAAUAUGAAAGUUUUAGUGAAAGGGUAGAUUAUUUAUCAUGCAUAGAGAAAAAUAACUCCAUGUCAACAAAAUAAGCAGCCUUCAAAUAAAUUUUGGAAAUGCAAUGCCUAUUUAAGUAUCAAAAAUACUACAGAUUAGUAAUGUGUAAGAAUCAAGAAAAAUAGUAGGUUAACACAUCCAAGAUUUGACCAUUGUUCCACCGUCAAAAAAAGAGAGAAGAUUUGUAUCACUGUCUUGGUAAUUUCGACAGGACAUUUGAGCCCAACUGAUUUUCUGCGUUGAGCAAUCGAUUCUCUGUGUUAGGAGGGACAUUUGAGCCCAACUCAGUCCAUUAUAGGUGGCCAAACUGAAAUAUAAAUGUCAUGGAUAGCGCCAAUUUGAUAUAUACUGCUAAUUUUUAGCAAGAAGCUUUCCUUAUUUGUGAAACAUUACCAUCAGAAUGACGACUUUCUAACUGAGGAUAAUAAGGACUUGAAAAUAUCUCUAUUUUGUUUGCAUCAUUUGCGGAAAAUGUUAGUACCCACAAAGCAAUUUUGUAAAAGGAAUCAUGAAACAGAUAAAUCGAAAACAAGUUUUACACAUCACUAGAUAUUACCUCAUUAGCCAUAUAUUUUAAGUAGCUAUCACCUCCAAAGGCCAUCGUGAUGAAGUGAAUCAUCUGAAAUAUUGUAACACAAUAAGUAUAUACCUAAAGGGACUAGGACACGUUAUCUUCAAGGGCUAGCCAGAGCACUAAGUAAAGGUAGAAAGAAUACAAUACUUAGAACUAGAUUUUUUUGCAGGUCGCUUAGAACUAGAUAGAACAAUUAAUUUCAAGAAUACUUAAGAAAAAUCGGACCUUUUGAAGUGCAAUGCCACGAUCAAUUGUAGGCGAAUCAUGAUCCAUGUCCGACAUGCCGGAAUACAUUUCCCAUUCCAUUAAGAGAAAGGCCAUAGUCUUGACGCCAAUAGUAGGCUGAAAGUUUAUGUGAAAAAAAACUGCUCAGCUGUUUUUUUUGAAACUGUUGUUUGAAUAAACAAACACGAAAUCGGCUGUACACAAAGGGGAAUCUUUGGACAUGCUUACAUGGUCCGUAAUAGCUGGUUAGUGGUCCUUUAACUAGUUGUGCACAUGGAAAUGUGAUUGCCUGUGCUAUUUUUUUAAUAAGAAGGUUACNNNNNNNNNNNNNNNNNNNNNNNNNNNNNNNNNNNNNNNNNNNNNNNNNNNNNNNNNNNNNNNNNNNNNNNNNNNNNNNNNNNNNNNNNNNNNNNNNNNNNNNNNNNNNNNNNNNNNNNNNNNNNNNNNNNNNNNNNNNNNNNNNNNNNNNNNNNNNNNNNNNNNNNNNNNNNNNNNNNNNNNNNNNNNNNNNNNNNNNNNNNNNNNNNNNNNNNNNNNNNNNNNNNNNNNNNNNNNNNNNNNNNNNNNNNNNNNNNNNNNNNNNNNNNUUUAUUUAAUAAAUUUGCCAACCAUGCAAAGAAAGUACCCGCCAUUAGAACGACCACCCCGCCCUCAGCCCUCAAAGAGAACACACUCAUGCACAACAAAAAAGGGGAGAAACAUACAUGAUUUUGCCUCUCAGCAUAUGCAAUGAACUUUUCCGGAUAUCGCUUGUUAGUCAAUGUUUGUGAUAUUACACUACUCAUUGACCAUUGUUGAUCACCUUUGUUCUCCAAGCAGUCAAUCCAUCUAUCGGGAAUAGUCAUAGCCUGGCGAUAGUCAAACCCUAAUCCACCUUCAUCAACUGGCCAACAAAGAACUGGCAUGCCUGAAACAUCUACUGCCACAACAAUUGCUUCUGGGUAGAGUUUGUGCAUUAAAUGGUUCACGAGCAUCAUAUAAACAACUGCAUCUACAUUGGUAUCCAAACCAAAAUACUCUUUGUAAUUUCCAGUGAAUGACAUAUUGAUACCAUUGUGAUUAUAUAGCAUCGAUGUAACCCCAACAAAUCGGAAGCCAUCAAACAUGAAUUCGUCCAUCCAAUAUCUCAAAUUGGAAAGAAGGAAUCUUAGGACCUCCCAAUUGGCAUAGUUGAACAUGCGGCCAUUCCACAUCUCAUUAUAGCCCUUGUCUCCUGUGUAGAAAUAGGAUUCGUGUGCACUUUGUCCAACAUCAUAGCCAUUGAGACCGUCUAUCACAUUAUUGCUCGCAUGGCUGUGGACAACAUCCAUUAGAACACACAAUCCAAGACUAUGUGCCUUGUCAAUAAGAUAUUUGAGGUCCUCUGGUGUGCCUGAUCUGCUGCUAACUGCGAAGAAAUUCGUCACGUAAUACCCAAAAGAAGCAGCGUCAGAAUGUUCCAUGAUUCCCAUCAACUGAACUGUGUUGUAGUUAGUUGCCCUUAAGCGCGGUAACACGUUGUCUGCAAAUUCCCUGUAUGUGCCUACUUCAAGCUUUCGACCACUCACCCCCACAUGAGCCUCAUAGAUACGUGGAACAUCAGGCUUUGGAGGUCGAGGAUGGUUGAAUACAUACCUGCAAAAUGAACAGUAAAACUAUCAUAACACUGCAUUAUUUUUUUGUAUUUUAUUUUAAUUGGGCAUUAUUUAGAAUCCUUGCUCUCAAGCUACUAAAAGUAGACCUUUCGGUAGUUGGUGGAUCCCAGUGAACACCAUCGUAUGGAGCUCCAGAUUUAGAGGCAGUAACAGUUGCAUAACGAAUCCAUGCUGGAAUCCGUUCAACCCAUACUCCAUCGUGCCUACAUCGAAAUUUAACCUUGGAAUUGUGAGGGAUGGCAGGUUUCCCAUUGACAUUGGAAAUCCUGAUUGACCAAACGCCAAAAUUAUCCUUUGUCAUCUUGUGCCCAGAACCAUUCCAGUUGUUGAAGUCACCAACAAGUUGUGCUUCUCUACACCCAUAAAGUAAACAGUUGCAAGUAAAUGCACGGAUUUACUAAAGAUAGUGAAAGUAAGUAUUUGCAUAAACGAAAUGAGUGACAGCCAACUAUGGCCACGAAAGAGUGGAUUAUGACGUGAGUGAGAAACUUGGAACAUUUGUCUAUUCUUUAAUUACUAGCUAGUACCAGACAAGGCAAGCCAUCUCACUAGCAACAAAUAUGGAAAAUAGUUCUUAGACAACUUCAUCGGUAUUGCAUACUUAACCCAGUACCAUUGAAUAAUAAUAGUUGCCAAUGUGCUAUGUGUUGAACUUACUCUGCUGCAGGAGCCCAUUCCCUAUACACGGAUGCAUCAUGCUCUGUGUUGAUCCCAAACUUCAAAUAGCCUACAACACAUCGAAGGCCAGAAACACAAAAGUAGAUAAUGUUUGUACUGGUAUAAACAAGUCAUUUCGUGAUGUGAGCAUUUUGAAUGCAUGAACAAAGCUCACCUUUAGAGAAUUCCUCUAGGCCUCCCUCAUGUUUCUCAAUCAGAAGUUUCUGUUCAAGGUACCUUUUCAUCGUAUAGUUGAAGUGGUCUUUGAAUUCAGCCAACUUUGGUUCCAGAUCGUACAUGGGAAGGUGGUCAGAACCAUAUCCAGUUGUUGCCGCGAUUUUGUUUCCUCGUGCAGUCACAGAAACAGAAGACUUGCUCUUGGCCUUCCAUAAAUGAAGUACAGUUAAUUAGAGCGAGUGCAUAUUUGACUAAACAAGCAAUGUAUAUACAACAAAUGAUCAUGUGUGUCUAGUAUAGGACUUCCAGGAUUAACAAUAGAGGAAACAUAGAAAACUGAUAAAACUAUGUUCUUUUUGACAUGUUCAUGUUUGGUGUAUGUGUUGAUGUCAAUUUCCAUGCAAUUGUUUUUUUCUAAAAAAAAGAUUUUGAAUGCUAAACUUGUUUCUCAACACAGGUCACAAUAUUUGUUCUUUUAUUCAUGAAGAUUUGAUCUUUGCAAUUUUUAAGUCAUAUUUAUGAUGACACAUCGAGACACACUAACAAAAAUCCAAACACACGAAAAGAAACGGGGACAACAUUGGAUACUAUGUUUAAAUACAUAGAGUGCUUCACCUGCAAAAAAAACAAAGAGUAGUUAGAGUUAAGUAGUCACAUCAAUCAUCACUUAACAAUAAAAGCGACACAUAUAUCUCCGAAAAAAAUGUCAGAGAAUGUGUGAUCCGGAGUGUAAGCACGGGUGGACUAUGGCACAGAGCAACAUUUUAUGGUAUUGCACAUGAUCAUGUGCCUAUGUAUUGACACGGUACACGUAUAUAUGCAUAUUUGGGCACAAUCAUUACAAGUAAUACGGCAGAAAACUUGAAAUACUGCAGGGAUAAAAUAUGAACCGCAGAUAUGUAAAGAAAUUUAAGGGAGUCUUCAUCCAGUCGCUGAACCCGGACCCAAAACGGUGUCCUGCACAGCGAUAACACAGCGACACAGGGAAAGAAAUGAUGUCUACCUUCCGUGGCCACGACCAGUGGAGCAGAAACGGGACGGACGGCACCACGCUCAGUCGCUUGCCACCGCCGCCGCCACCCUGCUCGAGAGGAGACCCACCGCAUCAGGACCUCGCCGGGGCCACGCCGGAGAACGCAGAAACAAUUAGUAAAACAUAACAAAUCUCGGCUCACCGCGAUGAUCCCGGGAGGCGGCCGGUCAGCAGCGGGAGACGGGCGCGGCAGGAGAGAGGAGCUGAGGCACAUCAUCGUCGUCAACGGCGCAACCGAGGGCGGUGGAGCUGUCAGCCUCGGUGGCGGACGAAAGUCCCAUUUUCCAUGGAGCUCGUGACCCGGCGUGCCUUAUAACGGCCGGAGGAGGAGCUUUUCUCUCUGCUUGGCCGCUUCCGGCAGAAGAGUGGAGUGGAAGCAACGAGCUGGAGGCACGAGGACGACGGGGCCGGAGUGCCAGUGGACGGUCGGGGAGAGCCCGUGCCGUUUCUGGGCAAGCUUGGGCCCUCACUUGUCUAGAACAGCACAAAAAUAAGUACAGGUUUCGUGUCAGUUAGCGAGAGAAAGAAACUAGACUUUUGUCCCACUAUUAUAUAGUAUAUAAUAUAAAAAGCAAGCCAGGGCCAUCUGCCGCCAAACCCCUUGUGGUCCACAUGACCAAGAAGUGUAGCCACCAUCGCCACCGCGGAGUCCGCCUGAGAGUUGACCGGGUACCCCAACAUCAUGUGCCAAACUUCUCACCCAUGCCAAAACGCGUUGGCGCCACUCGUUGAAUCCAUGGGGCCCUCCACGAUAGAAGAGCGGAAGAAUGCCGUAGCCGCCGUCACCCCCUUGCGUCAUCACCGCCCUGGCACACCGUCGCGCCCCUACACAUGUGUUGCAUUGGCAGCACCAGCCCACAUCAAUCCCACCUUGUGAAGAGACGAGGACGCCCUGCCGUCGGGGACGCCCGUCGGGUUUAGCGAGGCCGUGCCCUUUGGCGGAGUCCUAGGAGGAAGAGAGGAGAUGACCGAGGGGAGGGGGAGGGGCUAGACGGCGGCUAGGGUUCCUUCCCCGUUGCACGUGGAGCAACAUGAGAGGGGGUAGUUUUCUUUUUGUUAGUAUUACAAUACACCAUUGAGAAAAACAUUAUCACCACUCGCCAUGAGGGACACACCAGUAUCCGAAAAGGAAAAGGAACGCGAAAGUUUCACGGAACAGUGAGAUACAUACACCAAUUGGGUCUUUUUUUAGAUACAUACGGCAAAUUGGGUCUUCUAGUCUCGCGUCUAUUGGGAAUUCCCCAUAGAGAGAAGGUGCACGCUCCAUAUUAUGCUUACAGCAUCGAAUUAAUUGCCACCUCCACAAUGGCAAUGUCGCGUCAUAGAUGGUUUUUUUAGACGAAACAUCUUUUUUCUCAUCAUAGGCGCGCGUGACAUUUUCCAUGAUGAAGAGGGUUCUGUGAAUUCUAUGACAGAAAGUUCCUGCCAUGAAUAUACUAGGAAACCGUCACUAUUUCCAUCAUAGAAUAGCUCGGCGUCAGACCCUGAUUGCUAGCACGCCAGUUGACUCCACGUGGAGAACAAUGUAAUCAUUCAUGUGGCGCCCUUUUAUGACAAAUGGCGCCCUUUUAUGACAAAUGUCUAAGAGCAACUCUAGCAGACCCCGCAUCCCGCCCCGACCCGUAAAAUAACCGUCAAAAUGCGGGCCGGAUGGAAAAACCCGCCCGAUCAGACCCCGCAUCCCGUCCCAGCCCGCAAAAUUUUUUAAGGGGCGCGGCAAAAUCCCGAGCCCAACCCGGGAAAACGCGGGUUUCCCCCUCGCGGCUGUGGUGCACUGUAUAUAAGCGGAAGCGGUUGGUGGGGGGACAUUUCAUCCCGCGCUUUCUCCCACCAACCACCUCUCCUCUCCCCUCUCGCACCGCCGCCGGCCGCCGCCCAAGAUUCCGGCGACCGCAGCCGGCAGGAGCACGCCGGAAGGCCGCCACGCGCACGAGGCCUCCCCCCUUCCCCCCUGCGUCGGCGGGCCGCCCGAUUUGCAGAUCUGCGGCAGUUCAUCGCGGGCCGCCGGAUUUGGCUUUUUCCGGCCGUUGAUUGCUGCCCCAAGCUAUGGAGUGGUCGGGAGCCUCUCCCGCAGCCCAGGCAAGGGCGCAUCGCCGCAUGCAGGUGCGAGUUCGUCCGCCCGCCGUUGCCGAAGGUUUGCGGGCAUGGACUCAUCCGGCCGUCCACCGGGCUCGGUGCUCGCGCAGCGUCUUUGUGGCUUGCCGAUGCCGCUCAUAGAGUGCGACGACUGCACGCGGAAAGUGCUGCGGCUCACUUUGAGCACGCCGAAGCACCCCGGAUGGGUGUUCUUCAAAUGCGAAAAUGGCGGGGUACAUGCACUUGCGGUAGCUCGUUUCAUGACUCAUUCUUUAGUUCGAUUGCGGUAGCUCACUGUGAGCUUCUUUUGUGUAGGACGAAGGAUGCUCAUUUUGGUUUGGGGAAGGCCAAUACAUUGAUUUGUUGAUAGAAAGAAAUUUAAUAGAUGUUAGUGCACUUCUUGGUACAAUCCAUGGCAAUGAUGCGGCUGCAUGUGCAACUAGAGGGGAAGCAACGUCUACUUCUUUGAAACCAAAGAUGAAGAAUGAAGAAAGCAGGAUCAAGAAUUCGCAGAUCAACAAUGAGUGCAUGGAGAAGAUAUUGCUUCAACUAGUGGGAGCAGUUAUGGAAGUUGGAUAUCUUCUGAAAUGCAUACUUGUGGUUCUUGUUUUCUUUGGUUUUGCUAUUCUAGCCAAGAUUUGGUGAUAUCUUUUGUAUCUAAUGUUGUUGCAAAAGCAAAGAAAAGCAUUAUGCUAGAUCAAUUUAUGUUGCAAAUUUAAGUUUUGCGGGCCGGGAGGGGCUGCGUCAGAUCAGAACCCGCAGAAGCCGACCCGUAAAAAAGCAUAUUCCACGAAUAUGCUUUUUUACGGGUCCAUUAUACGGGGUCUGCAUCUGUGCCAGCCCGCGCCGGCCCGCUUAGGUGGCAUCGCUCUAUGUCAAACUUUAAAUUGUCGUAAUCAUAGAACCCAUUUAAGACAUAUUUAGGUCAAUGGGGCCAGCCCAAAUUGUCGUGGUAUUAAUAUACUUUGUGAUGAAAUUCGUGUGUCAUAACAUACAGCCAAUUGGCGACCUGGAUUUGCUUCGGACCAUUAGCUGCCCAUCCUUGCACAGAUCAUUUCUAGGCAACCUUGUAAUUGACAACGCAUCUUAAUCAAGCAUAUGCAAUAAAUUAUCACACAAUUUGAAUUGAUUAUUACAUAAUUUGGAGAAUGAAUAAUUUCUAGUUCACACCGUAUUACACUCACAUACGUUUGACAUACAUCUAAGAGUUCAUGCAUACACAUCCUCACAUGACAAGCUCACAAAGAGAAUCAACAUUUCAACUAAGAUUAUGAUGUGGGAUUGCCCUGAGCUCCGGAUAUUAGAAGCCUAAGAAUUUGGUCGGUCUUCGCUUGCUUCUUUCUAACUUCAUCCAUCUCUUGUUUGGUUUUGGUGAGGAGUGCAUCUGAUUGCUCUAUUUGCCUCCUCAUGAUGUCAGUUGCAUCUCGGAGUGCAGCUGCACCCUGUCUUUCAGCCAGUAGUAGAGCCUCAAGAGCUUGAAUAAUUGGCAACUUCAAUGGGCUUGUCUCUAAUUGGGAAUUAUGUCCGAACGUGCUUGUGGAACUUAUGUGGGGGGGUAUCUCGGAAGCAACAUCCAAAGUUGAUCUUGGAGUCGUCUGUUGUGCAAUCAUAGUUUCAAUUGCAUCCUAUUAAGUUUUAGUUACUAGACAUGAGUAGGGUUGAAAUAAGUUACAACGGUGAAUCAUGAAAAACAGACUAACUUCUGUAUGGCAAAUUAAACAUUAAAUAUUUUGCAUCCUACAAUUAGACAUGGAAAGUUAUGUUUCUAUACUUGAACUUGCAAUAGCCGAACAUAAUUUAAAAUGGCACGAUGCAUCUAGACCAAUAGGGAUAAGAUAGACUCUUUUUAGAAAGGAUUGCCUAGACUUUACGUGCUUGUACGUCUAAAACGUAGCAACACUUACCAACCUAGACCACACAUUAUACCUUGCUGGACAUCAAAUGGAUGGAUAUUCUUUGUUGCUUGAGUUUUAAGAUUUUCAUAUAUCCGCAAAACUUCAUUAUGCCAGCAUCGUCAAACAUUCAUUAUGCCAAGGUUUUAAACAUCAUCAUUGGCCUAUGGACAUGAUGCAAACUUGUUCUAACAUGAUAAAGAGUUUAUAUACAAAUAAUACAAGAGGGACACAGAUUUACAAGAUAAUAGUCAUGCUUCAGUCUAAGAUUGUUUUGCUUCUUCAAGGUUUAUACCAACAGUAAAGCAACGAAUCCCAUCAGAAUAACAAAGUUAAGCAUGCUUGAACGAGAGUAGUACUAGAAUGGGUGACGCCCUGGAAAGUCCUGGUGUUGCGUGCCUCAUUUUUUGGUCAAAGGUUUCCUCCAUGCCAUCGCAUCGGUCCUGCUCUUCUUCCCCGUCCAUUGGCCUCGUCGACCACAAGAGUGGGGACCCAUCUGUCUCAUUUUUCUUUUCCCCUCAGUUUUGUAUACCUGGCUGCAUUAACGAAGUGAUGGCGAUGAUGGCAUGUUGGAACAAGGUCUCUUCGGCAUCUCUCUACAUCAACGAUGUUCGACCAGGCACCGAUGAAGGGCCUGUAAGAGUUUGCGUCGCCAAAUUUGUUGACUGUCUUCGGAUUUUUACAAUUGAUGUGCCUAUCAAGGAGAGCAAAUGGUUGGCUAUUUGUGGAGCGACUUCGACAUCUUCUUACGUGUUCUUCUACGGCAUGAUUUGGUUUCUCCAACUCUUGUACUAAGUGGGGUGAUGCACCAACCGAUGCUUCUUCAGCGUGUUUUAGAUCUUUUCUCAAGCAGAGAGUGGCUAUUGCGGUCUUUAAAGCCUAGUAUGGCGAGGGUAUUUUUAGGCGUCCCUUUCCUUUAUUGUCGGUUGAGUGCAAUUUUUAAUCUCCGAAAGAUGGUGUACAAUCUGAAGGAGGCUAGUAUGAUUUUUAAGGUAUUUAUUUCUACUUGUCAUUCUGUGUCUAAUUGUCAUUCCAUUGUACUGUUUUUUUGUUUUUGUUGAUAAUUAUCAGAUCUAAGAUGCCUUUUGGGUGUCUUUUUUCCAAGAAAGAUAGUUUUGCUUCUUUGAGGUGACAAGUCCAAAAAUAUACUGUAUUUGUUUGCUUGUUCCAAUUGCCAACUAAAAUGACAUCUUUAGCCCAAAAGUAGGAUUCGGUGAUAAUGACGGGCUAUUGGGGUACUAAUGAUAUUCUAGAGUGGAUGAGUCAUUUAUUAGAGACCACUCAAGGAAAAAAAAGACUACAUCUUUAAAUUUAAUCAUAGAUUUUUUUUCAUAUCUUUGAGUCAUAGGGAAGCCGUACUAUUGACAGGAGUCUACCAGAGGAACAAGAGUGGAGAUUGACGACCUAAAAAAUCCUACACACUCCAAAAAGAUACCCUAGGAAUUGAGGAAUUGUCAUUCUUGCCAGCAAAAGGACCCCAAAACAUCCCNNNNNNNNNNNNNNNNNNNNNNNNNNNNNNNNNNNNNNNNNNNNNNNNNNNNNNNNNNNNNNNNNNNNNNNNNNNNNNNNNNNNNNNNNNNNNNNNNNNNNNNNNNNNNNNNNNNNNNNNNNNNNNNNNNNNNNNNNNNNNNNNNNNNNNNNNNNNNNNNNNNNNNNNNNNNNNNNNNNNNNNNNNNNNNNNNNNNNNNNNNNNNNNNNNNNNNNNNNNNNNNNNNNNNNNNNNNNNNNNNNNNNNNNNNNNNNNNNGGGGGGGGGGGGCUAAAGAGAGUAUUUCCCAGAAGGACCCAAGAUAUCUGGGAUGCACGGGAGGCUGCAAGCUGAUCUGAAUUGCCGAGUAAAGUUCAAAAAUCGAGGACCAUACGAAAGGUUGCCAUUCUUCCCCAACUGAAGGAGGCGACCAUACAUGAGCUUUCUAUCAUUGUUGAGCACUUUGAGCUUCUAUCUGUUAGACCUUUCAACCUGAGCAUUGAUAGUUGUGGAUGACACUAGGAGAGUUGGGACAAUUUUCGUUGGUUUAUUUCUCACACAAUGCCAUACCAACCCGAGGGGUUGGGGAUACAUAUUUAUAGGCUGCUAGCCAGCCAAGGCAUAUGCUAAGAUGCUGCUAAGAUGCCAGUCUAAGAUGCUAGUCUAAGAUGCUAGUCUAAGAUGCUAACUGACAGUCCUUGAUGGUCAAGAACAGAACUCUAUCCUAACAGCCAGUCCUUGAUGGUCCAGGACUUUAUCCUCCUAACUGCCACAAGGACCAUGUGCUGCAGCCCCACAAGGACCCUAGUACACAGACUUAUCCAUCAUUCUCCCCCUAAGUCUUGUACGUCGUCUUGUGGGAGAGUUGAAUCAUCCCAAUCCUGGAGCAAAGUUCGAGGAACUUGACCCUCCCAAGGGGCUUGGUGAGCAGGUCUGCGAGCUGAUCCUUGGUGUUGAUGUAGCUUGCCUCGAUGCUCCCUUCUUCCACACAGCUGCGGAUGAAGUGAUACCUCAGUCGGAUGUGCUUGCUCCGUUCGUGGAACACGGGGUUCUUUGCCAGGGCCAGGGCGGACUUGCUGUCCACCAGGAGCUGCACCGUUCUGGUGUCUUGAACGAGAAGAUCACCAAGCAGUCGAGCAAGCCAGAGCGCCUGAGUACAGGCGGUGGAGGCCGCUAUGUACUCAGCCUCACAGCUGGACAGGGCCACCACCUGCUGCUUGACUGAUUGCCAGCUCACGAGACACUUGCCGAGGAAGAGGAGGAUCCCGCUCGUGCUCUUGCUGGUGUCGAUGUCGCCGGCGUGGUCGCUGUCGCUGUACCCGACGAAGUGUGCCGCCCCAGGGCACCUAGGGUAAUGGAGGCCGUGGUCGAGGGUCCCUGCUAUGUAGCGGACGAUCCUCUUCACUGCCUGCUGGUGUUCCGACGUUGGUCGCUCCAUGAACCGACUGACAUAGCCGACGGAGAAUGCCAAGUCCGGUCGUGUGUGAGUGAGGUAGCGAAGGCUCCCCACAAGGCGUCGGUACUACGUAGCAUCCACUUCCUCCGUCGUGCUGUCGCGACUUAGUUUCAGCCUCUCCUCCAUCGGAGUGAGAGCUGGAUGGCAGUCGGUGAGCCCAGCUAGCUCAACGAUGCGCUUGGCGUAGGCGGACUGUCGAAGCGCGAUCCCGGAGUGGUCCUGGUGCACCUCAAUCCCUAGAUAGAAGGAGAGGAGCCCCAGGUCACUCAUCUGGAACGUGGCCUUCAUGUCUUCCUUGAACGCCGCCACCUCUGCAUCUUUGGUGCCGGUGAUCACCAGGUCGUCAACGUAGACGCCCACCAGCAGGGCAUUUCCUCCACUCCCCCGUCGGUAGACGGCAGCCUCAUGCGGGCUCUGCUCGAAACCCAUCUUCUUCAGCGUGGAGUCCAGCUUGGCGUUCCAUACCCUGGGUGCCUGCCGCAGGCCAUAGAGAGCCUUGCGCAGGCGGAGCACCUUGCCCUCCUGGCCGGGAAUCGUAAACCCCGGUGGCUGAUGCACGUAGACUUCCUCCUUCAAGUCGCCGUUGAGGAAUGCCGACUUAACGUCCAUGUGGUGGACAUGCCAGCCCUCCUGGGCAGCCAGCGCAAGGAGAAGUCGCACGGACUCCAUCCGUGCCACGGGAGCGAAAGCGUCGUCGAAGUCGACUCCUUCCUGCUGCAAGAAGCCUCGGGCCACCAAACGAGCCUUGUGCUUGAUGAUGGCGCCGGCUCCAUCCCUCUUCAGCUUGAACACCCACUUAAGGGUGAUUGCGCGGUGACCUCGAGGGAGAUCAGCAAGCUCCCAGGUGUGGUUUUGCUCGACCGCAUCCAUCUCCAACUUCAUCGCGGCGCGCCAUGCCGCGUCUCUCUCGGCCUCUGCAAAGGACCGUGGUUCGCCGUCUUCACACACGAGCUGUAGCUGCCCCUCCAGGUCACGUGGCACCAGUCCUGGCACCGGCUGGUCGCCGAGCACAUUAUCCAUCAUACGGUACCGCAGCGGUUCGCCUCCAUACCAUGCGUCGACCCGCUCCUCGUCGUGAGUGAGCGGGGAAGCGAACUUCAUCGGGUUGUGCUCUGCGUGAGCUGGUGCUGAUGAAGACGAGCCCGGAGUGGCGACCGCCGGGGCUGGAGUAUGCGGCAUCGCCGGUUGUGGUGUCGUCGGUGUAGCAGGCGCCGGAGUCGAUGUAGUUUUGGGGGCCGGGGUAGACGUGCCCGGUGAAGAGGAGCUGCUUGCUCCCCCAGCUUCCUUGAAGUGAGCGUACUCGACAAUGAAGUCGUCAUACGUCGGCGUCGAGCCGUCGUCCACCGCCUUGUCCCAUUGCCACCCUCGCCCUUCGUUGAACACGACGUCUCGCGCUGUGCGCACACGUUGUGUCUUUGGGUCGAGGAUGCGGUAGGCCUUUGAGCCCUCCGCGUAGCCGAUGAAGACUCCCGGAGUGCUCCUGUCGUCGAGCUUGCCGAUGUGGCCGAGCUCCUUGGCGAACGCAAGGUAGCCAAAGACCCGCAAAUGAGAGACCGCCGGCUUCCGCCCAUGCCAGGCCUCGUACGGAGUUCUGCCGUCGAGUGCCUUAGUAGGAGAGCGGUUGAGGAUGUAGACGGCCGUUAGCACCGCCUCUCCCCAGAAGACAGCCGGCAUCCCUCUCUGCUUGAGGAGAGCCCGAGCCAUCCCCACAACCGUCUGGUUGCGCCGCUCGACGACGCCGUUUUGCUGCGGGCUGUACGGCGCGGAGUAGUGGCGCUGGAUGCCCUCAUCGGCGCAGUACGACGCGAAUUCAGCCGCCGUGAACUCGCCGCCGUUGUCAGUGCGCAACACGCGCAAUUUGCGGCCGCUCUCCGCCUCCACACCAACCUGCGCGCGCCUGAUGGCGUCCGCCGCUUCUCCCUUACUGCCGAGGAUCAUCACCCACAUGUAGCGGGAGAGAUCGUCGACGAGCAGCAGGAAGUAGCGUCGACCUCCUGGUGUGGCUGGCGUCACCGGGCCGCACAGGUCUCCGUGCACGAGCUCCAGCUUCUCCUUAGCCCGAAAACUCGCCUGUUGGGGAAAGGGGAGUCGUCUCUGCUUCGUCAGUACGCAGAUGUCGCAGAACUGCUCCACAUGGUCGAGGCAUGGCAGGCCUCGCACCAUCUCCUUGGCACUUAGACGCUUUAGGGCCUCAAAGUGAAGGUGCCCAAAGCGCUCAUGCCACUGCCACGCCUCGUCGUCUCGACGGACAGCGAGACAGACCGGUUGUGCCACCUGCACAUCAAGGACGUAGAGUCGAUUUUCACCUCUGGGCACCUUGGCGAGAAGGCGACGCUGGCGAUCCCAGAUGCGUAGGACCCCAUGCUCAAUCAGCACGCGUGAGCCGUUCUCAUCCAGCUGUCCCAAGCUGAUGAUGGAAUUCCUUAGCGCGGGGAUGUAGUAGACACCGGUGAGCAGCCGGUGCUCUCCCAUCUUGGUGGUGAAGAUGACGGAGCCGACGCCCUUUAUCUCCACAGCGGAGGCAUCCCCGAACUUGACGGAGCCUCGCGCAUCGGAGUCGAGCUCGGCGAAGAAUUCCCUUCGACCGGUCAUGUGGUGGGUGGCGCCGGUGUCGAGGCACCACCCCGUAGCCUUGUCCUUCCCGGAGCCAUCGCCGAGAAGAGCGUGUGCUUUUGGCUCAUCGAGGUGGAUGAAAGCCUUUGCGACUGGAGUCGCCGAGGGUAGCUCAAUGCUUGCAUGCGCCAUGAACAGAGCCGUCUCCUCCUCCUUCGCCUGUGCGACGUGAGCCUGGCCUUGUCGUGGUUGCCGACACUCAUUGGGUGCUGAGAGCGACCUGCAGACAUGGCUCGCUGCAGGGGGGCUGUUGCGUGAAGAGGAGGCUGAUGAAGACGAGAUGCUGCUCGACAGUCCGGAGGGAGGAAGGUAACCAGAGGCAGACGGAGCAGCUGCUGCUACCGACUUGGGCUGCUCACAGGAAAUGCUCAGGGUGCAGGUUAACGAGGCUCUGAUACCACUUGUUAGACCUUUCAACCUGAGCAUUGAUAGUUGUGGAUGACACUAGGAGAGUUGGGACAAUUUUCGUUGGUUUAUUUCUCACACAAUGCCAUACCAAUCCGAGGGGUUGGGGAUACAUAUUUAUAGGCUGCUAGCCAGCCAAGGCAUAUGCUAAGAUGCUGCUAAGAUGCCAGUCUAAGAUGCUAGUCUAAGAUGCUAGUCUAAGAUGCUAACUGACAGUCCUUGAUGGUCAAGAACAGAACUCUAUCCUAACAGCCAGUCCUUGAUGGUCCAGGACUUUAUCCUCCUAACUGCCACAAGGACCAUGUGCUGCAGCCCCACAAGGACCCUAGUACACAGACUUAUCCAUCACUAUCCUCCCUCUACAACCCAUCAAUCUUUGAUUUGAGUGAGAGAAAAAGGAACAGUAGAUUUGUGAUUCCACUUGGCCCCUUUUGAAUUUCCCUUGAGUUCUUCCUGAAGCUUAUGUCACUCUAAAGUUUGUGGGGAACCCUGGAUGGUUGGAGCCGUCCAAAAGCUUCCAAAGUUGUGGAUUUUUUACGACCAAUUAUAGGUGAUCGAAGCAGGUUCCAAGUUCGAGAUACCAACAUAUGUUUCCAUGCCCAUCCAGAGAAACGUCAUAGUCUUAUGGCCAACAAUAGACUGAAUAUUUGCGUGAAGAUUAAAGUUGUUGUUUCAACAUACCAACACAAAGUCAAGGAUAUACAACACUGGAUCCUUGGACAUGCUAUGGUCCAUAAUAGUAGUUGGCUAGUGGUUACUAUGAUCAUUUGUCUGAAUAGAAUUGUGAUAGCCUAUGCAAAGAAGGUACUAAAAGUCAUCCACCCAAGUGUUUACAUUUAUUAAAAUUUCCAACCAUGCAAAGAAAGUCCCCCACCUUUGAACCAUAAGUCCAUAGAAUAGCUACCCCACCCGAGAAAACAUGCACCCAUGCACAACAACAAAUGAGAAAGAACAUACCUGAUCUUUGUUCCUGUUAUUCAAAGUCUGUGAUAUUCCACUCAUUGAGAAUUCAUGGACAUCUUUGUUUUUCAAGUAGUCGGCCCAUCUCUCUGGAAUAGCCAUAGCCUGGCGAUAGUCAAACCCUACUCCACCUUCGUCAACUGGCCGACAAAGAACUGGCAUGCCUGAAACAUCUUCAGCAAUAAUAGUUGCUUCUGGCAGGACUUUGUGUAUUAAAUGGUUAGCCAGCAUCAUGUAAAUGAUUGCAUCUACAUUGGUAUCCAAACCAAAAUACUCCUUGUAAUUUCCAGUGAACGACGUAUUGAUUCCAUGGUGAUUGUAUAGCAUGGAUGUAACCCCAUCAAAUCUGAAGCCAUCAAACAUGAAUUCGUCCAUCCAAUAUCUCAGAUUGGAAAGAAGAAAUCUUAAGACCUCCCAAUUGGUAUAGUUGAACAGCCGGCUAUCCCACAGUUUAUGAUAGCCCCUGUCUCCUGUGUAGAAAUAUGACUCUUGUGCGCUUUGACCAACAUCAUAGCCAUUUAGACCAUCUGUCACAUUUUUGCUUGCAUGGCCGUGGACAACAUCCAUUAGAACACGCAAUCCUAAACUAUGUGCCUUGUCAACAAGAUAUUUGAGGUCCUCUGGAGUGCCUGAUUUGCUGCUAACCGCGAAGAAAUUCGUCACAUGAUACCCAAAAGAAGCAUAGUAGGAAUGUUCCAUGAUUGCCAUUAGCUGGACCGUGUUAUAGUUUUUCGCCCUUAUACGUGGUAACACAUUGUCUGCAAAUUCUCUGUAUACUUCAGGCUUUUCACCACUCAUCCCCACAUGCGCCUCAUAGAUACGUGGUGUAUCAGGCUUUCGAGGUCGAGGAUGCUUAAACACAUACCUGCAAAACAAAGAUAAAAAUAUCAUGUCACCACAUUAUUUUAUUUUAUCUUAUUUGGGUUUUACUUAAUUUCCAGCUCUCAAACUACUGAAAUUAGACCUUUCACUAGUUGGUGGAUCCCAAUGAACACCAUCGUAUGGAGCUCCAAAUUUAGAGGUAUUAACAAUUGCAUAACGAAUCCAUGCGGGGAUCCGUUCAACCCAUACUCCAUCAUGCCUAAAUCGAAAUUUAACCUUGGAAUUGUGAGGGAUGGCAGGUCUCCCCUCGACAUGAGGAAUCUUGAUUGACCAAACUCCAAAAUUAUCCUUCGUCAUCAUGUGCUCAAAACCAUUCCAGUUGUUGAAGUCACCAACAAGUUGUGCUUCCCUUCACCAUAAAGUAAAGACUUGCAAGUAAAUACAUAUGAAUCUACUAAAGAUAGUGAGAAGUAAGUAUUGUCAAGAAAUAAGGACUAGUCAACCAUGACCAUGAUCAGGAAAGGGAAAACUUUUUUCAUAUUUUCUCUGUAGUGCACCAACUUAACAUCCCAGGACAGUUUCAUCAGCAUUUUAAUGAUAUGCACGAGUUAACCCAGGACUAUUAACAAGUAGCUGCAUGGCAUUAACAAGUAGGAGUAACAAGUAGCUGCAUGGCAAAUCACACACUUACAUUGCUGCAGGGGCCCAUUCCCGGUAUACCGUUGCACCAGGUUCUGCGUUGAUCCCAAACUUCAAAUAGCCUAAGUAUGUGCACAUAUGAAGGCCAGAGACACAGAGCUAAGUAUGCGCUUUUGUGCCGUGGGCGUCACAAAUUAAAUACAAGCAUUUCGAAUGCAUGAACAAGAGCUCACCUCUAGAGAAUUCUUCAAGGCUACCCUCAUGUUUCUCAAUCAAAUGUUUCUGGUAAUGAUACCUUCUCAUCCUAUAAUUGAAGUGGUUCUUGAAUUCGGCCAGCUUCGGGUCCAGAUCGUAUAUGGGAAGGUGGCUGACACCAUCUUCUGUUGCCACAGUUUUGUGUUCCCGCGCAGUCUCGGGAACAGAAAUCUUGCUAUUGGCCUUGCAUAUAUGAAUGACAGUUAGAGAUGGCAGCAGAUUAGAACUGAACAAGCUGCAGAGAUACAACACAUAAUCUUGUGCUUAUAUCAGUUAAUUAUAUUUACCACAAAUGCAGCAAUUAAUUGGUUGAUACAUUCAUCAAAGAUUAUGCACAUUUCUGUUGAAUAGCAAGUAGUACGGUUGAAAUAUCGCAGCAGAGAUUAUACUAUGUAUGGACCACAUAUAUGUAAAGAAAUUUGAUUAAAAUCACAUCCACUUCUUGAAACAUUUGAGACCCAAAGGGGUGUUUAAUGGACGAAUUCAGGUUUAUUAUUAGUACUAGUAUUAUAUUUUGCACAAGAAUUCCAGCGAAUCUGGACAGGCAGAGAAGAAGUUUACCUUCAGUGGCCACGACCAGCGAAGCGAAGACGGCACGGGCACCACGCUCAGCCGCACAUUGCCGCCGGCGCCGCCGCCACCCUGCAGGCGACCGGUCAGCAUCGUCGCAUCAGAGCCGUCAAGAACUUCGCCAUGGGCAAGCAGAACAGAGAACGUUAAAAGAAUAAAACAGAACAGAUCUCGGAGGCUCACCGAGAUCCCCGGACCGGGCCGGACAGCAGCGGGAUAGGAGGGGCGCGGCGGGACAGAGGGCGAGGCGGAGGAGGAGGCGAGGCAGAGCAUCGUCUUCCACGGCACGGCGGGGCGCCGCGGAGCUGUCAGCGUCGGCGGAGAAUCUCCGCCGGGCUCGUGGCACUGCGCGCUUUCAAGCGGCCGGAGGAGGAGCGUGGCGCCGGAGACGGAACGGGAGAGUGGAGUACAGAGUGGUAGCAACUGACGAGGGGAGGCACGAGGAAGACGAGGCGGAUCUGUGGGGCCCGGUGGGCCGGGUGCCACGUGGACGGUCGGGGAGCGCCCGUGCGUAACGGGCCAGCGGUAAAGCCAGUGAAAAGGUUUGGGCCCUCGCGUGUCUCAUCAGUCUGCGACUUUUUGCUAAAAAAAACAGUUUGUCAUGUUUUGAUGACUUUUAUAUAGCAUUAAUAAGGGAAAAUGGUGUCCUUACGAUUAAAAUAGAAAAUCUCCUGUUUUAGUUACUUUGUUAUUAUAUUAUUAUGCUACGCCGCCCACAAAAAGUGAUUUUGCCUUUUCCCCGCAAAAAAAAGAAGUGAUUUUGCCACCUGAACAAACCCCCUAAACGACUCCAACAUGAACUUUUUUAAGGGGCACAGUAAAAAAAAGUCCUCCCGAUCUGCAAAAACACAGGUUUCGCCUCCGCUUCUACGGGGCCCUGCAUCGCGAGAAAGCAGUUGGCCGGAGUCCAACUGCCAUCGGAGCUUUCAAGCUCGUUCCAGGCCACCGCCCCAUCCGUCCCCGGCCGCCGCGUUGCUCAUCCGAACCGCCGCCCCAUCCGUCGCUGGCCACCACGCUGCUCAUCGUUUGUCCCCGGCGGAACUACGUGUACGCGCAGACGUGGGAGCCCGCUGCCAGCUACGCCUGCGAGACGGAGCGCCGUGAGCCUCUCCCACCUCGCCCCCUUCCUCGCAGGACGAAUGGAGCCCGGUCACACAUAUCUCUAACUUCCUCGUAAUACAAAUGCAGUGGUUCCGCCGAUUUCAAAAAAGAAUAUUGCCGCCAACUCCCUCCGUCCCACAAUAUAAGAUUGUUACAAAUAUACUCUCAAUUAUUAUUUGAAAUAAAGAGCUUAUUGGAGCUCGGGACCGAAAAAAGUCGCACUCGUGUGUUUCCAGCCGAAUAUACUGUUUUUGGUUUGACACUAGUGUCUGAAAAAGCUAGAAAAAAGCAAGCGCAUAAUUUUUUUUGCUUGUUCCUUCGAUGUAAGGCUAGGCUGCACCACAGACAAAAACAUUUAACGCUCUCGUUCGUUUACUUGUGAGAUGAUCUUCAAUCUUUUCACUCGAGUCUCAGGAGGGCCGGGUGCGUCAUGUGACAGAUUAUUACUGCGAAGAUGUUUAUUUAUGGUGGGGUUUUGGGUGGGCCAAAGGUGUCGGAGUUCUACGUAGCCAAACAAGGUUUGCUUUUAAUAAACACUCAACUUAGCAAAAAAUCCAAUGAAAAGAGUGGCUUUUGCACCAACUGUUUGUUUUCCCUUGGUCCAUCUCAUGGUGAUGCAGUUUCUGUUGGGCACUUUUAGAUUGUGGCUGCUCGUGUCAUCAUCCGUCUAAAGCUUACAAACAACGCAGAUGAACAGACAGCAAGCCAUGUCCAUCCUGUCUCCGCUUCAUAGUUCUUACACCCACACCUCCGGAUGGCAAAAAAAAAACAUUUGUUGUAUGCAAGUUGCCUGAAAUUUGAAUUCGGUUCAUUCGAUUCAAGAGAGAAGAGGAGGCGCACCUCGAGGGAGGGCCCGGAGCUACCCAAAGAUAUGGAAGAUGUCCAGAGUUGGGGGUUUAGAUGGAUGGCCAAGGAUGGCAGCAGGACAGGGCGGCAAGGCGCACGAUGGAGCACCGCCAGCAGCAGCAGGUGACAUACAACAGGUGGAUAAGAGGAGGGAGAAGAAGGCUGGGGGUAGGAGAAAGCACAUCGCCGUUCGAUUCAGAUCGGACGGCUCAAAAAACCGACUCGGGAAUAUUCUUGAGGCAAUGGUAGUAAACACUUCACUAUCUGCUCCGACGGGUCAUGCCAUAAUAACAGUGUGACAAUGAUGACAACUGAGCAAGACCUGACGCCUCAUCGACGAAACAUCUAUUAAUCCUUUUAUUUAUAUCUUAGUCUGUACAUUACAGAAGAAGAUAUUCAUCCAAAAGGUUUAUGAAUGAUGAUGUAUGAAACCUGUCAUGACCAUCCUUCUCUUUGCUGUAGUAAUCCUGCUAUACUGUUCAAUAUGUGAGAUUCGAUGUCAUCAGCAGCUGAAAUAGUCAGCCAAAAAAUCGCUAGCUCGAUUCGCCGUGUCAUGGGGUGAUUGACACAUAUCUUGCUUCUGCAAGCACUGCCUCCCGGAUUCAUCAAGAAUUUAGGUGAUCUGAUUACUGCCUUUCAGGCUUAGCAGUCCUCAAGAUCCAGAGCAGCCAGCGCUUCAGUUCGAAAGGAAUUCAAUGCUGCAGUGCAGACCGGGGUUCGAUCCUGAUCCUCCUCACUCCUUUGUGAUCCACCUGUGUCCCCGGAUCUCGUACCCGCCCAGCCCAUGGUCGCUGGUCUCGCCGCUGGUCCCCACACCCGACCUCCUGCGCUGCUGCCUCCGCGCUCUCUUGGGGCCGCUGUUGUCGCUGAGGCUCCCGUUCAGUAGCGGGUCAUCGAUCCCACUGAUCACCCUGUGCAAGGAUCGCGGCGAGUCGAUGCAGCUGUCGUCGUUCGUUCUCUUGUCUUUAUCGUGCUUCUUCAUGUUCUGGGAUAUCUGGUGGAUCUUCUCGUUGAUCGGCUCCACCGCGUGGUUCACGGUGAACUUCAAGUCAUUCACAAUCUGCAAGGUUCAGUCAGAUAAGGUGUUUCAGGUUUAGCUACAGUUGGUCAAAAUGAAACUUGGGCUGAAGGGGGUAACAGAACAAAUAACAUAUUUUCCUUACAUAUUCGCCUCCUCCAAGUACAACAUCGCGGACGCUUUCUUUUAUGGCAGUGGAGCAUCUGACGUGAUCAUCUGGCUGGGGAAGCCUAAUCUUGGUUGGGCGCUCGCUAUCUUUAACUUCGUCUGGAUCUAGAGGGCAGUCAACUGAAGCAUAGUCUCCCAGAACUGAAACAUCUCCGAUGUAACGAUCGCCCAUUAGCUCGUAUGGCUUGGCAGGGAAGACGUAAAGGUGAAUAACAGCAGCAAAACCCAUCUGUAUUCAAUGAUAAAAAAUAACUUCGGUUACGUUGUUUCAUUUUCAAUGGAAAAUGGGACAGGGCUGAGGCCUAUUGAUCUAAAUAUAAAUAUUACUUCGUUAGGAUUAUUGCAAAAUUGAGAAUGCAAGCAUGCUUAAACAAGGAUUUGUCAGCAUCACGCAAGGAACUGAAAUGGUAUAAUCAGGAACAUGUCACCACCUCUAUGCAGAUGAUAAAGUCCUGAAUGCUGGACUUGAACUGCAACUCUUGAGCUAUAGGGCCUCUCAACAAGCCCCAGCUGGAGAGCAACGCUAUUGCCACACCUUGCCACCAUGUUAAGAACACAAUAGACUUGAAUGUCAGAAACUUCGCUAGGGGCUUUAUAUGGGCUAGCUCGUCCUUUAUGACGGCGUAAAAUUGAACGAGACAGUAUAAGGCCCAUGACUGACUGAAAUUGAGAGCCAUGGCAGUGUAAGAGUACCUGGUAAAUAAGAUAGCAAUUCGUAAGUAGGAAGAGAAUGCAUUUAAAGUCUGAAGCUACUGGAUCAUCAGAUGCACGAACAGGUUUUCCGAUCCUACCACAUGCCCACAGAACUAGUUCAUCAGUAGCAAGAAAAUGUUUUUUAACUAAACAUCAUUAGACGCAUGAGUAGGUUCCAUGAUACUAGCAGUACAUAUGAAAGCAGAGGUGAGGAAAAACAGGUAAACUUACUGUUAGUUAUGUUGGUAAACCAAAGAUAGCAUAAAUGUGUUCCAUAUUUCCCAUGCAGCUUGUAAGAUUCAUUUAUAAGUGCUAACCACUAAAAGUUGAUGCCAAAAAAUCAAGCCAUUCAUUGAAAUUUGUAUUAAAUUCGACAAAUAUAUGGUAACAUAAUGUUCCAAGUUGUAACUGAAUGACAGCUGCAGGACAACUAAAUCUAGGAUACAUGGUUUGAUAUACCAUACAACCUUCUCAUGAAUAUCAACACAGACCAUGAAUGUCACUAGAAUAAAGACUUGUCAACAAAAUGGUACGACCUCGGUUUUCUUUUACCUGUCAUUUUGGACACUAAAAAUGUCUCCAGUAAACGGCUUUGAUGACGGUUAUUUCAGAUUAUUAAUGUCAUUUUUACUAUUUAAAAUAAAAUGAGACUAAAGUUUGUUUUAAUGAAAAAAAUCAAGCAAUAUGUUUUACACGUGGCAUAUCCAAACACUUGUGUGUAUAUUAAGUCAUUUACUGAACAUCGCAGUCUAAAACAUCAUUUGAAAAGAGCAGAGGUAGUAGUACAAUAGCAGUAUAGCUGAAUGAGACGAGUUCAUUAUAAGUCAUUUACUGAGCGUCGCAAUCUAAAACAUCAUUUGCAAAGAGCAGAGCAGUAUAGGUUAAUGAGACAAGUUCAUGCAAGGAUUGUUGAGUGAAAAAAAAAUGAGGUUGCUUCAUGAGUAUGUAUCUUACCCACAGCUCCAUUUAAACUCUCCUUCGCAGUACACCCCAAAGGAUUCAAGAAUCACCGCAAGAAGAGCACAUAUUGUCUUUAUUAUCAUCUAUCCAAGAAAAAGGAGGACAUAUUAUUUUGAUUUUCCAUCAGAUGCUGCAAAAUCAAAUGGAAUGGGGGAGCUAAAGAGUGGCUUACAUAUUGGACAAGCCCAAACUUAACUACCAAGUAGAACCAUUCGCCAACGGGCCAUGGGUUCAACAUGUAAUUCAUCGGAAAAGGGUGGUUCACAUGUCGUUCUUCGGAUGCAUUGCCUAAAAGUGGUGCAUCAGAACCUGAACUGCCCUCCUUCUUCAGAAAUUCAAUCGUCCUAUCCUCUCCACCUAGCAUGAAUAAGAUUACAUUAUAAGGAAGGGCAGAGACAUGGAUGAUAGCGUUGCAAUGCUAGACAGUCGCGUACCUAAGCACGCAACUAGAUACCGCCCGAAACAGUACAUGGCAAAUGCCUCGUAUCCGUCUCGCAGAAUCUCAAUAUCUACACCAAUUGUUGGAUUCACCAAUGAUAUAUACUGCAACAGUGGAAUAAGAAACAAGAGUUAACGGCUGGAUCGACCUCAACCAGCCAACAACACUGUGGCCGCACACUUGAACAAGACAUGGCAUAGCACCUUACCGACUCGAUUGCAUAUAUCGGCACCAUCAGAACAACACCGACGAGGAACUUCUGCUCCUGGAAAAGAAGAAAUGCAGCAGCGAUGAGUCCAAAAACAAAUACAGCUCCAGCGACAAUUCACCCUGCUGUAUGGAAAAUAAGAAAUUCAACACCGACUGAUCGCUAGCGACCAACAGAACAGACCUCUGGGUUCUUGUAGGCCGAGAGGUGGUUCAAGAGCAAGUAGAUGGACAGCGAGACCGAGACGACGACGAAGAGCCCCGAGAUGAUGGUGGCCCAGACAGGCAGUGAGUAGCUCCGGAGCACCAGGAGCAAUUUGUCGGCCAAUUCAAUUGCCAUUGCCAUCGGCCCUGUCUGUCCCGCCGCUUGUCUGUACUCAAGCUGAUGCGCCCUCCUCUCUUGCGCUUUCGCCCGCACAUUCGCGACCGGGAUUCACCGUUCCAGGUUGCGGUUCAUAGAGCAUCAUAAUAUCAGGAAUUUGAUCUUGGAAAUGAAACAAACAAUCCCAGUGAUGCAGACUGAUACUGAGGUCCGUUUGGGUGAGACCGAAAAAGCAGAGUGGGCUGCCCCGUUUUUGUCCCUUAUAUUCCUCCGCCCGCCUAAUAAUAUUCGGCGGGAUUCCUUGAGCCCCUGCAGGCAAGCAGAAUUUUAAACGAGGCGGCAAGCGCUCCGCUAGAUCGGAAGGGAGGAAAAUAAAUGAGCUCGUAAUCGUGGAAAACGAGGCCGAAUUGGCGUCGGAGGAACGCGGGUGGAUCGGGCAAUGCCCCGCGAAUCCGGGGCCGGCGGCGACGGUCGAAUCGGGCUCCAUGGACGGGGCGGGGCGGGGGAUGGGAGGGCGAGGGAGAAGGGGGAAGGGGCGCGUACCUCUGACGGAAGGAUUGCGGGGGAUCUGCGGUCCGCAGCCGGCCCGCCGUUGAGGGAGGGGUCGACGACGAGGAUGAGAGGGUUAGGUGAGGUCAGGAUAGAUGAGACAAGAGGAGAGGAGAAGGUAUUUUCUCUCAUCAGACAGAGACGCGCAGGUUAUGGACAGGCGACCUGACCUGACAAGCAUCCGCAUCACACCACAUGGUUUUUUUCCGUUCCUUCUAUGGUUGUUUAACGUUCUUUUUUCAUUUAAAAGGGGUCUCACUAUCACUCCACUAGCACUAUCGUACUCUCUCCAUUCCUAAAUAUAAGUCUUUUUAGAGAUUCAAUCAUAGAGACUAUAUUCGGAUGUAUAUAGACGUUUUUUAGAGUAUAGGUUCAUCCAUUUUGCUCUGUAUGUAAUCUAUAGUGAAAUCCCUUAAAAGACUUAUAUUUAGGAACAAAAGGAGUACUGAACUUUCCACUACUUGCCAUGCACCUAAAUGGGCCUUAGAGAUUAAACACGGAUUAUUGUCUUGUAUGGGCCUAAGCCCAUCUAUAAUCCAACAAUUCUCACCAGAUCUCGAGGCACAUGAGUUUGUCAACGGUUCCAAACAGUGUUUGAUAUAUCAGAAUUUUCAGUGGAGACUGUUAAGUUGACUUUCACCUAGAGCAACAAGACUAGACUUCUUCACAACUAACCAAUUGACUAUGCCUUCAAUUGUCAAUUCGGCAUGUACAAGUUUCGCCUAUUGUCAGCUGGUACAUGGUUGCCGAAAGCUAAACCCCAUGGGUGGAGCUUAUUAGUCAUACUCUUUACCUUCUUAUGAGUUUCCUAGAGAUUACCCAGUAUCAUAGACUGUGACCAGCAAUCGGGCUCGCAUAUGUGUGUUCCUCCAAAAAGUGCUUUAUAGGAUAGCAUCUUGCUUACACAAGCUCUGAAACACAUUAAGACAAAAGUCAGUGUGCCUUGCAGAUUAUGAGAGUAUUGCAUCUCCAACGGAGUGGGUUAGUAAGGAUACUAUACUCAGUUGACCAAUGGAUUGUUUUCUCAAAUCCUAAUUCACGGGAUCUCCGAUCACAUAUGUGGGUCUCAUGUCCAUCUCCCUCGAUGCAUUUUCUAUCAUAAUCUGUGAUAUCCCUUUUGUGAAGGGUUCUGCCAGAUUUUUAGCCAUCUGGAUAUAAUCCAACGCUAUGACUCCGAAGUUUCUUGAUUUUCUGACAAAUUUUAAUCUUCUUCUUAUGUGCUUUGUGGAUUGCAUGUUGUCCUUUGAACUUUUAGCUUUGGCAGUCACUGUUUGAUUGUCACAAUUCAUAAGGAUAGCUGGGACUAGCUUAUCAACCACUGGAAAAUCCAUCAAAAGCUCUCGAAGCCAUUCUGCUUCAACGCAUGAUGCGUCUAAUGCUAUGAGUCCUGCUUCCAUAGUCGAUCUCGUUAAGAUUAUCUGCUUGCAAGACUUCUAGGAAACAGCACCACCACCAAGUGUGAAGACAUAUACACUUGUGGCUUUCAUCUCAUUAGCAUCAAAUAUCCAAUUCGAAUCUAUACCCCUCAGGUACCGUGGGUACCCAAAAUAAUGAAUUCCAUAGUCCACAGUACCUUGUAAAUAACACAUCACUCGCUCAACAUCAUGCCAAUGCACAUUUCCCCGAUUGGAAACUAACCGGAUCAGUUCAUAAACAUCAAAUGGGAUGUCAGGACAAGUAGCACAAGCUAGGUACAUGACUGAACCAAUCACUUGGGAAUAUCUCAAUUGAUCUACAGUUGUGCCUUCUAAUUUUCGAAUCCACACGCUAGGAUCAUAUGGUGUUGCAGAAGGUUUGCAGUCUGAAUAUCCAAAUCGACUCAAAAUCUUCUCAAUAUAGUGGGAUUGCAAAAGUGUAAUUCCGUCCUCAUUAUCUCUCAAUAGCUUGAUGUUUAAGAUAACAUCAGCCAGACCCAAGUCUUUCAUCUCAAAGUUAUGAGAUAGAAAAAAGCAUUGACCUCCUUAAUGACUUUGAGGUGGGUCUCAAAUAUCAGUAUAUCAUCGACAUACAGAUAAAGUAUAACUCCUUUGCCCCCACCAUAGCGACAGUAUACACAUUUGUCAGCUUCAUUAACAACAAAGCUAGCAGAUGUCAAAGUGUUAUUGAACUUCUCGUUCCAUUGCUUAGGCACUUGUUUCAGGCCAUACAAAGAUUUCAAUAGCUUGCACACCUUUCUUUCCCGACCAUUUACUACAAAGCCAUCUGGCUGUUGCACGUAAAUUUUCUCGUCUAGCUCCCCGUUGAGGAAAGCCGUCUUAACGUCCAUCUGAUGAACGAGAAGACCAUGCGAGGCGAGAUUAACACUUGAAUGGCUGUCAGUGUAGCCACAAAUGAGUAAGUAUCGAAGAAAUCUUCUUCUCCCAUUUGGGUAUAACCCUUGGCCACAAGCCUAGCCUUGUACUUCUCAACAGUACCAUUGAGCAUAAGCUUUCUUUUGAACACCCACUUACAUCCCAAUGGUUGGCAACCAUAAGGAUGAUCGGUGAUCUCCCAUGUCCCGUUAGCCAAUAUGGAAUCCAUCUAUCUACGGACCGCAUCCUUCCAGUAGCCAGCAUCCGGAGAUGCAUAAGCUUCUGAAAUGGAACUGGGAGUGUCAUCAUCCACAAGGUACACGGGGAAAUCAUCACCAAAAGACAUUGCAGUCCUCUGUCUCUUGCUCAUAACAGGAGCUUCCUCUGUUGGGGAACGUAGCAAUAAUUCAAAAUUUUCCUACGUGUCACCAAGAUCAAUCUAUGGAGUCAUCUAGCAACGAGGGAGGAGUGGAUCUGCAUACCCUUGUAGAUCGUGCACGGAAGCGUUCAAGAGAACGGGGUUGAUGGAGUCGUACUCGUCGUGAUCCAAAUCACCGAUGAUCCUAGCGCCGAACGGACAGCACCUCCGCGUUCAACACACGUACGGAGCAGCGACGUCUCCUCCUUCUUGAUCCAGCAAGGGGAAAGGAGAGGUUGAUGGAGAUCCAGCAGCACGACGGCGUGGUGGAAGUAGCGGGAUUCCAACAGGGCUUCGCCAAGCACUGCGGGAGGAGGAAGGUGUGCCAUGGGAGGGAGAGGGAGGCGCCAGGGCUUAGGUAUGGUUUCCCUCCCUUCCCCCCACUAUAUAUAGGGCCAAGGGAGAGGGGGAGGGCGCAGCCUUGCCCCUUCCUCCAAGGAAGGGUGCGGCCAAGGGGGGGGGGAGGAGUCCAUCCUCCCCAAGGCACCUCGGAGGUGCCUUCCCCCUUUAGGACUCUCCCUUUCGCUCUUCUCUUGGCGCAUGGGCCUCUUGGGGUGGUGCCCUUGGCCCAUAUAGGCCAAGGCGCACCCCCUACAGCCCAUGUGGCCCCCCGGGGCAGGUGGCCCCACCCGGUGGACCCCCGGGACCCUUCCGGUGGUCCCGGUACAAUACCGGUGACCCCGAAACUUGUCCCGAUGGCCGAAAUAGCACUUCCUAUAUAUAAUUCUUUACCUCCGGACCAUUCCGGAACUCCUCGUGACAUCCGGGAUCUCAUCCGGGACUCCGAACAACUUUCGGGUUACCGCAUACUAAUAUCUCUAUAACCCUAGCGUCACCGAACCUUAAGUGUGUAGACCCUACGGGUUCGGGAGACAUGCAGACAUGACCGAGAUGACUCUCCGGUCAAUAACCAACAGCGGGAUCUGGAUACCCAUGUUGUCUCCCACAUGUUCCACGACGAUCUCAUCAGAUGAACCACGAUGUCAAGGACUUAAUCAAUCCCGUAUACAAUUCCCUUUGUCUAGCGGUACGAUACUUGCCCGAGAUUCGAUCGUCGGUAUCCCGAUACCUUGUUCAAUCUCGUUACCGACAAGUCUCUUUACUCGUUUCGUAACACAUCAUCCCGUGAUCAACUCCUUGAUCACAUUGUGCACAUUAUGAUGAUGUCCUACCGAGUGGGCCUAGAGAUACCUCUCCGUUUACACGGAGUGACAAAUCCCAGUCUCGAUUCGUGCCAACCCAACAGACACUUUCGGAGAUACCUGUAGUGUACCUUUAUAGCCACCCAUGGUUUCUGGCGGUAGCAAAAGGGUCAGAUCUCGAAAAAAAUUCAAACUAGGGUCAUAUCUCGAAUAGGUUUCAAAAAUGGGUCAAAACACGAAAUUUAGCCGGUGUUGGUGGGUUGGUUGGUCAGGCUGAGGAGUGACACUUCAAUCGAAUUACUAAUCCAGUUAAUCCACCUUUUCUUUUCCAGAUCUUUGCAAGGAAAUUCGAAUCUCUGGCAAGUUCACAAACCACCAUCUGCUACCACCCACACAUCUGCACGUUCACCACCGUUCACAUCUGCAUGUUGGCUUCUUCGGAUCACACCCCUUCCAUUCAAAUUUUCUAAGGCAGGCAUGCAAGGGAAGGGAAUCAACGGAGAACGCUGCAAACAUGCCCACUGCAAACAUGCCCACAUGUCUCAGGUUCCUGCUACUACAAGGUCACUGCAAGUCAAAGUGACACCACCAAUAAGUCCAUCCACAAGGGAGAAAAAAAACGUUCACAAAUCUAGGACCACUUUGUACUACUAGCUAGCACUGCCAACCUGCCCGGACAAGCCAUCCAUGCGGAAUUUGAAUUCGAAUUCCAACGGUAACCGGUAGAGAUUUUGCUGCCAGGGCACAUUGUGAGGGGCUGUUAAUUUUCCUUGGCAUUCCAGAUCUUGCAAUAGUAGAAUCAUAUCUACAGGCUUGGCAGGUACUACACGAAUUACAAUGCCUUGCUAGUUACUACUACCAGUACAAGUUUUCCCAAAGUCAAAGCAAGGGCAAGUACACUUAUGCCCAGAUUCCUCCUACUUACUGCUAGUCAAAGUUCAAAAUUCUGAGACAAGCUCCCCAUGCUAAAUUUGAAUUCAAACCCAAAUUUGAAUUCUGGGACCAUUAUUUGCAGACUUUGCUACCAGGAAAUUCAAAGAUGCUGAACAGGGAGUUCAAAUUUGGCAUCAAAUAGUACUGCUUACGUACAAGUUUUCCCACAAGUCAAACAAGUUCACACAUCCAUCUUCACUUCAGAUCUUCCCUCCCCCUUUCAUUUAAAUUUUCAGUACAACUCAGCCACAUGUUUCAGGUUCCUCCUACUCUACAUCCAUCUUCACAUCAAGUCAAAUUUCAAAUUCUGGGGCCCAAGAAUACUUGCUACCAGGACAAGAUCAAUAAUCAAAGAUGCUCAACAGGACAUAUACUGAACAGGAAAUUCAAUUAAUGUUUAUUUGCAAGUUGUUUUGCAGGUAGGUGUCAUCAUCGCACAACAAAUCCAAGAAUUAAAUACACAAACACAUUCCAACACAUGUAAUUGGAACCCAUCAACACACACACACAAACUCAACUCAACUCGGACCGGAUCGAUGUUAAGUUAUACCGAGAGAGCAGUAGCAGUAAAAACGCACGCGACACGGCCAACAGCGAACGUUGGUCUCCCUUCUUCCUUGGUGUAAAUCUCAUCAGAACAGAGCACCUCAAUGUACACCACCACCUCUUCCUCUUCUUUAGCUCGCCAUCUUUUUAGCAGUUGUCACAGACACGGUGAUGUAAGUUGUCGGUCGGUCAGGCCUUCCUCGCGUCGAGCAGGAAGGCGGCGGGCUCCGACUUGGUGGCGCACCCGUAC
rnacentral:lncRNA from 1 species